rnacentral:lncRNA from 1 species
CACACAAACACAAAAUUAAAAUAAAAAUAAAAAAAGGCCAAUAAUAGUUUAACAAACUCAAUAGAACUAAUACUAGAGAACCGCUAAUACUGCAUGGUAGCAGAGCAAACUGUCCUAAUUCUUCCAUAUUAUUAGGUUUAAUGAUAAUUGCUCAAUUAGGUAGGGGAACCCCAACAGGAAGCUCACAUCAAAUCUUUGACUGCUGAGCAAUCUUGAACCAUUCGGUAUGGAAAGAUCCUGUUGUAUCAAUCCUCUCAUAGGUAUGAGCUCCAAAAUAAUCUCUUUGAGCUUGGACCAAAUUAGCAGGCAGCCUGUCCCUCCUGUAGGAAUCAAAGUAAGCAAGACUAGAAGACAUACCCGGAGUGCUAAUGCCUGAGUUGAUGGCAAGGCAAACAACCCUUCGCCAGGCAGACUGUCGCUCAACUAUCUCCUUUGCAAACUCUGGAUCCACAAGAAGGUUAGCAAGAUCUGCAUUCCUAUCAUAGGCCUUCUUGAUACGGUCCAAAAAUAUUGCACGAAUAAUGCAACCUCCCUUCCAAAUCCUGGCAAGCUCACCCAGUUUCAAAUCCCAUCCCUUCUCAAUGCUCUUUGCCCGGAUAAGAUUCAUUCCCUGUGCAUAACUACAAAUUUUGGAUGCAUAAAGUGCCUGCCUCACAUCAUCUAUCAACUUCUUCUUGUCCACAGUCUGGUCAGACAAGACGUUUUCAAAACCACUUGAUUUGAAAACUUUGGCAGCUUCAACACGCUCUUCCUUCAGCCCACUGAGGAACCUUGCAUCCAAAGAGGAUGCUAUAGUUGGGGCUGCAACUGAUAGGUCAGCAGCUUGCUGAACUGUCCAUUUACCAGUCCCUUUCAUGCCAGUUUUGUCCAAAACCUUGUCUACCAAAAAUCCGUCUCCCUUAUCAUCCUUAAUACUGAAGAUAUCUGCAGUAAUCUCAAUCAAGAAGCUCAAAAGCUCCCCCUUGUUCCACUCCGAGAAAACAUUACGCAAUUCCUCAUUGGAGAGCUUACCAACUGAUUUAAGCACAUCAUAGGCCUCUGCAAUCAGCUGCAUAUCACCAUAUUCAAUACCAUUGUGAACCAUCUUAACGAAAUUUCCAGAACCCCCUUUGCCAAUGUAAGUCACACAGGGGCCACUAUCAGGAACUUGAGCAGCCACUUUAAGAAGGAUAUCUUCUAUGUACUUGUAAGCCUCAAAUGAACCUCCAGGCAUCAAAGAUGGCCCAUGACGAGCACCCUCUUCACCACCUGAAACUCCCAUGCCAAGAUAGAGCAGACCCAGUUCAGCCAUGGCUUUCUCUCUCCUCUCCGUGUUCUCAUACCACUCAUUGCCACCAUCAAUGAUACAGUCUCCUUUCUCCAAGUAACCGGACAGGGUUUUGAUGGUCUGGUCAACUGGAGCCCCAGCCUUAACAAGCAUGAUUAUGACACGGGGCUUUUGGAUUGAAUUAACAAAGGAUUCAGGAUCAUGGAAGCCAUAUAAGGGAAGGUUUCCUUCCUGUUUGGCUCGUUCAACGGUUUCAUCGACUUUUGAGGUGGUUCGGUUGUAAACAGAAAUUGGGAAUCCUUUCUCAGCAAUGUUGAGGGCAAGAUUUUGACCCAUGACUGCAAGGCCAGAAAGGCCAAUUCUUGAUACAGGAGCCAUUACUUUUUCCUGUUCAAAGUAUUGGACAAUCUGUGAGAUCGUGGAAACUGCAAAUCUUGCAGCAUAGAACAGCAUAGAAAUGAGAAACAAAGAUAAAAGAACCACAGAAUGACUUGCUGGAAAUCAGGACAGAUUAAUCAAGGAUAAAAGACAGUGUCUACACUCUCCAAAUAUAUGUCUAUGAUGACAAUAGAGUGGUCAAUCUCCAUGAGAAUCUUUCAUGCUACCAACCAAUAGGGAAUAAGACCAGAAACUUCUAAAUUUCUAAUAUUGAAAAAGAAGAUAAGGUAUUGUUAAGAGCAUCUACCAAAUUUAGGGACAGAGAUAUCAGGGGCAGAGAAAUUCACCACCCUGCAAGUAUUCUUCUUAAAGAAUAAAAAUGAAUAACCAAAAAAUAAAUAAAUAAAUCAAUUUCGAACUUCCAACAAAAUUUCAUCUGCAAGCCACAAGUCAUAGGUAUAGGUUUUCAUUCAAUUCAACCAAAAGAAAAAAUAUCAAAUUUCAGUUCCUAAAAAGAGAUUGAUGGUCUAAUAUCAUAAACUCGUAAAGUGCAAAGUGAUAACCCAAAAGGCAAGACCUAAAAACUGAAACCAAGAAUAAUUAAAGCUCCAUCUUCUUCAAUGGCAAAAAAAUUUCCCAAAAUACAUAUCUCCAAACAGUAAAAUGAACAGCAAGCUAUGUUAUGGAAAAUUUGCAUAACCAAUACAAAUAAGGAUGGGCAUGUCCAGCAUAUGCAUUGGAAAAUUUCAUUCCAAAAAUCAAAAUGGAAGCAACUUUUCAUUAUUUUAAAAGUGCAGAACUGUUAGUAGCAUUGUUAGCAAUGACUUAGCAUUUUCCCUGAAUUUUAAACAAAACUUCAUUGAUAGUUUACCAAUACCAUUUACUUUUCAUUAUUUUAAAAGUGCAAAACUGUUAGUAGCAUUGUUAGCAAUGACUUAGCAUUUUCCCUGAAUUUUAAACAAAACUUCAUUGAUAGUUUACCAAUACCAUUUUCCGGCCUGGUUGCAACUUACUAACAGAAAACCUAAUCCUUUAUGGUCCAAAUCUAAGAUUUUUCUGAAUCACCAAAUUUCAGCCAACUUUAGGCAAUCUGAACUAUUCAAUUUUUUGUUUGUUUGUUGUUAUGAUUUUUUUUUUUUAAUACAUCUGAACCGAAAUAAUUCAUUCCAAUUUCUAGCUAAAUACACAAUUUCUACAAAAGCAGCCAACUCAUCCCCUUUUUCUCCAAAUUCCUAAUCCUAAUCUAAACUUUUCAAAUUUACAAUAAAAAAUUUCACCCGAAUGUUAACCUGAUUGGACAAAGGUGGUCUACUCUAUAUCGGAAAAGGAAGAUUGACCAACAUCCAGAAAAUUCUGAACAGUAUUUCAAGGAUCUACUUUUCCCAAACACCAAACAAAAUUGAACUGAAAACCAAUCAAACCAUAAGAAAAGAAAGACCUGAUUCACCAACAACAGGAGAAAUAUGAACAGUAACUUUUCAACAGGAGAAAGAAGAACAGUAACUUUGUGAUCCUAAAGUGGCACUAAAUAAAGGGCUUAGCAGUAGCAACAACACAGAUUCUCCAAACAAGAAUCAAUCAAAUGAUAUCAUCAGAUCAACACACCACAAACCAAACCCACGAAGAAGAAACCCUAGAUCACCAAUUCACCAAUACAUAUGAAGGAUAAACAAACCCAUGUAAAAAACAAAGAUCAGACGCUCUCAUAUUCAACAAUGACUAAAAAGUAGUAAAAGGGAAUCCAUAAUCCUCCUAUACCUCUGAAAGUGCGAACAAAUGACGAUAGCUUGAAAGUGAGACAGACCCAGAAAAAAUGGAGAUCUGGGUUUUGAAGAACACCAACGGUUUGGUUGAAAAAGGGCGAGAGGCUCACCCCUAUGUAUCUCUAAGGCUGCACACAAGGCGGGUCAAAGUUGGCCAACUAAGCACUUUUCCCUUCUGCUUUGGUACAUAUUUAAGUGGUGGAUUUGUAAUUCCCUUUCUCACUGAUUUUUCAUUUUUCAAUAAACCAAUGGAACCCACUCGCCUCACGGUCCACGCUCCCUAUCUCAUCCGCCCUUCUGUUUUCCCAUAUUUUCCCAUCAUUUCCCUUUACUUUCUUGAAUGCUGUUUGGACCACCACUUUAUUUUGGUUGGCUGAGUUCUUAAGGUUUUAUUUUGUAAUUUAAAUGAGAACAAUCUUGAAAAUGGAUAGAAAUGAAAACAAAAUCAAUGUUUAAGACGUUUCAAUUCGAUUUAAAAAAAUGAUAACCUAAAAAACUUUUUUUUUUUCAUAAUAUAUGAUUAAAUACAAGUUAUAUAAUGUAAUUAUAAAAAACGAACUUAAUUACUGUCAAUAACAUAAAAUACAAUAAGUGAUAAGAUUUAUGGAAUAAGAGAUAAAUUAUCACAACUCAUUUUAUAUCCAAUAAGUGAUGAAGUGUAUUAUUCUAAAUUUUAUUAUAUUUUUUAUAGAUGGAUAUAAUAAUUUUAAAUUGAAAUAUGAUAUAUACAUACUCUAUAAAUUUUAAAUUUACCUUGUUUUAUCUAACUUCUUUAUUUUUAUAAAUUUUCUAUAUUUUUAUUUUACAAAAAAAAAAUUGUGAUUAAAAAAAUUUAUUUAAUAAAUCAUAAAUUGUAAAACGAUUUUCAAAUAAUGUGAGAAAUUUAAUUUUUUUUAUAACAAAUAUUACAAUGUAAUAUGAUUUUUAUUUUAAAUAAAUAUCAAAUAUUAAAAAGUAAUAUGUGUUUUCCUUUUUUUAUUUAUUUUAUAAACCAAAUAUAGAUGCCAUAUAUCUUAUUGAAUAUAGUAUUUUAAAAUAUUAUUUUUAUUGGUGUGUCCAGAUGAUAUAAUAUAUCUUAUUCAACAAAAGGUAAGCUUUAUUAAUAUCUCGAAGAAAAAGAUGAAGAAGAGGAAAGAAAAAAGUUAGUGUUACUAUUAGAUUCGACCAAAAAAUGCAUGAAAUAUUAAUUAUUUUUAGAUAGCUAUUUGAAAUUUAUAUUUUAUGAAUUGGGGUUUGUUUAUUUUUUUUUAUUUUUUUUCAUAUAAGUGUAUGAAAAUACAUUUUUCCUGAUUGAUUUUCCAUUUUUACUCUAUAUUUAGGUUUCAAACAUGCUUUAAAAUAUUACCAUUUCUAACUUAUAUUGCCAAUGAAUAAGAAAGUAGGAUUUUUAUUUUUAUUUUUUAUAGAAAGCCAAAACACCAUCCCAAGACUCCUUUGACUUACUUCAAUUUUAUUUAUUUUUCUAGAAAAAUACUAAUUUUGAGAAAAUGUUAUUCAAAACAAUUUCUAGAAUUGCAUUUUUCUUAAUCUCUUUUAAUUUUUUUUUUUAAAUCUAGGACAUCAAAUUGGUAUUUAUCAAAGAUUAAAUUUGUGCCAUUAAAAGUAUAUAGUGAAAUCUAUAUUAUUGGAUGAAGUUAUAAAUAUACGAGACCAAAUAUAAAUAAAUAUGAUAAAAAAAUCAAAUAAUGAGAUUGAAUUUAAGUAUAAAGUAAUAAGAUUUAAAAUGUAUAUAUGGGAACUUUUAAUUUAAUUUAUUUUUUAAUAUGUACUAAAUCCAUAUAGUCAUGAGAUCCUUCAAUCUAUUUAAAUAUCAAAUAUAUUUUUUGUUACAUUUAAAAUCUAAUAUGUAAAUAAAAUAUAAAGGGUGACAUGUGAUGAAAUUUGGAAGGUUACGGGUAAAUAAAUUCAAAUAUUUCCAUUAAAAUUAAAAGAAAAUUUAAAAUAAAUAUCUUUAUUGGAAAAUUUCUAAAUAAAAUUAAUCUUUCGAAUUGAAAUUUUUUAAAAAUAAAUAUUUUCUUCGUUGACAAAUUUUUAAAUAAAACAAAUCUUCCAUUUGAAGUUUUUGAAAAAUAAAUAUUAUCUUAUUAACAAUUUUUUUUAAUAAAGUUGAUAAAUUAUAUUUAAAAUGUAGGAAUGUGAGUUUUUAUUUUCAAAUAAAUCAAAGAAAAAUUGAAAUAACACCAUUUAGCAAUUUUGAGGGAGAAAUGGGCGGAUUUUAAAGAGGGUGCAAAAUGAGAAAGCCCCUCAAAAUCAGGGGCAGAGAGUAUUUAACUCUUCAUUUUAUUUUCAAAAAUAAAAACACUUUUCAUCUCUGCUAUAUUGGAAAUGGAACUCAUCACGUGAUGGUUUUAUUUUCAUUUUAUGCAUAGGGUCAAAAAUAUAUAUGGACAACAAUGUAAGCCCAUGUUUGCAAAUAAGGUAAAAAAUGAAAUCAAAUAUUUUGAAAUUGUUUGAUUUUGCUACUACAAAAUCAUUUCCAUCGCCUACUCAAUGAUGCUAUGUUUGUUUUCCAUUUGUUUUUUUUAAAACAAUAAAUAUAGGCAAAACUAUAUAUUUUUUAGGGUUAAUUCAUUCAUCUUGUCGAGGUUUUGAUUUAAUAUAUUUAGUUUCAAUUCAUUUGAAUUUUUAUCAUAUACUUUUCUUAUUGUGAAUAAGAUGAGAGAUACCUGAAAAUAAAAAAUAAAAUAAAAAAAGAUAUAUAUUUAAUAAAAUUUUAAAUUUAUGGGGUUAAAUAUAUUUAGCCGAAACCUUUGGAGUUGACCCAUAUUUUUUAAUAUGUAAAAUAUUUAUUUAGUGUUUAUUAAAUAUAUCAAAAUAUCUUAAAUAACUUAAAAAUAAAUAUUUCAUUAAAAAAUUGGGAAGCAUGAUGAGCAAUGCAUGAAAUCAUGCUGCAAAUGAAAUUAAAAAUUAAUUUUUUUACUACUAUAUUUACAAAUUUAGCACAAUUAUUGGGACUCCCCACCGAUUAUGAUAAAGCCAUCAAAGGAAGUAGGUGUGUGAAUGCGCAACCUCCCUUUGAAGUUGAAGUGGGUUGGUGGGUGGUUUGGUAAAGAAAAGACAACUAGCUUUCCUAUGACUUGACUUCGUAUUGGGAAAUGAUUUGGUAGAAAGGGAUCCAUUUUCAUGUUCAUGUUAGGUAGAAAUUUUUUUAAUUCAAAUUUGAAUUAGUUUACAUUGGUGGAUGGAAUAAUUCUUUUUUAUUUUUAUAAAUAAUAUAUUUUAUGUUUGGUUUCGAAAAAAAUAGAAAUGAAAAGUAAAGAGCAAAGAAAAAAGAAAAAAAAAAUUAAAGUUGAUACAUUAUCAAUUAAUAAAUUAAUAAAACUAGUUACACUAGUUUAAAUUUUUAAAUAGGAUAAGGGUGAGAAUUAUUUUGAAUAAAUAAGACAAGUUUGAUAAGGGGAUGACUCAUCCUGAACCUAUCUCGUUGCCAUCGUAUCAAACAAUAAAAUAAAAUUAUAGUCCUAUCCAAAUACUGAGUAUAAGUAGUAUGAAUAUUCUUUUCUUAUCUUAGCACACAAUGAAAUUACCGGUUAUACCUAGGGAUGACAAUGGGGUAGGUUCGGGAUAGGUUGCCCCCAUCCCAACCCCACCCUAUUUAUCCGAAAUAAUUCAUAUCCUCAUCCCAUUAAAAAAAUUAAAUGGGCCUAGGCUAAUAUGAGAAAUUCUCAUACUCGCUUGGACCGCCCCCUUUAACUUUUUUAUUUUUUAAAAUUUAAAUUUAAAUUUUUUUAAUAACAUUAAAAUAAAUAUAUUUUAUAAAUAAUUAAAUUAUUGUAAUUUUAAGGACAAGACAAUAUCUAAACUCACUCCAAACUAAAAUUAGUAAGUAAUUAUUUAUUUAUUUAUUAAUAAUAUUUUUAUUAAAAUAUUUAAAAUUUAUAACUAAAAGUUUUCAUAUUAUAUUAUUUAAUACAUAUAAAUAAUUAAUAUUAACAUUAUUUUACACUUUCUUUUUUGUUAUUCUUUUUUAACUACAAAUUUAAUUUGUUUAAAUAAUUUUUUUUUAGUGAGGUUAUGUCUAGCAACUGGGGGAUCAUAGUAAAAUCGCACCUUAGGAUUAAUAUAUCCCAUAUAAAAGCUAUAUAAAGAAAACUUAUUCUAAUAUGAAAUAUGAAAUGAGAUGAGAUUACUGUUCAUAUCUUAUCAUCAAUCAAACAUUAAGUAAUUUAUGUCAUUUCUUAUUUUAUCUCGUACUAUAUUCAACCACCCAAAUAUUAUCAUAGUAUUUAUAGACUUUUUUUCCCUUAAAAUGUCAUUUCAUAUAUUGAAAAUUCUUAAUAUGUUUUAUUCUCUAUAUAUUAUUCUUUUUAUAAAAAAAUAUUCUUUAAUAUAUGUUAUUCUUUUUACAAAGAAUAACUAAUUUACUUAUUCUUCUAUUUUUAUAUUUUUUUUAAAUCUUAUCUUUUCAUAUAUUCCAUAAUAAAUUUAUAUAUAUAUAUAUAUAUAUAUAUAUAUGUAUAUUUUCUCAUAUAACCUUUUGGUGCACUACACUUUUCAUGUUCGAAUAGGCUAGACUCGUCUUUCUCGUCUUUUUAUUUGGUGAAAAAUUGAUAUUUUGAAAAAGACUUUGACCUGCCACUUUUUUUAAGUUUUUUUUUAAGAGAAAACAAAAUAAAAAAGAAAACCUUAUUGACUCCUUAUUUAAAAAAGAUAUAUAUGCUAAAAUCGAGUCCAUAUCUACAAAAAUAUCAAAAUUCAAUCAAAUUUUAUUAAUGCAAAAAGGAUUAUUAAUAGAAAAACAAAAAUUUACAAAAUUAAUUACAAAAAUGUUUCAAUCCCCUUUUUGAUUUAUAAAAAAUUAAAUAUUCUUUGAUUUCAUAUAAUAUAUAUAUAUAUAUAUUAAAAAAUAAAAGAGAGAAAAAAAAGUCUUUGUUUGAUUUAAGAAAAAAGUUUCAUAAUUUUAUUAGAAGAAAAGAAAAAUUAUUUUUGAUUUCAUAGAAAGAAAUUUCAAUUUUAUUGUUAGUCUUUUAAGGUUUUGAAUUUAUUAUAUAUAAAAAAAAAAGAGUUUAACAAAUUUACUUAAAAAGUGAUUUUUCAAAUUUUAUUCAUAAAAGCAUUCCAAUUUGAUUUUUGAUUUAAAAAGGAACUUCAAAAUUCUAUAUUUAGAAAAUUUUACAUUUUCACGGUUUUUAAGAGAAAGAAAUUUUACUUGACCUUUACCAAAUAAAUAAAUAAAUAAAAUAAUUUUUAAGAUUUUGUGUUAAAAAAAAAAGAUCUCAAUUCAAUUUUAUUUUAAAAAACCGUUUACAAUUUUAUUUAUGGAAAAAAGUCUAUUACAAUUUUUAUAUAAGGUAAAAUUUGCUUAACUUUUAUUAAGAAAAGAAAUUUGUCUUUCAUUUUAAAAAAAGAAGAAUUUUUUAUAUUAUAAAUUUAUCUAAAAAUAAAAUUUAAUUAAUCUUUUAUUUCAAAACAAAAACAUUUUCAUAAUUUUAUUUAUAAAAAAAAUCUAGGCUUAAAAAAAAGAUUAUUUUAUUAGUUUAUCCAAAAAAAAUUGUUUAAUACUUAUUGAAAGAAAAUCUUUUACAAAUUUAAUUGGGAAGAAAAAAAAAAGAAAACAAAAUGUUUUUCCUUAAAUAAAUAAAAUACAAGUUUAUCUAAAAGGAAUUUGGUUUAUCUCAUAUUUAUUAAAAAAAAUGUUUUGAUAAUUUAAUUUAUAAAAUAAUUUUAAUCCAAAAUGCUUUUUCAAUGUUUUAGAAAUUGGACUAGUGAUUGAAAUGGAAAAGUUACCAAUUCACAAUUCAUUGGUCCCAGUUCAUUAGAAAAGUUAUUGAUGAUCAAAUCGUGGUCAAACCAGUGACAUCAUAAAUAAUAAUUUAUAUAUUAUAUAAAAUGUUAAAUGAUUAUAAUAAAUUAAAAUUAUAUAUAAUUAAAUAUUUUAUUUUUAUAUUUGAUAUAUCAAAUUAAAUGACGAAAAGAAAUAUAAGUAUAUUAAUAUUUGAAAUUUUAUUAAAUAGAACAUUUAUAACAUUUAAAUAUAAAGAUAUAUUUAAAAUGAAAAAAAAAAAUUUAUUUACAUGUAUUUUGUAUUUUAUUAGUUUGAAAUUAUUAUAUUAAUUAAUUUAUAUUAUUUUUUAAUCACAUUAUAUAAUUUUUAUAAAAAUAAAUGUGAAAGUGUUUUAUAUUUUGUACAAUAAAAUUUUGAAAAAAAUAAUAAUUUUGUUUUAUAUUUUUAUUUGCAAAUAUAAUACAAUGAAGAAGCUUCAUAGCUUAAUGGUUAAGCCUCAAUUUUUACACCUGAAGGUCCCAACUCAACUCUCCAACUUGCAAAAUUUUUUCUUUUUACUAACUAAUCCCACAUAAAAAAUGGAUAAAAAAAUAUGUAGGGAUUGUGGGGUAUAAAAGACAUGCAAAAAUUAUUAACUUGUAAGACUAAAAGCUUAUUGGGUUCGAUGACAAAUGGGUCGGAUGGGCUCCUCAUAGAGUGAUUUGGUUCCUUUAGAAAACAUUGUUGUUUUGGUGCAAAAUGCAUCAAAAUGUUUUUUUGGUUUUAAAAAAAAAAACAAAGAAAAAAGGUUGAACCAUUUGGUUUGAAAGGAACCGGUAGUUUCGUCGAUCCAAUCAUCGGUUCAAUCCUUGGACAACUCAAUUUGCCGGAUCAAACCAGUCGAUUCGGUUUGGUCUUUAAAACCAGUCGAUUCGGUUUGGUUUUUAAAACCAUGCGAUUUUUAACUUAAAACUGAUUUUUUUUUUUCAUUCACCAAAAAUCAACUUUCAUUUGAAUUAUAGAAUAUUUAAAAGUUAUUUUAAUUUCCUUUAAAAAAAAAAUACUUGCAAUUUAUUCAAAAAAGUUACCACGGUUUUAUUAAAAAAAAGAAAAAAGAAGCAUAUUUCAAAUUUAUCAUACAAAGAAAAGUUCAAAUUUAUUAAAAACAUAAUAACAUAUUAUAAAAGAAAGAAAGAAGAUUUCAAUGAGUUAAAAAAGAGAAAUUCCAUUUUAUUAGAAGAGAUUCUUUUUUUCUUUUCUGUUUUAUUCUAAAAACGUCUUUUUUCUUACUUUUAUUAAAAAUGAGUUUUUCAAUUUUAAUAUAUAUAUAUAUCUUAUCAAACAAAGAUUUUAGAAUAGUAAACAAAAAUUUAUUUAAAAGGAUUAAAUUUUUAUUCCAAAAAGAAUUUUGGUUCAAAGAAAAAUAAAAUAUAAUAAAAUAUUUUUCGAACAAAAAAAAAACAUUAUCUUACUAUAAGAUUAUUCUACCAACAGAGAGAUAAAAUACAAAUAAAUUACACCUUUCAUAUAUUUUUCAUUAACAAAAAAAUAAAAAUAAACAAAGGCUAACUAAGCAUAUUGUAGACCCCCCGGAGGCAGAGUUUUUUUUCUUGGGAUUUAUUUUAGGUCUUUUCUUUUUCCUACCUUUUUCUGAGGAGCCGCUCGACAUGAUGGUCAGGAGCUGGUUUUUGGGGUAGAGAGGGGACUCAAGUGGGCGGCUCUCGGGGGGCAGAUUGGACGGGAUACGGCUGGCUUGCUGAGGAAGACACGAACAGAAGAAAAACAGAUGAAAAAAAGUAGAAAAAUAGAGAUCAAGAGGUACGGGGAUGCAGCAGACUGGGGGAGAGGCUUUUCUUCAGCCAGACAUCGAGAUCAGUGGGGGGGCCGGAGGAGGAGACGAGAGGAGCUUUCUUUGGGUAGGGGGAUGGAGAGAUAUUUUCUGGGAUAUUCACCGAGGGGCUCUGGAUCUUGCUGGUAGAGUAGACAGAGGUUGGCGGUAAUCUAAGUGAGCUUCAUUGAAGAGGAGAUUCGCAGGUAUGGAGUAUCGUUUUUUUUUAAGGUCUUCCUCAUUGUCACUGUUCUUCAUCAUAUUCUCUGGCUACUUAGGCAUUGUUAGUUUUCUUGGUUGUGGAUUGAGAUUUGCUGAAUUUGGGUUCGUUUUUGUAAUUGCUCUGUUUUGGUUCUUUUUUGCAUUCUUUGUUUUCUCCUGUCAAUAACUGAUGUAUGGGUUGUUUUUGAGAUUGAUGUUUGAUUAAUCAUGCCCCGACUCCUAGCUUGUCUCACCUUUUUAGACCCAUUGAGUGUAUCAUGAGAUGGAGUCUUGAUCAAUGAACUCUGGGCGUGCCCUGUUUCUUGAGUCUUUCUUUUCUUUUCUUUUUGCCUUUGAAAAAUACCGACCAUUAUUUUGUAAACUACCCGAAAGCUCUUGGGAUGAGGGUAGAAAAUGUUUCUAACUUCAAGUGGUUUCUGGAUUCGACGGACCGGGGAAGUCGAAGGUUCAAGUUAUUGGUCUGGUUUUAGCUGCUGUCGAAAUGGGUGGAGGAACUGGCAGUAGUGAGGCUCCCAUGAUUGCUGGGAGAGGGAGGUUGGGUGCUGAUCAGCCUAUGAUUCUGCACAUGCUGGAUAUCCCUCCUGCUGCAGACGUCUUAAAUGGGGUCAGAAUGGUGGAAUUGAUGGAUGCUGAUUUUCUACUUUCUUAAGGGUGUUGUUGCUAUAGCCGAUGUUGUUGAGGCAUGCACUGUGGACAAUGUUGCUGUCUUGGUUGUUGGCUGGUUGUUGCUAACCCGGCAAACACAAAUUGCCUUAAUCCUGAAGGAAUUUGCACCAUCAAUUCCUGAGAAAAGCAUUAGUUUGAAAGUCUGAACAUUGAGGUGCCCAAGCAUGGAGGAGGAUGUGGAGGGAAUUUAUUAAAAAGAGUCAAUGGCCACGUGCAAGCCAAGGGAAUGUCCUUAGGGUAGCAAUAAAAAAAAACAACCCAGGCCACUUGAUGGUCCAAGUGUUAGCUUAUGAGACAUGAGUUUUAUUUAUUUCUUUAUUAUUGUAUGUGUUUCUAGUUUACCGUGUACCCAUUUAAAUAAUUCCCCCAAGUUCCGGAUUUCAAAUUCUAAUCCCCAAUUCUAAUUUUUCACACUUGUUUAUUUAGUCAUUAUUAUUAUUAUUAUUAUUAUUAUUAUUAUUAUUCUAUAUUUAUUUAAUUAUUUCAUUUAAAAAUUCUAAUCAUUAAAAUUCAGUUAUUCAAAAAUUUGACUUCCCAAUUUAAUGUUCAAUCUCAAAAAUUCCAUAAUUCAUUUUUACUCGUUUAAAUAUUGUUUUAGUUAAUUAGUAUUAUUAACCCAUAUUUAUUUAUUAUUUUGAGCAUUAAAGUCCAAUUCUUCAAAAUCUAACGUCCUAAUUUAACUUUUAAUCCCAAAAAUUUCACUAUUCAUUUUUACUCGUUUAAAUACUAUUUUCGUUAAUUAGUAUUAUUACUCCAUAUUUAUUUAUUAUUUUUAUCAUUAAAAUCCAAUUCUUCAAAAAUCCAGUGUCCUAAUUUAAAUUUCACUAUUCAUUUUGUUCGUUUAAAUAUUAUUUCCGUUAAUUAGCAUUAUUAUUCCAUUAAUUUAUUUUACAAAUUCCAAUAAUUAAAGUUCAAUUUUUCAAAAUUCCGUUUUCCGAAUUUAAUUUUCAAUAAAAAAUUCCGCUAUUCACGUUCAUUCGCUUAACCAUUAUUUUUGUUAUUAUUAUUAUUAUUAUUCCAUAUUUAUUUAUUUAUUUCUUUUAAAGUUCAAAUCAUUAAAAUUCAAUUCUUGAAAAAUCUGACUUCCGAAUUUAAGUUUCAAUCUCAAAGAUUCCACUAUUCACGUUCAUUCGUUUAAAUAUUAUUCUCAUUAUUAUUAUUAUCAUUUCAUUAAUUUAUUUUACAAAUUCCAAUAAUUAAAGUUCUAUUUUUCAAAAUUCCGUUUUCCAAUUUUAAUUUUCAAUCUCAAAAAUUUCACUAUUCACAUUCAGCUGUUUAAUGAUUAUUUUCGUUAUUAUUAUUAUCCCGCUCAUUUAUUUAUUCACUUAUUCAUACAUUUAAAACCUCAUCUCCAAAUAAUUUCCCAAAAUUUAAAUCUCUAAAUUCAAUCUCCAAUCUCUAAAAUUCUAUUUUUUUGCAAUUAUUUACUUAAUAUUUAUUAUUUAAUCAUUAUUAUUAUUCCAUUUAUUUAUUUAUUCACUUAUUUAUUUAUUAAAAUUCCGUCUUUAAAUAAUUCUUCAAAAUUCUAAUUCCCAAAUUUAGUUUUCUGAAAUUCCAAAAUCUUUCAAAUUUAAUUUUUAAAAUUCUCAUUCUUAUACUUAAUUUCUAAAAAUCCAAUUUUCAAAUAAUCUCUAAGACUCCGAUUUUCAAAAAGCUAGUUUUCCUUCGAACAAUCUUAAUUUAUGUUUGGUAAUGCAUGUGAUAUAUUUCGUGUUCUAUAUUGUGCACUGACUCUGUUUCCACGAUAGCGCGUUGCUGUUUGCUGCCCAGGUAAGCAUUCACUCAUUUUGAUCAUUCAUAAUACACAUUCUGAUUCCCAUAUACGCAUGAUUGAUGUGAGUAUCCAUAGACUUUCUUAUUGACUGCCACGUCAGCUUCAUUCUAUUAGUAGAGACCCGACUUUAGGGACUUAGAGGGGUGCUACGGUCUUUACCGUACCUUCCCGAUAAGUAACCUGACCCCCGAACCCGAUCUGGUUUUUCAUAGACCACCUUUUCCAAAAUAAGGAGUCACACUUAGGGUUUUUCUUUCUUAUUUUGUUUACCCUUUAAAAAUAAAACAAAAAUAAGUGGCGACUCCAAGUCAUUUUUCUUAAUCAAUAAAAAUCAAUUUUUCAAAUAAAAAAUCGAGUUUCGCCAUCGAGUGGGAAACGCAUUCGAGCGAUCGAAAUGCGGGGUCCACAAAAUGGCGACUCCGCUGGGGACAUUUUUUUAGAGGGACAAGCUUGAACUUAGAGUGAAGCAAACGUGGCAUUUGAUUGGGCGAUUAGUGGAUGCUCAUCUCUUGAUUGUACAUUGAGGAUUUCUUGAUGCAUGCUUAGAUGUCGUAUUCAUUCGAGAUUUUGGCAUGUUGGAUUAUUGAUGAUUGAUCUUAUUGCAUUGAUUAGCACAUUGAUUCUGAUUUUGCCAUGCUUGUUCUGAUCACUUCACAUGCAUACACUCACCACUGUAUAUCACUCGACUUGACAUGUUAAUUCUCUGACUUGUAAUACUGUUUUGACCGUCCUUGAGCAUGAUGUUUAUAUCACUAUUCGUCUUGAUUGUCGUAUUCUCGCUUAUCUUGUGUGUACAUGAGUGAUAUAUCCUGCUCUGCCUGACUGUAUGAUGCAUGACUGCCCUCCCUCUGCACGAUUGCAUGCCGCUUGUCUAUGUGGGUCUCACUUCUAUCCCCUUACUUCCAAAUCUCUUGGUCUCGGUCAUUCUUUUCAUCUCGGUUCUCACUAUUGCAAGUGUGAAACCUUCUAUAUACUUGCUCUCUGACCGAGCCCGAGAUUAGGAGUAGGGUCUAGCGACGGGCUAUAUCGAUACACGGGAGCAUUCUGGAGGAGAGCGACACUUUGAUGUCGAUUGGAGUCCGAUCAUUGAAGACCUGUAUAGCCCCGAGCUAGGUUUCAUGGAUAGUUGUGCGACCAGUGUGUUCCCUCUUCUGCUCUAGAUUCUUAGGGUUUUCGGAUGCACCCACACCUUUAACUGUGCACUUUAGUUGACCAUUGAGCGUCAAGAGUUUGAGAGGUUUCACCAUAGGAAACCCCCUGGGAUGUCGAGGUAGUGCAUGUGUGGAGGUGAUGACCACCUUGCAUGGAAGCACCCCGUCUCUUUUUGAGGCGUGAAGAUGGUUGCGUACCGCCGGAGGGUACGAUCGCUUCUGCUAGGGAUCUUUUAAAUUCCACCCAUAUCCAUUUAGAGCCACCUUCACCUUGUAGGUUGAGUCGUAGAUCCUUCAAUUAGGACUCCCUCCCUACACGUGGGUGCAUCCGUGGGCCUUCAGAGCCAGUUCAGUAGUAACAGGUUUGGUUACCUUCGCAGUAGUCUCUUAUAUAUCUGCUCAGGGUUGGAUAUCGGUUUGUUCGCUUCCAGGCUACCUUUUGACACAUUUGGUAGACAUUCUUUGUGAAGUUUCCCUUACCCCGCACCUUAUCUAGUAUUUUUACUAUUGUAGGAGUACCGACACGUUCAGUCUGGGUUUGACUUCUUGGAUCAGAGUUGGGGGUAGAUUGAUCAGGGUAUCGGACCAGUUAGGCCAGAGAUCAGAUCAGAGGGAUAUGGAUUCACAGAUAGUUACCGUCGAUCAGUUCGCUGAGGCCAUGGCUUCGAUUCAGGAGGCUAUAGCUAGCCUUGGCCGGAGGAUAGAUGGGCAGCAGGCCCAGCAGGUCCCGCCCCCGGUUGGUGCCCAGUAUGACCCUACAGUGCCACCACCUCCUCCACCCAGUCAGUCAGCGCCACAGGCCAUGCCGUUCACUCUGCAUAGUCAGACCGGGGUUGCCCCGCCUCCCAUCACCGUGCCCACCCCGACCUCAGAGGACCCACAUGCUCGCAUGGAUAGACUUGAGCAGGGUUUGAGACAGUUGAGGGCUUCAGACAGAGCCACUACUUGGGAGGGUUUUGAUGGAGUGCCGGUAGCUAGCUUGCCGGCUAAGUUCAGGAUGCCUGACAUUGAGAGGUAUACUGGCAUUGGUUGUCCACGCCUCCAUCUUCGAUUAUACAGCACCGUGAUGAGGGCUCAUGGACUGGACGAGCCUCAGAUGAUUACUCUUUUCCCACUAUCUUUGAGUCGAGCGGCCCAGCGUUGGUUUGCAUCUCUGGAGGCCUCGAGGCGCCGCACAUGGGACGACUUGGCCCAGGAGUUCCUACGACAGUUUUCGUUUAACACUGUCGUAGAUGUAUCGAGGAGGGAGCUCGAGGCUUUGAGAUAGAGGACGGAGGAGUCUGUUUCUUCUUUCAUUUCUCGCUGGCGUGGGAAGAUAGCUGAGAUUAUCGAUAGACCAUCAGAGAAGGACCAGAUUCAGAUGGUUUUGAGGAGCCUGCAGCCGCGGAUCGCCAGACAUGUGGUAGGGGCCCCGUUCACAGAUUUUGGGUCUCUAGUUAUGGCUCUGUAUGAUGUCGAGGACGGUAUCUCGAGAGGUUUAUGGACAGAUUCUUCCCCUAGUGAUGUUAAGGGGAAGAAACCAUUCGUAGGACAGAGGUCGACAGAUGUUAGUGCUAUCAGUUCAUCCAGUCAGAGGCCUCCUAGACGCUACCAGCCGAUCCCACAGUUUCCCGAGCCUCAUUCGUCCUAUGCCUCUCAUCAGUACAGGCCACGGGCACCUCGACCAGCUUAUGAUCAGGCAUAUACUCCGCAGACUUUGGCUUUGCCUUAUUAUGCCCCCCAAGGCAUUGAGAGACCCCCGGUUUCCUACACGGCCACAGGACAGCCAUGCUAUGCUGCUCAGUUCACUGCGAGACCCGCAGCGCCUUAUCCCCGACCCAGAGCUCAGCAGACUUCUGCUCCCUUUGCUUUGAGGACGCAGAGGCAGUUCUCAUAGAUAGGCAUGCCGUUGAGCCAGGCUCUUCGGAAGCUUACAGAGGCUGGGUUAUUGACUACUCUCACCCCUCGGCCGCCGCCUCAGCCGAUUCCACCUCAGUUCAGGAUGGAUCUACACUGUGCAUACCAUCAGGGGCCUGGGCAUGAGACCGAUCGAUGCACCGCUUUGAGACAUGCCGUUCAGGAUUUGAUCGACCAGGGUUUGGUACACUUAGGUCAGCCGAGUGUGACCACGAACCCGUUGCCUGCUCACACCACACAUGCAGUCCCUCCACCAGCCGAUGACAUUCAUUUCUUAGAGUUUGAUGAGAUCGAUGAUCACAUCCACAUGCUGAGUGAUGAUGAUUCAGACCCAGAGCCCAUCAUGCUAGAUGUGAUUUAUGAGACGAGUGGGGUGACUCUGGGUCCUCGGACGCCUGCUCCCUUCCGAUUAGUUCCCGAGGCGGCGUCCGUGCAGGCUGCCACAGUUGAGCCAUUGAUUUUGCCGCAUUACAGUGUCCAGACGCCUUUCAUCUUGAUCCCGGAUGUUGAGGGGGUUCAGGCUCCGUACGUUGAUGAUUCUCAGACUCUGGACAUUCAGUACGUUCUCCGAGGAGGUAGAGUGAUGAGACAGCCACCUCCAGCUGCUGCCGCUAGACCCUUAGGGGGUACGUCAUCCCAAGAGGAGGUCAGAGUAGAGGAUGACGAGAUUUUGAGGCAGUUGCAGAGCACUCAGGCUCGUAUUUCUAUCUGGAGCCUUUUAGCGUCCUCCAGUACUCAUCGGGAUGCACUGACUCGAGCUCUGAGCCAGAUCAGAGUUGAUACCACGACCACUCCUGAGGGACUCAUUCAUAUGAUGACGGCUGGCAGAGCCACUUGUAUCGUCUUUUCCGAUGACGACUUGCCACCAAAGAGAUCUGGCCACACGCGUCCUCUCUAUAUAUCUGUUGGCUGUUCAGGUCGCCGAGUUCCAUCUGUCCUUCUGGACAAUGGCUCGGCCCUGAACGUAUGUCCUCUGGCCACCGCCAUCGCUCUUGGGUACGCACCAUCCGACUUCGGUCCAUCCACUCAGACCGUUCGAGCUUAUGACAGUACCCGUAGAGAGGUCAUGGGUACAUUGGAGAUUGAGCUCCUGAUAGGUCCGACCACAUUUAUCACUAUCUUUCAGGUUUUGAGGAUUCCUACAUCCUUUAACCUGCUUUUGGGCCGACCGUGGAUUCAUCGAGCUGGAGCCAUUCCUUCUUCACUUCAUCAGAAAGUGAAGUUCAUCCAUGAGGGCCAGGUAGUCGUCGUACAGUCGGCAGGGGACAUGUUCAUUUCCGCUGAGCCCGUGCUCCAGAUCAGCCACAGUGACGAUGAUUUACUACUGACCGGGUUCACUUUUGAUGAGGUACAGACUCUUGAGCUGGGAGACUUUUGCCGAGACUUCAUCGCUAUGUCCUUUGACCAGCAUGGGAGCAUAGUGGUGCUUGAUAUCAUGAGAGGCAUGUCCUAUCUACCCGGCAUGGGGUUGGGUCGACGUCAGCAUGGACCGAGCGAGUUCAUCACCAUCCCUGAUCAUGACGUACCAUUUGGGCUUGGGUUCAUCCCCACCGAGGCUGACUAUCGAUACAUGGCGCGUUUGCGCAAGGAGAGAGCGAGGGCUCGGCUGACCCACACGCCUUUCGACUAUCCUCUUCGCCCAUACACCAGGAGCUUAUCUGAUUACUUUGUGAGGGCAUCGGAGUCACAUGCACCAUCUGAUGGGAUCAUCGGAGGACUCAGCACCACCCAGGAGGCCGAGCUUCAGCGCCUCGUCCAGCAGUUACAGUUGAGUGACGGAGCCCCUGGCCCUUCGGCUUCUGUGUUGAUUGCUCCUCUUUCCCCAGAUCGCACGAGCCUUAUGACGCUUUGCUUCCCGGAUGAGAUCGAUGAUCACGGGACUUUUGCCGAGAUUGGAGACGUAGCGGAUGGAGCCGUGCCGCGUGACGAGUACGUUGAUGAGAUGCUCGCGAUGAGUUUGAGCCAGACCGAGGAGAUGGCCCCGCCGGAGCUCGCUUCACCUUUUGAUCUCUUUGGGGUGUCCGUCCUCGAGAUCGCCGAGGAGAUCCAGGUUGCCCCCACUCCAGAGGCCGUCGAGGAUGUUAUAGUUGCUGUUGAUUUGUUUGAUGGCCCUGUUGGCCUAGUUGAGGGAGCGUCCGACCUUGUGGACCCACCUCUCACCUUUGAUGUUUUAUCGGGAUUUGUCUCCCGUCAUGACUAUGUUUCUGACUUUUCAUCUAUGGAUUUGAGCACCUUUGAGUAUUUGCCUGUCUCUCAUGUUAUUGAUUUAUCUGCACCAUCUUCACCCACAUCACAGAUUUUUGAUAUUGAUGAUGAGAUUGCGCAGCACGACUCAGACGAUGACUCGUCUUCUACUUCCGAUUCAGACCCCGUUGAUCAGAGAGUUUCACCUGCUGUAGGGGACACCGAGAUUGUUGACUUUGGCACGGCAGAUCAGCCUAGGGAGUUGAGGAUCGGAUCGGAUUUGUCUACAGAUGAGAGAGAUAGCCUCAUCCAGCUACUCAGAUCCUACUUGGACGUUUUCGCGUGGUCCUAUGAGGACAUGCCAGGCCUUGAUCCCUCUAUCGUCCAGCAUCGUUUGCCACUUCUGCCCCAGGCCAGACCGGUUAAGCAGAAGUUGAGACGAUUGCACCCUCGUUGGAGCUUACAGGUGAAAGAGGAGAUCCAGAAGCAGCUCAGUGUAGGAUUCUUAUCAGUGGUUGAGUACCCGGAGUGGCUGGCCAAUGUCGUCCCUGUUCCCAAGAAGGACGGCAAGGUGAGAGUCUGUGUUGAUUUCCGAGAUCUCAACAAGGCCAGUCCUAAGGAUGAUUUUCCUCUUCCACACAUCGACAUGCUAGUUGACAGUACGGCAGGUCAUUCGAUGUUGUCCUUUAUGGACGGAUUUUCCGGGUACAGUCAGAUCUUGAUGGCUCCAGAGGACAUGGAGAACACGUCCUUCAUUACCGAGUGGGGCACUUAUUGCUAUAGAGUCAUGCCAUUCGGAUUGAAGAACGCAGGAGCCACAUAUCAGAGAGUAGCGACCACACUCUUCCAUGACAUGAUGCAUCGGGAUGUCGAGGUUUACGUAGACGACAUGAUAGUGAAAUCCCGAGAUAGAUCAGAUCAUUUGGCAGCUCUUGAGAGGUUCUUUGAGAGGAUCAGACAGUUCAGAUUGAGACUGAAUCCCAAGAAGUGCACUUUCGGAGUGACUUCCGGGAAACUCUUGGGAUACAUGGUCAGUGAGCGAGGCAUAGAGGUAGAUCCGGACAAGAUUAGAGUCAUUCUUGACAUGCCUGCGCCGAGGACAGAGAGAGAGGUCAGAGGCUUCCUGGGCAGACUUCAGUAUAUCAGUAGAUUCAUAGCCAGAUUGACAGACAUCUGCGAGCCCAUAUUUCGACUCUUGAAGAAGAGUCAACCUACUGUUUGGGAUGACCAGUGCCAGCGUGCCUUCGAGAGGAUCAGAGAGUACUUGUUAUCACCUCUUGUUUUGGCGCCUCCUACACCAGGCCGUCCUCUACUCUUAUACUUGUCCGUAUCAGACGUGGCCUUGGGUUGCAUGUUAGCUCAGCUCGAUGAUUCGGGCAAGGAUCGAGCCAUUUACUAUUUGAGUAAGAGGAUGUUAGACUACGAGACGAGGUAUGUCAUGAUUGAGCGUUAUCGUUUGGCAUUGGUUUGGGCCACUCGCCGGUUGAGACAUUACAUGACCGAGUAUUCCGUGCAUUUGAUAUCUCGCUUGGAUCCUUUGAGAUAUUUGUUUGACAGACCCGCUCUGGUUGGUCGCCUUAUGAGAUGACUGGUACUUCUUACUGAGUUUGACAUCCAUUAUGUCACUCAGAAGUCCAUCAGAGGGAGCAUUGUAGCAGAUCAUCUAGCCUCAUUACCAGUUUCUGAUGCCAGAGCUAUUGACGAUGAUUUUCCAGACGAGGAUGUCGCUGCUGUGACUAGUCUGUCAGGUUGGCGCAUGUACUUUGAUGGCGCGGCCAACCAUUCCGGAUAUGGGAUAGGCGUCUUGUUGAUAUCCCCUCACGGUGAUCACAUUCCCAGAUCAGUUCGUUUGGCAUUCUCGGAUCGACACCCUGCCACGAACAACAUUGUUGAGUAUGAGGCUUGUAUCUUGGGAUUAGAGACGGCCCUUGAGCUCCGGAUUAGACAGAUGGAGGUGUUUGGUGACUCCAAUCUGGUAUUGAGACAGAUUCAGGGCGAGUGGAAGACUAGAGAUGUGAAGCUUAAGCCUUAUCAUGCAUAUUUGGAGCUACUGGUUGGGAGAUUUGAUGAUUUGAGAUAUACCCAUCUGCCUAGAGCGCAGAACCAGUUUGCUGAUGCUUUAGCUACUCUAGCUUCCAUGAUCGAUAUUCCCGUUGACGCCACUGUUCGACCUUUGUUGAUCGAGUCGAGAUCUGCUCCUGCUUACUGUUGCCUGAUCGAUGAUGUAGAGCCAGAUGAUGGUUUGCCAUGGUAUCACGACAUAUAUCACUUUUUGAGACUCGGCAUAUAUCCUGAGGCCGCCACGGCCAAGGAUAAGAGAGCAUUGAGACAGUUGGCCACUCGUUUCGUGAUUUGUGGCGAGACACUAUAUAGGCGAUCACCUGACGGGAUGCUAUUAUUGUGUUUGGACCGCGCCUCUGCCGAUCGGGUGAUGAGAGAGGUUCAUGCGGGAGUCUGCGGACCACAUAUGGGAGGACAUAUGUUGGCUCGUAAGAUCAUGAGGACAGGAUACUUCUGGUUGACCAUGGAGACAGAUUGCUGCCAGUUUGUUCAGAGGUGUCCCGAGUGUCAGAUACACGGAGAUCUCAUUCACGUGCCGCCCUCCGAGCUGCACGCACUGACUUCACCAUGGCCAUUUUCCGUCUGGGGUAUUGAUAUCAUCGGGAAGAUUUCACCAAAAUCUUCCAGUGGUCAUGAGUUCAUCCUGGUCGCCAUCGAUUACUUCACCAAGUGGGUGGAGGCCGCUUCGUAUGCGAGGUUGACAUCGUCUGGAGUUGCUAGUUUCAUCAGAUCACACAUUAUCUGUCGCUAUGGAGUCCCUCAUGAGUUGAUUUCAGACAGAGGAGUACAUUUCAGAGCAGAGGUUGACACCUUAGUACAGAGAUACAGCAUCCGGCAUCAUAGAUCGUCUGCGUACAGGCCGCAGACGAAUGGGGCAGUAGAGGCCGCAAAUAAGAAUAUCAAGAGGAUAUUACGGAGGAUGGUCGAGACUUCUCGGGAUUGGUCAGAGAAGCUCCCAUUUGCAUUGUGGGCUUAUCGGACUUCUUUUCGCACCUCUACAGGCGCCACACCCUACUCCUUGGUAUAUGGCAUGGAGGCGAUGCUACCCGUUGAGAUUGAGAUGGGUUCGUUGAGAGUAGCAUUGGAGCAGCAGAUUCCCGAGGCAGAUUGGGCUCAGGCUCGAUUUGAUCAGCUCAAUCUCCUAGAUGAGAGGAGAUUGAGAGCAGCAGACCAUGUUCGUGCGUAUCAGAGGAAGAUGGCCCGCGCUUUCAAAAAGCGGGUCAAGCCCAGACCAUUACAGAUAGGUGACUUAGUUCUGAAAGUCAUCAGGGGAUUGAUCAAAGAUCCUAGAGGGAAGUUCAGACCCAACUGGAGCGGACCUUAUUUCAUCAGGGAGUUGACCCCAGAGGGCGCUGCAUGGUUGAUGGAUUUAGAUGGAAACCGAUUCUCAGAGCCAACCAAUGUGGAUCAGCUAAAGAGGUACUAUGUUUGAGACCAUGGUCGCAGGAUGGGUGGCCAUCAUUUCGGUUAGCCAUUUACCUUGUUACUCCCUUUUGAUACAUAGUUCGUUGCUAGCCCAUUGAGCCUCGCAUGCGCAUUAUAGCCUUUCUUUCUUAUCGCCUUGCUCACAUUUUCACACCGGGAUAGGGGCCCUUUAAUGUAUGCAUGCAUUGUUUGGUAGUUUCAUGAGCUUUGGACCUAGAGGCAUGUUUUUUCUCAUUGUCUUUUCCUAUCACUACACCUUUGCAUUUUCAUCUCAUCUUAUUGGUUAUGUUAUUCAUCUCUUCUUCCUUAUCCUAUCUACUAUCUGUUUGUUUCAUAUUUCGCUUCACCCUGGGGGGUGAUCCUCCUCAGUUCAUCACAUGGAGGGUAGUCACAUCAUUUCCGCCAUCUAUCUCGCGGACACUGAUUUAGAGAUCCUUGGUUUGAGAAGGUCAUCUUGUCAGAGAGAGUUUGUUUGUUACCUUAGCACUUGGGGGUGUGUCCAUUUGUUAUCGAUAUCAUCUUUGGGGUUCAUUUGUUCAUGUUCAGGGUACGCGUAUUUGUAUAUAUGUAAAAAAAAAAAAAAAAAAAAAAAGAAAAAAAAAGAAAAAGAAAAUUAUUAUUAUUAUUAUUAGCACAUGUGUGUAUGUGCAUAGUGUUCUCGAUCAUUGGGUAUGUAUAUUGAUGUUUGGGGGUCAUUUUUAUCGAGUAUGUUCGUUAUUGGGAGUUCGUAUGUGAGCUCUCUGAGAUCCCAUGUUAUUUGUAUUACUUCGUCAUAUCUAUUUGUGAGAGAGAUGAGUGACCUUCUCCUAAGGACUCCGAGUCAUUGUCCUUCCCAUCAUUACAUUCAUUAUUGAUGUGACUUCACUUCAUGUUUGAUCUGAGUCGAUCACUACCUUUCUUCACAUAUCCAUUGUUUCGCUGUCGUUUUUAUCGUUGCUUGUGAUUCAUCUCAUUCCCUUCACAUCUUAUUUUCCCCUUACAGUGACCCAUCUCGGGUUCGAUACUUCGCAUCAUCAUUACACAUAUCACUACCAGUUCAUUUUGCUUCAUUUGUCUCCUUGUCGAUAUCAUAUUCACGUUAGGCAUUCUCAGGUCCAUGGCUCAUGGGGUUCACUAUACAUGUUGCAUUUCAUAUAUGAGGGCAUGAGUUUUGAUCAUUGGGUAUUUGAGCCUAGUUUCCUUUCAUUUCUAUCACCCUAUCACCUUGGCCUACGUUACGUCCCGCGUCUUAAGACCACCCUGAGGCCAUGGGAUCAGAUGUCGUAUUCGGCAGCCUCUACUUGGACAGUGAUUGAGAUCUGGUUGAUAUUUAGAUAUUGUCAUGCUUCUUCUUCUGGGAGUCGCCUCUUUGAUGUGUAGGUUUGAUUCAGUUGUGUUCGGAUUACCAGGAUCGUGAGUUUGAUGAUGAUUGAUUUGGUGUCACCUGAUUUUUGACCUAUCAUACCUCUGGUACCACACUGGGGCAUAUCCCAUUUCAUUUAGAGGUUCAUGGAUCCUCACGGACUUGCGCGAUCAUCACUUACUGGAUGCUCAUCGAGACGUGGACAUGAUUGUUUACCUUACGGAGCCUCUGAGAUCCACCCAGCCGGGUCCGCACUUCUCGACACUUGGAUUCCAUCAUACCUCUCCACCUGGGAGGUACAUUUUGGAUAUGUGUGCAUGAUUCAGUUAUGGAUUCGGACGACCAUUGUUACAUGUUCGAUGACAGAUGAUUUCGUGUCGCUCGAUUUCUGACCUGUCGUGCAUCCGAUGCCCAUACUGGGGCAUAUUUUCCGUUUCGGAUGAGAUUUACGGACUUUCAUGGAGGUCACAUGUGCGAUGAUGGAUGAUUUCAUGACAUUUGUUCUUCGGACCUGUCGCGCACCUGAUGCCAUACGGGGGCAUAUUCCGUUUCAGAGGAUCUUUAUGGAUCUUUGCAGAGGUCACAUGUUCGAGGAUAGAUGAUUCCAUGCUAUCUGAUCUCCGACUUAUCAUACAUUUCGAUGUCAUAUAGGAGCAUAUUUCGGUUCGGAUGAGAUUUACAGAUCAUGAGGGAGUCGCGUGCUUAGCCUUAUUUGGCAAGACGUAUGCAGAGAUGAUGAUAUAUUUGCUAUCCUCACGAUGAUUCCUUAGUGGAGCCUAUCGAGAGCCGUCUAGCCAGGCAUGGAUGACCUGAGCUCAUCGGAUUUUUCGACGUAUUGCAUUCUCGAUGCCACAUUAGGGCACAUUCCCCAUUUUGAUCGAGAUUUAUAGAUCCCCACUGGUUUACAUGAUCAUCCACGGUUAUGAGAUACAUGCCAGGUCGAUGUUUGAUAUCAUUUUGUCUGGCUACUCCGAGGAGCCUCUUUUGAGUCAUUCAGCCAGAUUCAUACCCUUUGAUAUAGUCGUAUGGAGUUGUCUCUGGUGCCUGGAUUUCCCGCGUCAUCAUUUCAGAGGGAUACGAUCUGUUACGCGUCCCAUUGGUGUUAUUCUCGGGUCAUCAGGGCAGAUCGGGUACAUCGGGUGUCAUACUGGGACAUAUUUCUGUUUUGGAUGAGAUUUACGGAUCUUCACGGAGGUCACGUGCUCGACGAUAGAUGAUUUCUUGUCGCUUUUCUUCUGACCCGUCCCACAUUUGAUGCCAUACUAGGGCAUAUUUUCCGUUUCGGAUGAGAUUUAUGGAUCUUCACUUAUGUCACAUGAUCGAGGAUAGACGAUUUCAUGCCACCCGAUCUUCGACCUAUCAUACAUUUGAUGUCAUACUGGGGCAUAUUUCCGUUUCGAUUGAGAUUUACGGAUCUUCAUGGAGUUGCAUGCUCAUCCCCACUUACGAGAUACACGUUGACACGAUGUUUCCUCCGUGGAGCCUCUCAGGAGUUACCCAGUUAGGGCUGCGCUUCGCGACGCCUCGAUGUCAUCAUGUUUUCCUUCCGGGGGACGCCCUUUUGAUCUAUGGGUCUGAUUCAGUUGUGCACGUGGAUGAUUUGGAUCGCGCAUUCGAUGACGGGUGAUCUGAGCUCAUCUGGUUCUUCUGACCUAUCACACAUCCGAUGUCAUACUGGGGCAUACCCCCAUCCUUGAGUCCACCAGGUAUUUUGCGAUUUUCUCAUCACUUGAUCCACAUCUGGAUCUUUGCGGGUCGUCAUGCUGGGGCAUCCCCCCGCUGUCAUUUCGUUUGGGGCAUCUCCCCCACUGUCAUUUACGUUUGGGGCAUCCCCCGCUGUCAUUUUCGUUUGGGGCAUCCCCCACUGUCAUUUUCGUUUGGGGCAUCCCCCCACUGUCAUUUACGUUUGGGGCAUCCUCCCAUUGUCAUUUCGUUAGGGGCAUCCCCCCGCUGUCUUUACGUUUGGGGCAUCUCCCCACUGUUAUUUAUGUUUGGGGCAUCCCCCCACUGUCAUUUACGUUUGGGGCAUCCCCCCAUUGUCAUUUCGUUUGGGCCAUCCCCCCACUGUCAUUUUGUUUAGGGCAUUUCCCCACUGUUAUUUACGUUUAAGGCAUCCCCCUAUCUUCAGUUUGUUUAGGGCAUUCCCCUACCGUCAGUUCGCUUAGGGCAUCUCCCUUUGUUUCAGAUUUAUCACCACCGUAGGUCUUCACCUAUGGGCCUUAUAGUUUAGUGUUUAGAGUUAGCUUUUUGGUUUGACUUUCAUAGCUAUCAUUUUUCUCAGUUUAGCAUUUAGAGUUAGCUUUUUGGUUUGGCUUCUAGAGCCAUUAUUCUUCUAGUUUAGUGUUUAGAGUUAGCUUUUUGAUUUGGCUUCUAGAGCUAUUAUUUUCUCAGUAUCAGUGGUCAGAGCCAUCCUCGUCGCUUUUUUUAGCUUCGGCGUUUAGAGCCAUCACUUCUCAGUAUCGACAUUCAGAGCCCAUACUGGGGGAUAUUUUCUGUUUGGGAUGAGAUUUACGGACUUUCAUGGAGGUCACAUGUGCGACGAUGGAUGAUUUCAUGACAUUUGUUCUUCGGACUUGUCGCGCACCUGAUGCCAUACUGGGGCAUAUUCCGUUUUGGAGGAUCUUUAUGGAUCUUCACAGAGGUCACAUGUUCGAGAAUAGAUGAUUCCAUGCUAUUUGAUCUCCAACCUAUCAUACAUUUCGAUGUCAUAUAGGAGCAUAUUUCGGUUCGGAUGAGAUUUACAGAUCGUGAGGGAAUCGCGUGCUUAUCCUUAUUUGGCGAGAUGUAUGCAGAGAUGAUGAUAUAUUCGCUAUCCUCACGAUGAUUCCUUAGUGGAGCCUAUCGAGAGCCAUCUAGCCAGGCAUGGAUGACUUGAGCUCAUCUGAUUUUUCUUGGUGCCACACUGGGGCAUAUUCCCCAUCUUGAUCGACAUUUGUAGAUUCCCCACUGAUUUGCAUGACCACCCUCAGUUAUGAGAUACACGUCAGGUUGAUGAUUCGAUUCCAUUUUAUCCUGAUACUCCGAGGAGCCUCUUUUGAGUCUUUCAGCCAGAUCUUACUCUCUGAUACAGUCGCAGUUCUUGGACGGAGUUAUGUCGAGUGCUUGGAUCCCCACGUCACCAUCUCAGUGGGGGUACAUAUCAGAUCUUUUACGCAUCCCCAUGUUAUUCUCGGGUUAUCAGGACGGAUCGGGUACAUCUGAUGCCAUACUAGGGCAUAUUUCCCUCCUUUAGCCAUGGAGGCGAUCGUUCUCUCACAGACCCGUUAUAGCUUUUGUCACUCAGCCAAGAGAUAUUGUGUUCGCCUCAUUGACCAUUAUUCCUGAGCUCUUCAUCGAGAUAAGCUCUCAGUGGAGCGUUGAUCGAGACUCAUAGAGUCCCUUUCAGCCAUCUUUAGCGGUUUGAGAUUCGCAGCGGCAUGCCACACUGGGGCAUAUUUCCCUCUCAUUGUCUCCUUACGGUCUGGUGUUCAGGGUCGCCGUUCAUUCACGGUUUACGACAUUCAAAGUUAUCAUGUCACACUUUCAGUUCGGCGUUCAGAGCCACUUCUCUAGUUCUUGCCGUUCAGAGUCAUCAUCAUCUCUUUUUAGUUUCGACGUUCCGAGCCAUCAUCGCCUCUUUUCAGUUCGGCUUUUAGAGCCAUCAUUGGUUUUCAGAUCGACAUUCAGAGUCGCAUCCUCAGUUUCGGCGUUCAGAGCCAUCACCGUGUUUUCAGUUCGGCGUUCAGAGCCAUCAUCGGUUUUCAGAUCGACAUUCAGGGUCGCAUCCUCGGUUUCGACGUUCAGAGUCGUUAUCACUUCUCAGUUUGACGUUCAGGGUCAUCGUCAUUACUUUUUAGUUUCGGCGUUCAGAGCCAUCAUCGGUUUUCAGAUCGACAUUCAGAGUCGCAUCCUCAGUUUCGACGUUCCAAGCCAUCAUCACAUCUUCGUUGGCGUUCAGAGCCAUCAUCGCUUCUCAGUUUUGGCAUUCAUAGCCAUCACUGUUUUCGAUUUAGGCUUCCAGAGCCAUUACUGUCAUCUUGUUUAGGCUUUCAGAGCCAUUACUGUCAUCUUGUUUAGGCUUCCGGAGCCAUUAUCGUCAUCUUGUUUAGGCUUCCAGAGCCAUCACCGUCAUCUUGCUUAGGCUUCCAGAGCCAUUAUCGUCAUCUUGCUUAGGCUUCCAGAGUCAUCACUGUCAUCUUAUUUAGGCUUCCAGAGCCAUUUCUAUCAUUUUGUUUAGGUUUCCAGAGCCAUCACCAUCAUCUUGUUUAGGCUUCCAGAGCCACUACUGUCAUCUUGCUUAGGCCUUCAGAGCCAUUACCGUCGUCUUAUUUCGGCUUCCAGAGCCAUCACUAUCAUCUCAUUUAGGCUUCCAGAGCCAUCACUAUCAUCUCAUUUAGGCUUCCAGAGCCGUCACUAUCGUCUCGUUUAGGCUUCCAAAGUCAUCACUGUCAUCUUGUUUAGGCUUCCAGAGCCAUUUCUAUCAUCUUGUUUAGGUUUCCAGAGCCAUUACCAUCAUCUUGUUUAGGCUUCCAGAGCCACUACUGUCAUCUUGCUUAGGCUUUCAGAGCCAUCACUAUCAUCUCAUUUAGGCUUCCAGAGCCAUCACUAUCAUCUCAUUUAGGCAUCCAGAGCCAUCACUAUUGUCUCGUUUAGGCUUCCAAAGCCAUCAUUGUCGUCUUGUUUAGGCUUCCAGAGCUGUUAUUUUCUAGUUUAGCUUUUAGAGUCAGUUUUUUGUUUGGUUUCCAGAGCUUUUACUUUCUUGGUUUAGUGAUUAGAGUUAGCUUUUCGGUUUGGCUUCCAGAGCUUUUAUUUUCUCAGUUUAGUGCCUAGAGUCGGUCUUGUCAUCCAGAGUCACAACUCCUGGCAUUCAUGUCCACUGGCAUUGCACAUCUUACCUUCAGGGUUUUGCAUUCGUCCUCGACUUUCCUCACUUCGUUACCCGGUGCUUAUCCCAUAUUCAUCUCGUACUCCAGGGUGGUUCGACCGUUACUCAUCUUUGACAUUGAUCUCUUGAGUCACCUGUAGAGAUGUCUUAGAGGGAGUCUGGGUCCUCGAUGCAGCUUUCGAGGCGCCUUGAGCCUCUCUUAGAAUUUUAGAGCCUCGAGUGAGUUUGUGUUCUACUUGUACCUUUCGGGUUCGGGGGUCUUUCUUUGUUCUUCGAUAGAGUUCACUUCAUUUCAGUCACUUUUCACACUUCUUUUUCACUCUAGUGUUCACAUUCCUUACACUCGUGAACUCUAUCAAAGAGGGGCAUAUUUGUAGACCCCCCCGGAGGCAGAGUUUUUUUUCUUGGGAUUUAUUUUAGGUCUUUUCUUUUUCCUACCUUUUUCUGAGGAGCCGCUCGCCAUGAUGGUCAGGAGCUGGUUUUUGGGGCAGAGAGGGGACUCAAGUGGGCGGCUCUCGGGGGGCAGAUUGGACGGGAUACGGCUGGCUUGCUGAGGAAGACACGAACAGAAGAAAAACAGAUGAAAAAAAGUAGAAAAAUAGAGAUCAAGAGGUACGGGGAUGCAGCAGACUGGGGGAGAGGCUUUUCUUCAGCCAGACAUCGAGAUCAGUGGGGGGGCCGGAGGAGGAGACGAGAGGAGCUUUCUUUGGGUAGGGGGAUGGAGAGAUAUUUUCUGGGAUAUUCACCGAGGGGCUCUGGAUCUUGCUGGUAGAGUAGACAGAGGUUGGCGGUAAUCUAAGUGAGCUUCAUUGAAGAGGAGAUNNNNNNNNNNNNNNNNNNNNNNNNNNNNNNNNNNNNNNNNNNNNNNNNNNNNNNNNNNNNNNNNNNNNNNNNNNNNNNNNNNNNNNNNNNNNNNNNNNNNNNNNNNNNNNNNNNNNNNNNNNNNNNNNNNNNNNNNNNNNNNNNNNNNNNNNNNNNNNNNNNNNNNNNNNNNNNNNNNNNNNNNNNNNNNNNNNNNNNNNNNNNNNNNNNNNNACUUCCGAAUUUAAGUUUCAAUCUCAAAGAUUCCACUAUUCACGUUCAUUCGUUUAAAUAUUAUUCUCAUUAUUAUUAUUAUCAUUUCAUUAAUUUAUUUUACAAAUUCCAAUAAUUAAAGUUCUAUUUUUCAAAAUUCCGUUUUCCAAUUUUAAUUUUCAAUCUCAAAAAUUUCACUAUUCACAUUCAGCUGUUUAAUGAUUAUUUUCGUUAUUAUUAUUAUCCCGCUCAUUUAUUUAUUCACUUAUUCAUACAUUUAAAACCUCAUCUCCAAAUAAUUUCCCAAAAUUUAAAUCUCUAAAUUCAAUCUCCAAUCUCUAAAAUUCUAUUUUUUUGCAAUUAUUUACUUAAUAUUUAUUAUUUAAUCAUUAUUAUUAUUCCAUUUAUUUAUUUAUUCACUUAUUUAUUUAUUAAAAUUCCGUCUUUAAAUAAUUCUUCAAAAUUCUAAUUCCCAAAUUUAGUUUUCUGAAAUUCCAAAAUCUUUCAAAUUUAAUUUUUAAAAUUCUCAUUCUUAUACUUAAUUUCUAAAAAUCCAAUUUUCAAAUAAUCUCUAAGACUCCGAUUUUCAAAAAGCUAGUUUUCCUUCGAACAAUCUUAAUUUAUGUUUGGUAAUGCAUGUGAUAUAUUUCGUGUUCUAUAUUGUGCACUGACUCUGUUUCCACGAUAGCGCGUUGCUGUUUGCUGCCCAGGUAAGCAUUCACUCAUUUUGAUCAUUCAUAAUACACAUUCUGAUUCCCAUAUACGCAUGAUUGAUGUGAGUAUCCAUAGACUUUCUUAUUGACUGCCACGUCAGCUUCAUUCUAUUAGUAGAGACCCGACUUUAGGGACUUAAAGGGGUGCUACGGUCUUUACCGUACCUUCCCGAUAAGUAACCUGACCCCCGAACCCGAUCUGGUUUUUCACAGACCACAUUUUCCAAAAUAAGGAGUCACACUUAGGGUUUUUCUUUCUUAUUUUGUUUACCCUUUAAAAAUAAAACAAAAAUAAGUGGCGACUCCAAGUCAUUUUUCUUAAUCAAUAAAAAUCAAUUUUUCAAAUAAAAAAUCGAGUUUCGCCAUCGAGUGGGAAACGCAUUCGAGCGAUCGAAAUGCGGGGUCCACACAUAUCAAAUACUUUUAACAAACAAAAUAAAACAAAAAAUAAAUUCAUGAAUAACAAACUAAACGGAUAUGCACAAUGAAAAUCUAAACAAAUCUAUUUCUAUGUAUAUAGAAAGAAAAUUAAAACAAAUAUAUACAACAAAAAUUAGGAGGACAAUGAUGAAUAAGUAAACUUAGCGGUGCAAUCCCAAUAACAAUAAUGACUUCCAAAAGCUUACAAGAUGAAGCUCAAAUAUACAAAAACUUUCAAUCCUCUCACAAAUAUCACAGAAAAUACACAGAAGAUUAAGAAAAGUCCCAAGAGUCGUCCUUCUCCCUUGUUUCUUGCUCUUAUCUUCCUUUUUAAUCCAAAAAUUUUGGUAUUUAGUUAGCCCAACUCAUGCCUUGUCUUCAACUGCUCCAACUACUCCUAUGUUUUUCCACUCUCAUCAUAGUGCUAAAACACUCAUCCAAAUAAGAAAAACGAAUAAGCAUAUAUAUAUAUAUAUAUAUAUAUCAAAGCCCAAUAAAAAUAAAAAGAAAGCUCAAAUGCAAUUCAACCUAAAUAGCAAGUCUAACACAAACAAUAAGCCCAAACCUUGAAUUAGGAAUGAAGCCCAAAUACAAUAAGAAUUAAAGCCUGAGAUUAGGCCUAAAGCUUCCAACAAACACUGUGUAGAUCAAGAAGUGAAAUGUCUCAUAACAAACCCUUAAAACUCAUCUAAAUGAACCAAAAUCAAGGAAAUUAAACUUAUCAAAAUCUGAAACAUAAAAUAAAUAAAUAAAAACAAACAAAUAAACAAAGAAACCGAAGGAAAAGGAAAAAAAACCUGAAAAUUUCUUAGGCAUUAAUAAACUGAGGUAGUGAACUCACAAAGGAAGUGGACAUGGUGAUUGAGUGGCAAAGUGAAGAGCGGUAGCAAUGUCGGUAACAGUGAGGUGUGUGGUUAUGGAUUAGUGGCUAGUUGUGGUAAGAUCUAGUGGCAAUGCUGGAAGAUAAAUAAAUAAGACAAGGGAAAAAGAAAAGGGGAAAUGAGAAAGAAAGAGAGACGAAAGGUUGGCCGAAGUGAGGUGGCUGUCACCGGCGUCGUGGGGCCACCUGAAGCGGCACUGCUGACAUUAUUGUGAGGGGUAGCCAUGUCGUGGGUAUGAUGGGUACAAGGGAUGAGUGAGAGAGAAAAUGAGAUAAAUACGAUGUUUUCAGAAUCGGACUGGUUAUUGAAUCGGAAAAAUUGCCAAUUCACGAUUCACUGGUCGGACCGGCGGUCGAAUCGAUGAUGUCAUAAAUAUACAAUUUAUAAAAUAUUAAAAUUUAAAAUAAUUAUAAAAAUAAAAAUAAUAAUUUAUAUAUUAUUUAAAAAUUAUAAUUUUAUUUAAAAAUAAAAAAUUAGUUUCAAAUUAGAAAUUUAAAUUAAACUCAUAAUUUCAAUUUAAAAUUUAAAAUUUUAAAAUUUAUUUUUAAAUAAAAAAAUUAUUUUAAAAUAAAAAAUUUAUUUAAAAUUGUAAUGUUUUUAAUUUUACCAUUAAAUCAUAUCUCAUACUAUCUAUGUAAAUCCAUAUAAAAGACAUUAAAUCAUAUAUCAUACCAUCCAUGUAAAUCCAUAUAAAAGACAUUUUUUACUUUAUUAAUUUGAGCUCCCAAUUUGAGCUCACAAUCCAUAUAAAAUUGUAAUGUUGUUGAAGACUGAUAAAUAAAUAUUUUUUUAUUUUUUAUUUUAUAAAAAUGGAAUAUUAAACAUAACAUCAUAAUAAUAAUAAAAAAUAUAUUAAAAUUAUGAAGGCGCAUAAUGCACACAGUUGAGUUUUUCGGAGGGGCGCUUUGAUCGCCGGGGAGGGGGGGAGGACGGGUUUGCGGCGUCGGGAGGAGGCUUGGCAACAACGGUGGAAGAAGAUGGGGGAAUUAAUAUAUAUGAGGUCGAGUAAGCAUGAAAGUUGUGGAGUAGUAAAAGAGAUCAUGGAGGUAAUUAGGGUAAAUGAGGAUAAAAGGGUAAAAUGUUGUUUACACUUAUUGUAUAAAAAUAAUUUAUUAAAAAAUUUCAAUUUGGCAACGAAAAUUAUUUUUACUUGAUUUUAUUAGAAAAGAAUAAAUUUUUACAAUUUUAUUUACAAAAGUAUUUUGAUUUAUUUUCAUUUCAAAAAAUGAUUUAUACAAAUUAUUUAAAAAAAUAUAACUUUAUUUGCAAAAGAAUUUUCAAUUAAAAAAAAAAAAGACUUUUAUAGCUUUAUUUAGAAAAAUAUUAAAAUUCAAUCCAAUCCAAUUUUAUGAAGAAAAUGAUUUCUAUAACUUUAAUUUGCAAAAAUAACUCUCAUCCUAUUCUCAUUAAGAAAAAUUAUUUAAAUUUUUUAUUUCUAAAAAUUACUGUUAAUCUCAUUUUAAUUAUGGAAAAAGAAUUUAUUUUUUAAAAAAUUUGGACAAUUUUAUUAAAAAUUAAUAUUUGGGAUAACUUUAUUUACAAAACAAUUUUAAGAAAAUUAUUAUUAAAAAACAAAUCUUUUGAAUUUUAUUAAAAACAAUUUUUUUAGAUUUUCCUAAAAAAAUACUUUUAUGAUUUUUUAUUAAGAAAACUUACUUUUAUUAAAAAUAAUAUUUUCUUAACUAUUAUUUUAUUAAAACAUGUGUGGACCCCGCAUUUUUGCUCAUGCGUUUCCCACUCGAUGGCGAGCUCGAUUUUUAUUUGAAAAUUUGAUUUUUAUUUGAUUAAGAAAAAUGACUUGGAGUCGCCACUCAUUUUUGUUUUAUUUUUAAAAGGGUAAACAAAAUAAGAAAGAAAAACCCUAAGUGUGACUCCUUAUUUGGAAAAGGUGAUCUACGAAAAACCGGAUCGGGUUCGGGGGUCAGGUUACUUAUCGGGAAGGUACGGUAAACACCGUAGCACCCCUCUAGGUCCUUAAAGUUGGGUCUCUACUAAUAAAAUAAAGCUGAUGUGGCAAUUGAUGAGUAAAUCAAUGAAUAUUCUGAAUGAUCAUGCACAUAUGAGAAUCGGAACAUGUAUAGUGAAUUACCAGAAUGAGAGUGUAUGCGUACCUGGGCCACGAGCCACAAUGUGCUAUCAAGAAACGGAGUUAGCACACAAUUAAUGAAUACGGAAUUUAGCUCAUACAUAUCGAAGUGCAAAAUGAAGAUCAGACAAAAUACGUUAAGUACAACAGUUGACAAUCAAAAGGGAUUCAAACAUCGAGCCCCCACCAAAACCCAAUUUAUUAUUCAUGAAUUAGUCUUAUAAAUUUCGCGUUUUGGAUUUAUGAAAAAUUCAUUUUUGCUUAUGUAAAAACAAGAAGAUCAGAAGAUUGUUUAGGAACCGAAAUGGAAUUAAAACUAUUCGAGUGAAAAUUGGAUUCUUGGAGUUUAUUGGAAAAUUGGAGUCUUGGGAAUUAAAUUUGAAAGAUUAGAGCUUCGGUAAUUAAAAUGAAAUUUGCCAGAGAAAAUGAGAAAUGAACUUUAGGGAAUUAAACUGCAAGGAUAUAGAUUUUUAAUGAUUAUAAUAAUAAUAAUAAUAAUAACAAUAAAUGAACUUCAGGAAAUUGAACGGCUAGAGUGUAAAUUUUUAAUAAUAAUGAUAAUAAUAACAUAAUGAACUUUAGGAAAUUAAAUUGCGAGGGUACAAAUUUUUAAUAAUAACAAUUAUAAUAAUAAUAUUAGGAUUUUAAAAGUUGAAUUAAUAAUAAUAAUAAUAAUAAUAAUAAUAAUAAUAAUAAUAAUAAUAAUAAUAAUAAUAAGAUUUUAAAAGUUGAAUUAAUAAUAAUAAUAAUAAUAAGAUUUUAAAAGUUGAAUUAAUAAUAAUAAUAAGAAUAAUCAUAAUAAUAAUAAUAAUAAUAAGAUUUUUGAAAUAAUAAUAAUAAUAAUAAUAAUAAUAGUAAUAAUAAUAAUAAUAAUAAGAUUUUGAAAGUUGAAUUAAUAAUAAUAAUAAUAAUAAUAAUAAGAUUUUAAAAGUUGAAUUAAUAAUAAUAAUAAUAAUAAUAUUUUAAAAGUUGUAUUAAUAAUAAUAAUAAUAAUAAUAAUCAGAUUUUGAAAGUUGAAUUAAUAAUAAUAAUAAUUAUAAGAUUUUGAAAGUGGAAUUAAUAAUAAUAAUAAUAAUAAUAAUAUUUUAAAAGUUGUAUUAAUAAUAAUAAUAAUAAUAAUAAUAACAAUAAAUGAUAAUAAUAAUAUGGACAAACAAAAUGGAUUAAAAGGGUUUUGGAAUUAGAAGGGCCUAGGGUUAUGAGGGCUAUGGAAAUGGGCUUGGGACAUUAUAAACGAAUUGGGCUUUGGAAUUAGAAGAGCCUAGGGUGAUAAUAAUAAGGUUUUGAAAUAAUAAUGAUAAUGAUAAUAAUCAUAAUAAUACUAAUAACAAUAAGAUUUUUGAAAUAAUAAUAAUAAUAAUAAUGAUAACAAGAUUUUGAAAGUUGAAUUAAUAAUAAUAUUUUGAAAGUUGAAUUAAUAAUAAUAAGGAUAAUAAUAUUUUGAAAGUUGAAUUAAUAAUAAUAAUAAUAAUAAUAACCUUUGGAGAAGGGUUUAGGAUGAAGGUUAUACAAAUCUGGGCCUGACCUUUAGGGAUGGACUUGAGCCUUUAAAUCUGGGCCUGGCCUUUAGGGAUGGACUUGGGGGGUUUAGGAUGAAGGUUAUACAAAUCUGGGCCUAGCCUUUAGGUAUGGACUUGGGCUUGUAGAGAUGGACUCGGGCCUUUCUUCCAUGGGCUUGGAGGUGCAUCCUCCAACAGGCGCCACCUCCACCUCCAACCAGCCUCCAUUGCUUAACUGAAGAUGGAGGUGGACGAGCUAGCUGAGAGGCCUAGAGGACGCCUCGAGGUAGCAGUGAAGGGAGUGGCAGUAGAUUCUAUGGCAUGGGCGGCAGGUUCAUCAAGGUUAUGGUGGCGGAAACGGCGAUGGCAGUGGCAGUGGCAGUGGCGGUUUGAUCCGUGGGAGCGGCCACGGCCAUGAUCGGCAUUGCUUCGGACGCCGCUGUCCCCGUGGUGGGAUCUCCCCACACAAAAAAAUUGGCCUGGAAUCAUACACGUGCCCGAAAAUCCUCCAGGGCUUCGACCACAAAACAUACUGCAUGGAUGGCAGCCUCCCGUCGCUGCUCCGCCCAGAUCAGUACCGCCAAGGCCGCUUCGCCCAAGAACGAAGGAGUCGCGGUUCGGGGACCUGGAGCAUCGUCGACAAGCAUUGGUAGGAAAUCAGCCCGGAAGUCUUUUCUACAACAGGUCAGGGAGCUGACUUCCAUCUUUAGUGUAUGAAGAGCGUCAUCAGAUUAUCCAAUGGCGGGGUUUCGGAGGAUUAGAUAGUUUGGAAUCCCAGUAAGUCCUGGGUUCAAGCUUGGAAAUGGGUCAGUCAUCAAAACCAGAAUUUGUCUUAGAAGUUUUCUCAACCGCACACUGAGAGAUAGUGUCCUUUCUCCUUGUAAGGUUAGGAAUCUGCAUGCAUUUUAUGAGGGUGGAUGGAAGGUGCUCCUUUCACAAAGUCACUUCCCCAGUUUCGGUAACUCGGCCAUUGAUGGCCUCAUUCCCACAACCAACAAAGGAGCAAAGCAAUAAACAGAGAGGAGAGACAUCAGAGAACAAAGCAUGAUUUUUAUAUAAUAAGGUUCCAGGAUGAAUUCAUACGUUAGGUACUUAUGGAAGGAGUCAAGAAAACCGGAAUAGAGUCAAACAGAGCAUAUACGCAUAUGAACAAAUUCAGGAAAAAAAAACAAUAAUCCAUGAUAUCCAAACAGACCAACAAAUCACAUCCCGGAAUCAACAGAAGAAGUUAGCAUAAUAAUGUCAUAACGAAGAAAUAUGGAGUUCACAGAAAAUUUUACCUGAAAGUUUUCUCCUUGAGCAAGGUAUCCUUGUCCUCCAACACUUUUCCUCAUUUUCCCCUGCUCUGGUUCUGCCUGCCCAAAGAAAGCUCCUCUGUCGUCUUCUCCUUCGGCCCUCUCACUAAUCUCGAUGUCCCCCCUCAGAUCUCUCUUCUGUUUUCCCUGUUUGUGUUUUCCUCAACAAGCCAUCCUCGGCUCUCCUGCUACCCGUCCCAUCUGGCCGCCCCAUGCAGCUUAAUUUCAGGGUGGUCAGAAGAAUAAAAUAAUAAAAAAAACAACCAAAAACCUUCACCCUGUGGGGGGUCUACAACAUGUUUCCUGAAUUAUUUAUCUUAUUUAAACAAAAUUUUUGGCUUGUUCAAUAUUCAAUUCUGUACGCAACGAAUAGAUAUAUAUAUAUAAACGAAUAUUUAAAAAAAUCAAUAAAAAUAAAACCAAAUAGUAAUGGGAAAUAAAAUGUCUGUCCAAACAAGUUUAUAACAAGCUCAAUGUCUCAUUUAGAGUCUUCCUGAACCUCAUUUUCUUCCAUAAAAUUCAACCCUCGUGUCACAAAUAUGUACUCAAUCAAACAAUUUCAAAAUUUUGAACGGAUGAGAGAGUGGUAGUGGAGAUGCUUGGGAAUAGGAGAAUGGAAAAUGAGAAUAAAAUGAAAGAAAAAAUAAAAUAAAAUGGGUGAGGUGAGAAAGGGAGAAAUCAAGGGAAAUAGAAGAAUAAGAAAGGGGAAGAGGGAGUCAUCGACCAGUAGUGGCUCACCAAUGGCGAUUGGUCGGCUGUGUUGUUGACGACGAAGGGUUGAUGCAUUUUUGGGAAAAAAAUAAAAUAAAAUUGAGAAAUGAGAGUGAUGGGAGAAGAUGGGGGGAGAGAAAGGAAAUGUUGUGCGUGUGAGUGGCUGUCUUUGGGGAGGAAACAUAGAUGAAGAAAUAGGAGUUUUGGGUCAAAAUGGCCCAUUUUAAAAAAAAAUUGUAACAUCUAACCACUUUUUUAAACUUAUGUUCAAAUUAGCCUCUUUGGUGCCAUGUAGGCACCAAGUCAUUAAUUUUAUUUUUAUUUUUUCCGUCAUUUUAGUGAAAGCCGCAGUUGACAACUACGGCUUCAUAUUUGAACUAAAGCCGCAGUUGCCAAUUGCAAUUUUAGUUAUUUUUUUUAAAUUUAAAAUUUAAUUAAAAAUUAUUAAAUUACAAUUUAUGAUUGAAAUUUAAAAAUAUACUUAAAUAAUAAAUUAUUUAUAUUUAAAUUUAAAAAUCUAGUAUUACUUCAACAAACAUAAAUUGAUAAAUAGAAGAUAUUAUAAAUGAAUAUUUCAUUUAUUAAUAAAUUAAUAAUCUUAAAAUAAUAAACUUAUAUAACAUAUAAAUAAUAUAUAAAAUUGUAUAAUUGAUUAAUUUAAGAUAUUUAAUUUGUUGUUUUUUAAGAUAUUAAUUUAUUUGUAUUAUGAUAAAUUUAUCUUUAUCGAAAUAAUAGUAUACUUUUAAGCCGCAGUUGAUAACUGAGAUUUCAAUUAUAAUUUUUUUUACUUUCAAAUUUAAUUAAAAACUAUUAAAUUACAAUUUAUUUUUGAAAUUAAAAAUAUAUACUUUAAUAAUAAAUUAUUUAUAUUAAACUUAAAAAUCUAGUAUUACUUCAACAAACACAAAUUAAUAAAUAGAAGAUAUUAUAAAUGAAUGUUUUAUUUAUUAAUAAAUUAAUAAUCUUAAAAUAAUAAAUUUAUAUAACAUAUAACUAAUAUAUAAAAUUGUAUAAUUUAUUAAUUUAAAAUAUUUAAUUUGUUGUUUUUUAAGAUAUUAAUUUAUUUGUAUUAUGACAAAUUUAUCUUUAUCGAAAUAAUAGUAUACUCUUAAGCUGUAGUUGUCAUAUAUAGAUUUUUUUACAAAAUUAGUUAAUGAAAUUAAUUACAAAAAGUCUACUACAAAAUGUAAUUUUUAAUAGUUUAAUUAAAGUCACAAAAAAUAUCCACUAAACAUUAAUAUAGUGGAAAACAAAAAAACACAUAUAAUCUCACAUGCCUCCACAAGGAGAUAACCUAUGUGUAACUGGUACUCUCUUUCUUUUUGGACGCUCCUCUCUAACUGUAGUAGGUACUACAUGUGACACAUGAAGAACAUCUGUCUGUGAUGGGGCUGGAGCUGGAUAUAGAGGUGGUGGUGGAGGUAGCAAUCUAGGUCGAUGUAGGUCCCGCCUACCCCUCGGAAUGGCUGGCGGUAAAUCUAGCUGAGUAGAUGUGUCAAUCUGCACUGAUGGUGGCUUUGAAGAGGUAGGAGGUUGUAAUGGAGGUAGGUCUAAAGAGGUAGAGGGUUACUGAUGGGUGGGUUUGAAGAGGUAAGGGGUUGGGCUGAUGGUGGGUCUGAAGAAGUAGGAGCCUGAAUUAGAGAUAAGUCUAAAGAAAUAUGAACAUGUACUGAUGGUGGGUUUAAAGAGGUAAAGGGUUGCACUGAUGGUAGGUCUGAAUAAGUAGGGUACUGCACUGAUGGUACGUUUGAAGAGAUGGGUGACUGUACUAAUCGUGAGGAUAAAAAGGUAGGGGACUGUAAUGAUGCUGAUACCGACGAUGUGAUGGGCUGACAACUACUAUAUCUACCUCUCCCUCGAGAUGUUGAUCGACCUCGAACAAGUGGUGGUCGAGCAACUGUUGACUGAGCUGGUGACUUACCUCCUCCAUGCUCUACAUGUGGGAUACGAUAAUCCUCCCUAAUAAUGCACAUAACAUCAAUGGCCAUACGAAUAAUAUCAACAAUACCAGUGCGACAAGCAUCACUAUCAGAGUCCUCCAAUGCAUGACCUCCUCGAGAUAUGAUAGAUGUCAUAGUCUCAAUCUAUCACAUAAAAUGAUAUAUAAUUAUUUGUUGGAAUAAAUAUUAUACACAAUAUGUAUAUAAUAUUAAAGUGAUACAAACCAAUAAGUGGGCAGAUAAGGAAGUAACCUGGUACUGCAUAGGUCCAAAAUCAUCCAUAAGUGUAAUAAAAUGACAUGUAAUACGACGAUACCAUGUCAUGUACGGAGCAUGGUAGUCCAUCUAAGGCUCUAUAAGCUCCGCAAUGACAAUGUGGUCCCUUAUAGCCUCCCAUAAUGCCAUGUAGUGCUCAUGAUACAACCUCCAAUCAAACUAAGGUCGACCUCGUCGAUCUAUAGAGUGAAGGUCAGAAUCUAUAGGGGGUGUCGAAGGAAUACCUUGUAUGAGUCCAAACUGUCGCAACACAUGCUUAGGACGAUGCCACUCAACAAUAUAAAAAAAAAAAAAGUGGUGACAUCGUCCUGAGCGUGUAUGAGGACCUUUGUACUUUGUGAUUCUAAACAUACCCGUAUAUUUCAUUGUCAUUGCCCUUAGUUGCCAUUGGCACUCUAGUGCUUUUUUACAUUGAAGAACUAACACAUUUGCAUUUGAUCUAUAAACAGUAAACUCUUCGUGCGCCUUUAUGGAAAACAUCUUCACAACAUGUUGCAAAUAUGAUUUUGAGGGAAAUAUUUGGCCAAUUGAUAACUCCCCAUCAACAUUUCCUAAAGUUGGCUUUUUCCAUGGAGUCCAAUCACUUACAACACAAUUAAUUGUCUCGUUCAUAUUUAAAAAUUGUGGUGUAGGUGACAUAUGGUAUGAAACAGGUGCAAAUGUUUUCUUUAGGUGGUCAUUAGAGAUAUUAAAUUGGGUGUCAUGUGGGGAGGCAACUAGUGAUGUGUUUUCAACCUCAAACUCAACCUCAGGAUUAUUAGACCUAUCACCAACUUCAAGGUUCACAAAUCUCGUGCUUUCACAUUCCACAAAUCACCAAAUCAAUAUUUUCUCUUUGACAACAAUUUUCAUCAUCAUUAGGUAAAUGAAUCUCAUCUGUGUCGAUUGCAUUAUCUCUAUCAUCUUCCUCUUUUCUCUCAUUUUUAUCAUCAACAUUAGUAUCACCUGUUGAUAAUCGUGUCAAAUGACCCAUUUCAUUACUCAAAUGAUAGUGGUUGGAAGUUUGCUCUAUGAAUAAUUGAACUGAUGACAUUCCAUACUUCAAUGGCACCAGUAGCAUACGUGCAACUGUCCAAUCAUUUCUCACCACUAAUGGUUGAAAUUUGUUCAUUUUAGUUGGAUGUCGACAUUUCAAGACUAAUUGAUAGUCUCUGUCAACACCAAUGAUAUCAUAUAUCAUCUUCAACAACUCCACAAAGGUCGUAUGAAUGGGCACAUCUAUAGGCUCAUCUCUACAUUAUUUCCAAUAUAUCUCAAAUCCAUUUCUGUCCUCAAAAUUGUUCCAUUCCAAUAACAUAGCACUUCUACUGUGGAAUCAGUCAUAAUUGCCUUCACAUAAAUAAUAACAAAAGGUUAUUACAUAAAAAAAAUAAUAUUUAUUCAAGUAAAAAAAUAAUACUUUAUGGUCAAUGAUUCAUAAAAUACAAUAAUAAACCAAAUAAAUAUUUAAAUCGAACAAUAUUGGAUGCUAAUUCUCCCCAUAAAAGGAGUUCGGUGGUUCAGGCUCAAUUGCCCUCUUGCCAAUUUUCUGUCAACUAAAUGAACUGUGAAUUGGAAAUACAUUUAUGCCUUGAGAUCAAUAGUUGCUUAGUUUUUAUUUAUUUUGUUACCCUCCUUAUUGACAUUUCUGAUGAUAAAGCAGCAUUUAUUUUCUUUGUAAACCAUUUUGAAUCACAUUAUUGAGUCUGAUUUGGUUGGAUUAUUUUACAUCAAGGUUUUUAGUGUGAUAUUGUUUCAUUAGUUGUUUCUCUUUGGCUUCAUGUUGUCAUUGGCUUACUAUGUCCAAUUAUUUGAUAUUUUCCUGAUUUUUGUUAGAAUUCUGUUUCUUCGAUGUUUCAGGCUUCACCCAUUACAAUUGGUGGGCGUCAAGCUUUUGUUGAGGAAAAGAGGUCUACAAACAGUUCUAGAGGCAAGUUGGAUUUUAUGUUAAGUUAUUCAUUUAAAAGAAGGAAUGUCUCUAAAAAUGAAAAGUCUAUGAGUUGCAUAGUGAAUGGAUAACAUCUUUUGAUGGAUUGAGGUCUGUCCUUGUCAAGAUAAAGGAAAGACAUGAUAUCUUUUCUUGUGCUUGUGCAACGGGGGGUUAGGGGUGGGGGAACACUGGAGCAUGGGUAUUUGUCAAAAUGAUGCCUUUGAAACCUAUUUUAUCAAAGCAACAAAUUGCAGAAAAAACAUUCUCUCUAGAAUUGGUCUUCUUGAUGCAGAUCAUACAUUUUUAAAUGGUGGAUGGGAAUUGGUUUUAUUCAGUGAAAAUUUGGUUGCAGCUCCCUGCUGGAAGGAAAUUUCACAUCCAGCAUAAUCCAAUUUAUCAAUUGUGCUUUUAAAUUUUUUUAAAAUAGCUAUUUUCCCCCAUUUUUCGCAUCAUGAUCUAAAGGUUAGGCUUCACCCAAUAUUUCCCGAUUGCUUUUAAAUAAAGAAGUAGCUAUUUUUUUUUGUCUUGUAGUGAACAACAGAACACACUUUUCAAAUGGAAGGGAGUUUUUUUCGGAGGGGACACGCGCAGAUUUUGAGAGCAGUAGAGGGAUUCUGACAGAGAUCGAGUUGCCACUUUGAGGAAUCAAAAGAUGAUUUUUUUUUUUUUUUUUAUAGCACAGGUUAGUUUUCACAUAUCCUGGAAUCAUAAUAAAAAAAUAAUAAUGGUAAUAAUAAAAAAAAACACCAAACUCCUAUCAAAGGCAAAGUUGAAGGCAACGACAUUUUGCAUAUUUCUCAAAAAAAUUGUAACCUAAAAAAAAUUCUCAAAAAUUCUUCUCAUGCAACAAAGCACAACACCUAUAACCCAAAAAUAUUUCUCACGCAUAAAUCAAAACCAACCUCAAUUGCAGCUCCAAAAACGUCUCUGCCCCACUGGUGAGGCUAGGGCUUGAAGAUGACCUUUGAAUACGGGAUGAAGCAAAUGGGGAAAGUUAAAAAAAAUUACAGCAGAAAAAGCCAACCGCGGGAUGAAGAAAGGAGAAAGUUAAAAAAAAAAAUGAUGGGGCUAGGGCUUGAAGACGACUUCUGGAUACGGGAUGAAGCAAAUGGAGAAAGUUAAAAAGAAUGACUGCAAAAAAAGCUAACCAGUGAUGAAGAAAGGAGAAAAUUAAAAUAUAUAAAUAUUUUAACAAUUGCUGGCUCUGCUUACAUGGAAAGAAAGGCUAUUUUGAAAUAAAGGGGGGGGGGGGGGGGAAGGUUUGGAGAAAAAAAAAAAAAAAAAAAAAAAAAUAAAAAAAAAUAAAAAAAAAAAAAAAGGGGGAAAAANNNNNNNNNNNNNNNNNNNNNNNNNNNNNNNNNNNNNNNNNNNNNNNNNNNNNNNNNNNNNNNNNNNNNNNNNNNNNNNNNNNNNNNNNNNNNNNNNNNNAAGUUGAGGCCACCCCCAUUUUCUUUUUUUUCCAAAAAAAUUUUACCUUAAAAAAAUUUCUCAAAAUUUUUUUCCCGCCAACAAAGCCCACCCCCUUUACCCCAAAAUUUUUUCUCCCGCAUAAUUCAAACCCACCCCCAAUUCCCCCCCCAAAACCUUUUCUCCCCCCCUGGGGGGGUUGGGGCUUGAAGAUGCCCUUUGAUUCCGGGAUGAACCAAAUGGGGAAAUUUAAAAAAAUUUCCCCCAGAAAAACCCACCCCCGGGAUGAAAAAGGGGAAAAUUUAAAAAAAAAAUUGUGGGGGUUGGGGCUUGAAGACGAUUUCUGGUUCCGGGAUGAACCAAAUGGAAAAAUUUAAAAAGAAUGCCUCCAAAAAAAGCUACCCGGUGAGGAAAAAGGGAAAAAAUUAAAAUUUUUAAUUUUUUUACCAUUUCCUGCUUCUGCUUCCAUGAAAAAAAAGGUUUUUUUAAAUUGGGGGGGGGGGGGAGGAAUGAUUGGAAGAAAAAAAAUAAAAAAAGAAAAAAAAUAAAAAAAAAUAAAAGAAAAAAAAAUGGGGAAGAAAUGAGAGAGGGGGCAUGUCGUGGGAAUGGAGGUAUGAGAUAAAGUGUGGAUAUGUGGGAGUAAGUGGGUAGAGAGAGGUAUGGGUAGGUUGGGGUAAGUAAGAUGAGAAAGGAAAGAAGAAGGAGAGAAGAAAGAAGAAAAAAGGAAAAAGAAAAAAAUGAAAGAAAAAGAAUAAAAAAGAAAAAAAUGAAAAAAGUGAAGAAAAGAAUAAUAAUAAUAAAUACAAUAAUAUGUAAAAUAAAAUGAUAAAAACUAAAAAUUAAAGGAUGAAUUUAAAUGUAAUCAAUAUUUAAAUUUAAGUAUAAAAUUCAAACUUAAAAAUAAUGUAAAAAUAAAUUUAUGACAAAUUUUGGGUACAUAAAAUUUAUCAAUGAUUUGGGUGUAAAAAUGGCCACAAAAAGCUGUAAUAAAAUCACAUCUUAUAUGAUUUUUGCAAUGUCAAACCUUGUCUCAAUUCUUUGUACAUAUGAUCCCAUUCCAUUCCUUAGUCUUCGAAUGACACUCCCAAAUUGUCCAAUUCCACUUCAAAUGAAGGAAUUACAAAUAUUCUCCAGACUUUCUACCCAAACUCUCAUUUGGUUUAUUUAAUAUUUAUCUACUUAUUUAUUUAUAAAAAUUUAAAAUAAAAAUAAAGUUUAAAUUUUUAUUGAAACUUAUAAAAAUGAUUUUUUAUUAAUUUUUUUUUAUAUAUUUUAGUUAUUUUUGAAUAAUUUUAUCUUUUUAAUAAUUUUAAAUUAUAAGCUUAAAAUGAUAAACAUAUAAAAAAUAAAAGGCAAACGUUGGUCAAUCUUUUUAAUUUGAUUCAUGUGAUAAAUAUGGAAAAAUUAAUGUGAUGAAUAAUUUGUCAUAUUUAAUAUUUUAUAUUAUUAUUUUUUUCUUAAUUUUAAUAGCAAGUAAAAUUGAAGUUCUUCAUUCAAACAUAAAAUAACUUUAUCCUUUUAAUAUUUAAAAUUUUAAAAUAAUAUAUAUAUAUAUAUAUAUAUAUAUAUACAAAAUUAAAAGUUGACCUUUCUUUAAAAAAAAAUUGAUUAAUGAGAUAAAUAUGGAAAACGUAAUGUGAUAGAUAUGUAAUUUUCGUAAUUCUUUUAAAAUAAAAUUAAUUUAUAAAUAUAGAAAUAAUUAAAUAUAAAAAGUAUAAGUCAUUGACAUUUUAGCAAAAUCAAGAAAAAUUUGAAUUGAAAAAACUAUUGUGAUAAUUAUGUAAUCUUUUUAAUUUUUGAAAUAAAAUUAAUGUGAUAAAUAUGGGAAAAGUUUAAAAAGAAAAAAAAAGAAAAAAAAGAAGAAGACAAAUCACCAUUUUAUAAUAAAAAUUCCCCAAAAAAUGGUUGAAAAUCAAUAAUAAAUUGCUAUUUUUUUUUGUCUUUUCAACACUCUUUCGAUUUGUCUUACUCUUACUCUAUUCUCAUUUCUUUGUACUGAUUUUAUUUCCUUGUAUCUUAAUCUAAUUUCUUUCAUAUAUUUUGGUCUCAUUCAUUUAUACAUGGAUUGAUUUUUUUACAUGAAAAUUUCAAUUUCUCACCAUUUUAGUGAUUACACUCUCAUAUAUGAUAUAUUUUGAUUUGUACAAAUAUUUAUGUGGACCCCGCAUUUCGACUCAUGCGUUUCCCACUCGAAUGACGAGCUCAAUUUUUUAUUUUGAAAAAUGAUUUUAUUAAUUAAGAAAAAUUGACUUGGAAUCGCCACUUAUUUUUGUUUUAUUUUUAAAGGAUAAACAAAAUAAGAAAGAAAACCCUAAGUGUGACUCCUUAUUUUGGAAAAGGUGGUCUGCGAAAAACCUGAUCGGGCUCGGGGGUCAGGUUACUUAUUGGGAAGGUACGGUAAAGACCAUAGCACCCCUCUAAGUCCCUAAAGUCGGGUCUCUACUAAUAAAAUGAAGCUGACGUGGCAAUUGAUAAGUAAAUCAAUGAAUAUCCUGAAUGAUCAUGCACACAUAAGAAUCGAGACAUGCAUAGACAACGGUUAGAGGGAAAAUGGGUACAUACCUGGGCAACGAGCCACCAUGCGCUAACAAUAGAGAGGGUUAGUGCACCAUAUAGAGCACGAAACAUAUCACAUGCAUCACUAAACAAGGAUUAAAAUUGUUCGAAGGAAAACUGGAUUUUUGAAAUUCAUUUGAGAAUCAGAAUCUUAGAGAUUAUUUGAAAAUUGGAUUCUUAGAAAUUAAAUGUGAGAAUGAGAAUUUUAGAAAUUAAAUUUGAAAGAAAAUUAGGAUUUUGAAGAAUUAUUUGAAAGUUCAGGAUUUUUAAGAAAAAUUAAGUUACGAAAAUUGGGAUUAUGGUAGUUAAAUUUUGAAAGGGAUCAGAAUCGUAAGUUAUUUGAAAAGUAGAAAUUAUGAAAGUUGAUGUAUACAAAUUAGAAAUCUUAGAAAUCAUUCGAAGUCAGAAUUUAUAGAAAUAAUGAAUAAAAUGAUAGUGAUAAUGAUAGUAAGCGGGAUAAAUAUGGGAAUUGGGGCAUGGGAAACUGAAAAUUAAUUUCGGAGAUAGGACAAUUGGAAUUUCAAAUAGCUAAAUUUAGAAAUCAGAAUUUUGAAGAAUUAGACUUUAAUGAUUGAGAUUUUUAAGAGAAAUAAGUGGGUAAGUAUGGAAUAAUGCUACUAAUUAAUCAAAAUGAUAUUGGAACGGAUGAAAGUGAAUAGUAAGAUUUGUGAGAUUAAAAAUUAAAUUUGAAAUAUUGAGAUUUUUAAAAGAAACAGAUAGAUAAAUAUAGAAAAAUAAUUAAUCAAAACGAUAUUUGGACGGAUGAAGAUGAAUAGUGAGAUUGUGAGAUUAAAAAUCAAAUUAGGAAGUCAGAUUUCUAAAGAAUUGGACUUUGAAUAAAUAAAUAAAUAUAGGAUGAUAACUCUGCUUAAUGAAAAUAACAUUUAAACGAAUAAAAAAAGAAUAGUAGAAUUUUUAGGGUUGAAAAUUAAGUUAGGACAUCGGAUUUCUGAAGGAUUUGAUUUUAAAUAAGUAAAUAAAUAUGGGAUACUAAUUCUAAUUAAAGAAAAUAACAUUUAAACGAAUAGUGGAACUUUUAGGAUUGAAAGAUAAAUUAUGACAUUGGGUUUUUUUGAUGGAUUGGAUUUUUAAUAAAUAAACUAAUACAGGAUAAUGAUACUAAUUAACGAAAAUAACACUUGAAACGAAUAAAAAAGGAAUAGUAGAAUUUUUAGGGUUGAAAAUUAAGUUAGGACAUCGGAUUUUUGAAGGAUUGGAUUUUAAAUAAGUAAAUAAAUAUGGGAUACUAAUUCUAAUUAAAGAAAAUAACAUUUAAACGAAUAGUGGAACUUUUAGGAUUGAAAGAUAAAUUAUGACAUUGGGUUUUUUUUUUUUUUUUUAUGGAUUGGAUUUUUAAUAAAUAAACUAAUACAGGAUGAUGAUACUAAUUAACGAAAAUAACACUUGAAACGAAUAAAAAAAGGAAUAGUAGAAUUUUUAGGGUUGAAAAUUAAGUUAGGACAUCUGAUUUCUGAAGGAUUGGAUUUUAAAUAAGUAAAUAAAUAUGGGAUACUAAUUCUAAUUAAAGAAAAUAACAUUUAAACGAAUAGUGGAACUUUUAGGAUUGAAAGAUAAAUUAUGACAUUGGGUUUUUUUUGAUGGAUUGGACUUUAAAUAAGUAAAUAAAUAUGGGAUGCUAAUUCUAAUGGAUGAAAAAUAAGAUUUAGAUGAAUUAUAGUAUUUUUGGGAUUGAAAGAUUAAAUUAUGACAUAGGGUUUUGAAAAAUUACUUAAGGACCUUUGUUUUGAAGAUAGUACGUAAAGUUUAGAAUGCAACAAAUUUAUCGAGACCAACAUAAGUUAAUUUAUAUGAACAUUUUCAUAUAUGGUGAUUAGACAUAACUAAAGAAGGGAAGAUAAGAUAUGGGUUAUUUUAGAUUUUGAAAAGAAUAUUCAACCUUAAUACUUUAUCUUUUUUUUUUAAUUGCCUUUAAGUUGAGUUAACUAAAUGGGAUAACGAAUAAAAGGGAAUGAAUAAAUUAAUUAAUUAUGGAUAUUUAGAGGUUUUUUUCUUUUUUUAAAAAAAAAUUAUUUAGAAUUGGAGUAGCCAAAUGGGCUAUCUUAAAAUGGACAUGGGCCAAUGAGGGUGGCUAGCAUAGGGGGGCAUGAGGCCUUUCAUUAAUGCAAAUGGGCUUGAGCUCCAAUCAGGCCCAUAUCCAUCAUCAUGGACAGACCCAAACUCUAACUCCAUCACAACCCAUUUAUUUGAGAAGACAUGCUACCCUCCAUCAACAUGCUUGGGUUGGGCUCCAACUCAAGCCCAAGUCCACUGCCAAGCAUGAGCAAGCCCAAGCCCGUUACCAACACAAACUCCAUCACGGCCCAAGGCACCCCUCUCCAUCUGGGCAGCUUCCUCAGGCGAGGCCUCCACCAGCAGCGACGUGGAGGAGAGGGAAGGGGUGGCGGCUUCGAGGGCGGCGCCGAGAUGGCGGAGCUGCUGCCGCGAGGAGGUCAGUGACUGCCGCUGCGUCACGACGUGCUCCUAGAGGACGGAGACCCCAUUGAAGGCGUCCACCAAUGAGUCGUUGUUGGAGAGACCGAAGGUGGUGGACGAGGGAUUCAAGGAUGUGGCUAGCAAAUCCUGCUGGGUAUGAGGUGUGAGAAAGUGGAAUGUUGGCAUGAUGAGCUUGAGGACCAAACAAAAUGGAGUGUGGCAAGGGCAGCUGCGUGCAUGGAACAUCGUUUGCAUGGAAAUUCAAGAAUGUAAGAGAAAUGGGUAUGAAGUUGAGCGGGGGGGAAGUAGGUAAUGGAGCAAACUUUCGUGCCGUGUUUCUACACCCAGAAUUCUGGUUAUCAUCGUCAUGGCCACCUCUCAUAGCGCAUGCGCAUGUGGCAGCCUUCCUCGCUGACAACCCUAUGAACAUGGUAUUGCCUCCACACUUGACAAGUGUGUGGUCAACUAGGGCAGCAAGGCAAGGAUUCUGGGCUGUUCUCAGGCCUCAAAGAUCAUUUCCCGUGACACUUUUCUAGCUGGGUCCAAGAAUAUGGGCAAUGGGUAUACAAGAUGGCCAUGCGAAGCCAUGCACAGGUAAGAGGAAAAAUGGGUUUGGUGAUGCGGUUAAGUAGGCGUAUGCAUGGGAACAAGGAUAUGGGUAUCAAAUGAAUUUCCGAAAGGUUUGCAAAGAGCAAUCAAGUCGUGAUGGCCAACAACUCAUGAAAGAAAGAAAGAAAACUCGGAAAAUAAUCCCAUGAGAACGGGUUAGUAAUCACACGCAACGUGAGUGCGAGCAUGCUCCAACACCAAAACAGAGUUUCUUAACAAAAAGAAAAAAUGGCAUUAACACGAAAAUGAGUCAAUAGUUUAUAGGAAUAAUACCUGAGAUGCCUCCUUUCACAGUGACUCCUUUGCGCAUUCCUUCUCCUGGCUGAUCCUCCAGAAUACCCCCCCUCCCGUGGACUCGCCUCUAGUUCCUCAAAAGCACCAGAAAAACCUCCAACAGUCACCACGCCCCUCACCCUCAAGACCUCACUGUAACCUCCUCCUUCUCUUUUUCCCCCUUAGCUUGCUUUCAAGCUCCAACAUCCCUUUCUCUCUCCCCAGAUCCGGAAAACUCGCACCUGCUCUCUUGUUCCCUGCUCAGCAUCUGUGGAGUCCCAACCACCACCAGCAUGGCCCCUGUCAUCUUGACUUGCUGCACAUCCCAUCUCUCGUAGCUGCUUUCAUGCCGAAAGGGAGGUCCCCCCUCCUCACUAAAUCCCACUCCGGGAUCAUCCUUGAAAUGCCACCUUGCUUCAACUUAUAAAAAUAAUAAAAGAAGGCAAUACUAAUAAAAAUCAUAUCAUUGAACCAAUACACUUGGUUUAAAACAGGGGGGUCUACAAUUUACUAUUAUAAUAAUAGUCAUGUUUAAGAUUAACAAAUUCAAAUAAAUAAAAAUGAUUAAGUAAUUAUAAAUGAGACAAUUAAAAUAAUUAUAAAUGAUAAAAUAACUGUUCAACGUAAAAUAAACCCUUUUUUUUUAGGGAGAAUUACCCUUAAGGGUAGGCUGGGGAAAAAAAUGACUGAAAAGGGUGGGUAAAUUUGAUAAUUCUUUUAAAGGCCUUAUAUUUUUAUUAGACUAAUUUACCCUCAAUUGAUUGCUAGUUCUGCCAGUCCCAGAAUUCCAAUUCAUUGGCCCCUUAUCACCACCUCCUUGGCCCCAACUGACAGCACCAUCAUGACCUUUCCACCCUUCCCCAUUAUUGUUUGACUCUUUGUUCCAUUCAAAGGACUUAUUAUUCUCACCAGAAUUGUUUCUGUUGUUCCAGCCACCACUUUGAUCCCUCCUUCCACGGCCCCUACCUCCAAAACCACCCCUGUCUGAAUCACCUCCGCCUCCACCUCCAAAACCACCCCUGUCAGAACCCUUGUCUUUGAACCUUUGGUGACACAUUAUAAUAUAAAAUUGCAUUUACAGUAAAUUGAAAAGUAUGAUUUGAUUUUCUUUUUUUUGGGUUGGCUUUUUUUCUCUUUUUUUGGGCUGACUUGGUUGGUGGAAGCAGUAUGGUCAAUUGAAAAGGUUGAUUUGAUUUUGCUUGUGUGAGGGGUGAUAUAUUUUUGGAGACAAAUUGAAAUGGAAGAUUUUUAUUCCACUAAUUUGAUACCCAAUUGACUAAUUUGAUACCCUAUGGAAAGCAAAUCAGGUUAUAAAUUUACUAAUUUGAUACCCAAUUGACUUAUAAUUUCCUUAAUUACUAUUUGCAGAACGGAUUGUGGCAUAUUUGUAAUGAAGUUUAUGCAAUUAUGGAGUAACCGUGGAAUUUCUCGUGCAAUUGCAAAUGUAUUAUAUUGUGGUGAAUAAAAUAUAUAUAUAUUUUUUUUAUGAUCAUGAAUUUUUCUUAAUAUUAUAUUAUAUACUCUUUUGUACAAGACAAGGUCAUAAAGUACAAGUUAGGGAUAUGCCAAAGAACCCAUAAUUGCCCAGUUUCAUAAUAAAUUUGACAUUUUCAAAAUUUUACCUUAUCGUAAUGUAUCAUAAUGUUAUUGUAUUUGUAUUGUAAUUGUACUGUAUUUUUAUUAUACCUCUAUAUUUUUAUAUAAAAAAAAUUAAUUUUAUAGAUUUUUUUUUUAUCCAUCAUUGGAUUAUCAUCAACAACUAUUUCACAAUAUUACAAUCAAUGAAAAUUGUACAACGAAUACAAAAUAAACAAAUGAAAAUUAUAAUCAAUUGAGAGACAUAUUUUAUAUAAUAAAUAACAAUAUUUGUUGUAUAUUAUAUAUGUUAGGGAUAUGCCAAAGAACCCAUAAUUGCCCAGUUUCAUAAGAAAUUUGACAUUUUCAAAAUUUUACCUUAUCGUAAUGUAUUGCAAUGUUAUUGUAUUUGUAUUGUAAUUGUACUGUAUUUUUAUUAUACCUCUAUAUUUUUAUAUAAAAAAAAUUAAUUUUAUAGAUUUGUUUUUAUCCAUCAUUGGAUUAUCAUCAACAACUAUUUCACAAUAUUACAAUCAAUGAAAAUUUUACAACGAAUACAAAAUAAACAAAUGAAAAUUAUAAUCAAUUGAGACAUAUUUUAUAUAAUAAAUAACAAUAUUUGUUGUAUAUUAUACAUGUUAGGCAUAUGCCAAAGAACCCAUAAUUGCCCAGUUUUAUAAGAAAUUUGACAUUUUCAAAAUUUUACCUUAUCGUAAUGUAUCGUAAUGUUAUUGUAUUUGUAUUGUAAUUGUACUAUAUUUUUAUUAUACCUCUAUAUUUUUAUAUAAAAAAAAUUAAUUUUAUAGAUUUUUUUUAUCCAUCAUUGGAUUAUCAUCAACAACUUCAUGUAUUGAAAUUACAAUAGUGUAUUUUUGUUGUUGUUUUUUUUUUUUUAUAAUUUUGGCUUGCAAGGAUGCUUUAUGAUAGGAAUACAACAUGAUAGCCUAGAAAUGCCAAAUCAGUAAAAAAUAAUUCAAUAUUUUGUCAUUUUGGUAUAUUGUAAUGUAUCAUAAUGUUAAUAUUUUUUCAUUGUAACUAUAUUGCAUUUGUAUUGUACUUAUACUUUAUAACUGAAAUAAUGGUUCUUUUACACAACCUUCAAACUACUAGGCAUUCGACUCAUCAUACUAAAAUAAUACUUAUACAAAAAGGUAACAAAUUUAUAACAAAAAUAUAGUGAUCUUAACUCUUUAACAAAUUCAUAAUAAAAGACAAAGUGGUCUCGUACAAAGGGGAUUUCAGUUUUCAAUGACAAUCCAAAUAUGUUUAUAAAUACACAAACAAAGUGGUCCCAAACAAGUAUGAAAUAACUGAGAACAUUUUUUCUUCAAUCAUGUCAAAAAGUCUUAACAACAAAACUAAAGUGCAAACCUUUUCAAUAGAAAUCAAUAAUAAUCAUAUCAAACAACCCACCCAGCAAAUAAAUUAAAAAUAAAAACACAUCUUCAAUAUGACCUAAAUAAUAUAAAAAAAUUCAAAAUAAUAAAUUUAAAUAACAUUUAAAAAAAAUGUAAUUUCUUUCUGAAAACCUCAUUCAAUAUUUCAGAUCUAAUAUCUUAUAACUACAUUGUUAAAAUUAUUAACUUUUCCUUCAUUCAAUCCGAUUUUUAAAUUAUUUAUUUAUUUUUCCAUAAACUGAUGUUUUUUUUUUUUUGUAUUAAAAAAAAAAAAAACUGACCUUUAAUGGAUUUCUUGCUAGAUUCACCAAAAAAAAACAAGUUUUGUGUAUCGGUUGCAGAGAAUGACCUGAAGUGCGCACCUUUUUCCUUUCCCCUUUUUCUUCUACAACUCGAGGCCUUUGGAGGAAUUAUCAUCAUUUUACCCUACCCUUUACAAGACUUAUCAAAUUUACCUACCCUCAUUGGUCAUUUUUUCCCUCAGCCUACCCUUAAGGGUAAUUCUUCCUUUUUUUUAUGUCAUGUGUUAUUUUCAUUUAUAUUUUAUAUUUUAUUAUAAUUUUUUAUUUAAUUAAAUUUUCUAUGUUCGUUAACCUACUUUCUCCUUUAUUUAUUCACCAAUUCAAAUUGAUAUUUUUUUUUUAUAGGAAAUGAUCAUUUAAAAUUAUUUUAGGAAUUUAAAAUUGAUAUAUUUAUUUAUUUAAAAAAUAUUUAUAACAUAUAAGUUUUUGUUUAAAUAGAUUUCUCGACAAAAAUAUCUAAUACUAUGUCACCAAUUAAUCUAUUAAAUAUUAAAAAUAUCAUUACUAUAUCAAAUAAUUAAUAAUAAUUUUUUUCUGAGCUUUAUUUAACUUAUAUAUACUUAUAUAUUUAUAUGGUUCUUUAUCUAUUUUUCUUGUUGUUUCAUUCAUUGGUAAAAAUAAUAACUUUUGUUAAAAAUUAAAUUUUUGAGUUUAUUGUAGAAGCUUGAUUGUUUUGAUAAAAUUAUUAAAGUUUUAUAUUUUAAAAUUUUAAAUAUAUAUUGUGAAAAUAUAAGUUUUUGUUUUAAUAGACUUCUUGACUAAAAUUUUUAGGAUUAUGUCAUAAGUUAAUAUAACAAAUAUUCAAAAUAUCAUUAAUAUACCAAAUAAUUAAUAAUAAAUUUUUCAUAGCUUUCUAUAUAUGUAUGUGUGUGUGGGUGCAUACAUCUAUCCCUAAAUCUAUCGCAUUGGAAACAUAUGACAUAAAAAAACAUUAUAAAAUAAAGAUCUAGAGAUUGAAAGUUUAAACUUGCAAUUUAGAUGUUCUCCAAUAGAAUCUAAUAUGAAGAAGGUAUUAUAGAACUUGUCUAUCGAACGAUCGUCCAUCUAAUAUCUCCCUUCAUGGAUCCUAACAUAAGAGAAUGAUGGAUUUCUCUAUCUUUAAAGGGUGACAAAGGUUUAUCUCUCUGAAAUUUCAAAAAAAUUGAAUAGAAAGACUGAAACACUAACCCUUAAGAUGGUUUAUAUAGGUUUCCCUAUAGAGUUGAGUGACUUGAGCAUAAAUUAGGCUUAGAUCACCUAAUCCAGUCUAUUUGGGUCAUAAUUAAAUAAUUAGUCUUAAUGAGUUUCAAUUAAUUAAUUAGCCAAUUCUAGAAAGUCAAUUUAUAAGAUCUAUUACAACCUUGUAUUUUUACCAAAGCGCUCUCAUACACACUUAUAAAUUACAUACCCAAAAUACCCUUAAAACAUGUCACUAUGAACUAAGAGCUCGAGCAAGGACCAUUGGGACUCAUCGGAACAUAUUGGCUUCCCCAUAAUCAAAUUCUAAAGUUGACUCAAAACUCCACUAAAGAGAGUUAAUUGCACUAUAGUAAACUAUGAAAUUACAAUGAGACAAAGUUUGGAUCUAUGACCUACCAUUCAUUAUAUGCAAACUCCCUAUGAACUAGUAUCUAUAAUCUAACAAGGUAGUGUUAUCAACUUAUUAGGAUUACCUUUCCAAUCUUCGAGUUACAGUUCUAUCUAUUAUGUGAUUAACUAACAUAUUCAAGCUUCAUAAAACAUAUGUCGAAUUCUACUUAAAGAAUUACUACAACCACAUAUUUCACGAUCACAUGUCCUUUGGAUCACUCAAGGGGACACAUUGUCUCAAUCCCAUGAGAUAUCAUGGUGCCUCUAUUGAAAAUACAUAUUGUCAUUGUCUAUAACCUAACAAGGUAGUGUUAUCAACUUAUCAUGAUUACCUUUCCAAUCCUCGAGUUAUAGAUCCACCUAUUAUGUGAUUAACUGACAUAAUCAAGCUUCAUAGAGCAUAUGUCAAAUUCCACUUAAGGAAUUACUACAACCACAUAUUUCAUUAUCACAUGUACUUUGGAUCACUCAAGGGAACACAUUGUCUCAAUCCCAUGAGAUAUCAUGGUGUCUCUAUUGAAAAUACCUAUUGCCACCAACUUCUAUUAAUAGUGAUCCAAUCCGUAGAUAAUAUAUGACCGCACUAAGGUCUCACCCAUAGGUCAAAGUCUUUUAUUAAUUUCAACACAAACUUAAUAUCUUCUUAAGGUUAAGAGUCUAUGCAACAUAGUAGCUUAGUAAAUCAUGACAACUCAAUGGCCUUAUGUUAUAUUUUACCGUAGGUCCUAUCUAAUGUAAAAUCAUACAAACUAGUACACUCACCAACGGAAACUCAUCUCGAUGACUAAGACAAAUCAUCCCUCUAAUUAGAGGUAGUGUAUUAUAGUUUCUACUAGAUUUCCCAAAUUCAUGAACUGACUAUGAACGAUUUACUAUCUUGUAAGGAACUCAUGACUUAUAUACUUUGUGUAACUCCUGAUACACCUAAGUCAUGUACAAUGCAAACGAUAUGAGCUAAAUGCUUAAAUCAAUAUCAAUGCAUAAAAGAGAUAGUUAUAGGAUAAUCGAGUCUACCUUCGUUACAUCAUAUCUUACUUUUAGGGGCUCAAUCGCAACAAACUCCUACUAGCCUCAAAAGCAAACUAGGCAUCACGAAAAGAAUCUACUCUACAGUCACAUUACUUCUUUCAACUAUCUCACAAAACAAGUAGUACUUCCUCUCUAUGUGUUUUCUUUUCUAGUGGUACUUGGUUCUUUAAACUAUACCAUUGUUCUACUGUUAUCACAUAACAACAUCUUAGACGAUGCAACUAAGGGAAUUGAACAUAAUCCAAAAGGCUUCUUUUGUUGCUUUGAAAACAACAACAAAUACCACGUAAAACAAACACAUACAUGGAGAUAGACCUGCAAGGGUCCUCAUCAAAUUGAAAGCCUAAUUCCCAAUACAUAAGGAAUACUAACUCAUUACAAAGACUUACAAACAUAUAAUCUCUCGUUCUCCAAAGAUAGUCGAGUAUAUGCUUGACAUCCGCCUAAAGCUCCAAUAUUAGAUUGGACUAAUAUCUACUCACCAUCCUUAUAAUAAAACAUAUAUUUGGUUUAACACAUAACAUCACACACAUAAGGCUUCCCAUUACAGAAGUGUAAGAUAUUGCCUUAAUGCAAUUUCCUCAUAUGUAAGAUAUUUUUUAUAUCAAUUUUCUAUUUUUAUUUUGAAAAAAAAAAUUAGUUUCAACACAUGUGGAUAGUGUUUUUUUAAAGUUUAGGUUUAAAAUUCUAUAAAAAUUUAAAAUAUAAAAAUAAAAAAAAUGAAAUCCAUUAUACAAAAAAUAUUAUAAUGGAAUCCAUUAUAAAAAUAUUAUGAAUAGGAAAGAAAAUAAAAUAUUAUAAUUGAAAUCAAUAUUAUUUAAAAUAUUAGUAUUUAUUUAUUUAUUAGAUUAUUAAUUAUUAUAGGUGAAUAUGUUUUUAUAUUAAAAACUAUUUUAAUUUAAUACAUUAAUUACACAUUAUGUUAAAAUAAAAAUUUAAUAAAGAAAAUGAAAUAAAAAUAAAAAUAAAUGAAUUGUAAUUUUAAAAAAUAAAACCAAAAUUUAAAGUUAAAGGCGGGUUUUAUUAGACCAAUCAAGGUAAAAAGAAGUGGAAUGGGAAGAGUUCCUAGAAGAAAAGAGGAAAGGAAGAAGGACAAGAAACAUAGUAUGUGAUGAAAUAAUUUUACUUCGUCAGGUGGCAAACCACUUUUAUGAUUGAAGGGUAGUCUCUAAAAUUAUUAUUCUACUACAGAUUUGAGGAUUAUUUUUUCGAAAAUAUUCUCGGGAUGAAGCCCUUUUUCUAGGUUAUUAAUUCAUUCAUAUUUUUCAAACAAGAAAAGAAUAAUCUUAUUGUAAUUCUCCAACAAUCAAUUCAAAAGCAAAGAAUAAUCUUAAAAAGGAAGGGUGUUUUGGUCAUUAAGACCAACAAGAUUGCAAACCCAAUCUCCCUACUGUCGUUAAAAGCCACAAGUCAAAUUCGGCUCCGAAAUAUCACUCAUCCACCUGCAUUUUUCUUCGUCUCGAUCAUCUCUCCCACAAAACAAAGUACAAGAAUGUUGCUACGUGGCAUCGUAUCGGCCCCUCUACCCUCAACCCUCUCCCUCAAAGCUUCCGCCCGGCCCUCCCAAAACGCCAGCCUUUCCUUCUCCAUCUCCGACCAGGAACUGGAGUCCCGAGGGUUCAGCCUCCGCCGUUCCAUCGCGGACCUGAACCUGGACCACCUGAACUCCGUCUUCGUAGCCGUGGGAUUCCCGAAGCGGGACACGGAGAAGAUCAGAGUAGCUCUGGAGAACACGGAAUCGGUGCAGUGGGUAGAGUACAGGAAGACGCAGAGGCCAGUGGCGUUCGCGAGAGCCACAGGGGACGGGGUGUUCAACGCCAUCAUAUGGGACGUGGUGGUGGACCCGUCUUUCCAAGGGAUUGGUCUGGGGAAGGCUGUGAUGGAGAGGCUGUUGGAGGAGCUGUUAGGGAAAGGCAUCACCAACAUUGGACUGUAUUCGGAGCCCCGCGUGCUGGGGUUUUACAGGCCCCUGGGUUUUGUUGCGGAUCCGGAUGGGAUCCGAGGCAUGGUGUAUUCCAGGAAGCGAAACAAUAAAUUUUAAUUAACAUUCUCUUUUGUUACACAUAAAGGUUGAAUUAUUUGAUUUUUAUUUUAUUUUUCCGUCUCGUCCACAUCACAAACCAGUGUAAAACUCAAGUCGGCCAGUUAUUUCGUUCUUUCCUUAAGGUGUUCUUUUUCUUCUAAUUGCGAGGUUGCUUUUAUAUGAAAUGACCUCCCACCCCCUUACCUUUCUUCAGCCUUAAGUCCGCCCUUCCCAACUUUUCUUCCGCCCUUCCCAACUUUUCUUUGGAAACUUGUGUUUUAGGGCUCUUAUUUAUAAAAUAUAUGAUAUUCAAAUCUCAAGUUUAUAAAAUAUGGAAAGUAAUCAUUAAUAGGCAAAAUAAUAUGAGAAUUGUGCACUCUGUGCUGAGUCAAUUUUAUCUACCCAAAUUGCCCUUGAUGUCUGCUGCAUCAAUAGCCAAAUAGCCUCCAUGUCAGACUUAAAUUUUUUAAAAAAAUUGUGAAACUUGUCAAUUGUAUAAAAAACCACCCGACUUGAAAAAGAACUGGAAAAAAAAAAAAAAACCAAUUCUUUGUUUGAACUAGAAAAAAUUCCCAAAUAUGAUAGUUCUCCAUCCCUAAUUUGCCUUUCCCAAAUCUGAACAUUUUGUCGUCUCUCUCUUUUUCUUUCUUUCUCUCUCAUUUUAGCAAAAAAAAAACCUUGAGCCGAAAUUGGAAUCGACAUCUAACUUUCUUCUCAAAAACUCCCGUAACCCUAAAUGUGCAUUUUAGUUUGUUAACAACCAAACUAAGAUUUUCCCUAAGCCGGAAUCUCAAAAACUUGUCAUUUCAAAAGGUCAUUUGAAAUCUGAAUCGGCGAAAACCUUCAUGUCCAACAAAUUGAACUGAUACCCAGACUGAAAUUUCCCUUUCUUUCGUCCUCUCAAAGUUUAGGAACAUUUCUCUCAUUCGUCUUCAUGUACGCAGUCAGCAGAAGCGGAGACUGUGUUAAAUUUGCAAAAUUUCACACAUUUCAGAGAAUAAACCAUGAAUCGAAAAUUGUGUUUAAAUUUGCAAAAUUUGACACAUUUAUGAGAAGAAACCUUGAAUCAAAAACCUCAAUCUACAUUUUUCUUUGUUGUGCAGUUUUUGAAGAAGCAAAUGAAACACUUCAUGGUAACAACGUCCAGUUAAAAAAUGGUUUUGAGGAGGCAACAGUGUGAUUCAAAUUCUAGUUCAACUGAGUGAACCCGAACGAAAACGGCAAGUGUGAAAUAUUGGCUUCGUGAAGAAGAAAUCUCCUCUUCGUCUGAUUGGGUUGCAUUUCGACCUAACCCCCACCAAAAUCUUAAGGUAAUUAAUUUGUAUUUAGUGUUGUUUUGUUUGUUUGUUUGUUUUUAAUAGAGCAUAGCAGCGAUUGUGGAGUGGUUGUUGGACUUCGAAAUAUGUGUGCAGUGGUGAGGCGAUAGCUUCAUGCACAGGUGGAUUUUGGACCGCAUGCUUGCAGGCUCGAUCCCUGUCUUGUUGAGUAUUUGGACAGUGGUGUAUUUGGAAAUGAGAAUGUUGCACCAAAGGUAACUUCCAUGAUGUGUUACAAUGGUUAUUGUUAGAUAGAAUGAAGAAAAUAUGAUACUCUAUUGCUUUUGUUGUGGUAUGAAUGUUGUGAAAUAUGAAUCCGAUAAUGCUUGAGUAACACUAUAAGGUAAUGUUUAUAAAGGUAGAAUAGAUAAUGAGAAAUAGGAAGUAAUGGCAUUUUCCAUUCAUUAAUUUCUUUAGAUUGUUUUAUAAUAUGAGAAUAUGAAUGAUGUAUUCAUUUUGAUGGGAACCUACUCUCACCCCUACUAGAAUUUUGAUUCAUCUCUUCUAUAUAAUAUUAUGAUUCAACUCCAUUUCCAAUCCAAUUCCCAUAUGUCAAACACAUCCUACAUGCUCUACGUGAAGUCAUGAGGCUAUUUAUGGUCUUAUACCUUAGCAUACCUUGGCUUGUAACUUUGUGAACCUUUGCAAUGUGUGUGGGCAUCAUGUUUUGCAAUUUUUGUGAGUUUGUUCACCUUAGAUGUAAGCACUGCCUGACUGAACCUUAGGUACUACCUUAGUAACCCUUAGGUACUAUCGUAAUAAACUUUAGGUACUACCUUAAUGUACCUUAGGUACUACCUUAUUGUCCUAUACAUAUUACCAUUGUGAAACCUAUAGCCCUACCCUAGCACACUUUGGGUACUUAAUUUCUGAACCAACUGUAGUUACUUUGUCAAUACUAUGUACUACCCGUGUUCAAUCAUAGGAUGUAUCUUUUGCAUUCAAUUCCAUCCAAUUUUGAAGAUGAAUCAAGAAAUGCGUAGAUAAUACAUAAUUUCCUUAAUUGAGCAUGUCAUUUUUAUUUUGUAAUGACAUAGGUGAACAUUUCACCUUAGGCAAAUGGCAGAUUGCCCAUGUGGCUACCUGAAUGUACCUAAGAUGGUACGUAAAUGUACCUAUUGUGCUACCUUAAUGUGCUUUAAGUAUUACCUUAAUGUCUCUUAGGUACUACCUUAAUGUCCCCUAGGUACUACCUGACUAUACCACAUUGUCUCCACAUUUGGGAACCUUAACGAUGCACCCGAGCACAACUUGGCUACUAGCUUCAUAAACACUCAGUGGUUACUUUGUGAAUUCUAGGUACUACUAUGGUCAAUCAUAGGAUGUAUCUUUGUCAUUCAAUUUCAUCCUAGUUUGAUACAUAACCAAGCCAUUUGGUUGAAAAUGUCAGUUUCUUUAAUUGAGCAUGACAUUGUUAAGUUGUAAUAGGUUAGGCAUCCCGUUAACCUUAGGUCAUACCUUAUUGCACCUGAUUAAAUACCUUAAUGUGGCUAAGGUACCACCUUAAAGUGCCUAAGGUACUACUUUAAUGUGCCUAAGGUACUACUUUAAUGUGCCUAAGAUACUACCUUAAUGUGGCUUAGGUACUACCUUAGUGAACCUUAGGAGUACUUCCUUACUGUAGCUUAGGGACUACCCUAAUGAACCUUAGGAGUACUACCUUAUUGCAACUUAUGGACUACCAUUGUGAACCUUAGUUAUUAACUUAAUGAAGCUUAGGUAGUGAGUUUGUGAACCUUGGGUUGUUCAUCAAUCCUAGGUGGCACUUUCCUCAACCAUAGGUCCUAUGCUUGACAUAUAUAUCCAACAUCUUCCCUUAGUACACAAUGUCUUGAAUUGUCUAUGGCAUUAUUUAAAAAUAAUUUAUUUUUUAGGGUCAACAUCUUCCCUAAUGCACUUCACUUACUAUCGUCAUGCACUUUAGGGUCAACCUUAAUACAUCAUAGGUGCAAUCUCACUACUCCUUAUGUAGUAAGGUCUAAUUGGUUAUUGUCCUUAAUGUUGGAGAAAUGUUGCAUUUUCGAAUUGAAGACACAUUUCUUCCAUUCCAUUACAGAUUUGAUAAUGGCAUUACUUUGUCUUAAUUGGUUACUCACCCAAUACGUUAUGUACUCAUAAUAGUAUGAAGAUACUAUCUUAAUGUACCCUAAGUACUAUCUUAAUGUAUCAUAGGUACUACUUUAAUGUCCCCUUAAGUACUACAUUACUAUAACACUUUCUCCACAUUUGGAAACCUGAAUUGUGCAAUCGAGCACAACUUUCCUACUAGCUUUGUUUCCCAAUCUAUAGUUAAUUUGUGAAUCCAACGUACUACCAUGGUCAACCAUAGUAUGUAUGCUUCGACAUUCAAUUUCCAACUAGUUUAAAAAAAACGAAGCAAUUAGACUGAAUAAACAAUUUCCUUAAUUGAGAAUGACAUUGGUAUGUUGCAAUAGGUUAGCCAUCUUUUUCACCUCUGGUAAUACCUUAUGGCAUCUGAGUUACAACCUUUAUGUGGCUAAGGUACUACCUGAAUGUGCCUAAGGUACUACCUUAAUGUGCCUAAGGUACUACCUUAAUGUGCCUAAGGUACUACCUUAAUGUGUCUAAGGCACUACCUUAGUUAACCUUACGAGUACUACCUUACAGCAUCUUAGGGACUACCCUAGUUAACCUUACGACUACUACCUUACUUUUGUUGUUUAUCAAUUCUAGGUAGCACUUUCCUCAACCAUAUGACCAACACUUGACAUUCAAUUCCAUUUUAAUUUCACGUUGAAUGGAAAUAUGUCCAAGCAUUAUGGACUAACCAAUUUUGAUGCCCUAUAGUCCCUGUAUACAAAUUUUCAUCCACAUCUCUCUAUUACUAUAAAGAUAUGUAUACAAUUAUUUGGUACUCUAAUGAUGGCAUAAUUUUAUACGAUAACACAUAUAUGUGGUAUACGCCACUUUGAACAUUUUUUUCCAUAUAUGCAAAUUUUGGUUUGAACUCCACAUUUGUUGGGUUUUCUUUCUUCAUUUUUUGUCCCCUUUUUGUAUUUGCAACUUUCUUUAGCCAAUGUUAAUUGCUUUUUUAUUAGGUAUGCACUAGCCAAGUCAUCUCUAGAUCGUCAUUACAAGCCAAAAUGCAAAGACAUCUUCUCCAUGAACCUUAACAGUAGCUUCCGAUUAUUGUUGCCGCUCUAUCACCUUCUGCUCCUGAUUUGCUUGCAUUUCUGCUCGAUUGGCCCAAUGUUAAAGCUCUAUCACUGGAUACUCUAAACCAAUUUUUCAUAUUAUAUUGUGUUAUAAUAAAAAGUUUUUUGUUUAUCAUACUAUUUUCAUUUUCGUAAUUACAAUUGUAUGUCAUUUGUUGUAAUUUAUUAAUAGUAAAAGUGUUUGUAUAUUUAUACAACAUAUUUUAUAAAACACUAUUAGAAUCAUUUUCUUGAUUCUCAUAAAAGUGUUAUUCACAUCAACACUGCCUAAGGAAACACUGUAAAAAAAAAAACCUUCCAUUAUAAUAAGUGCCAACGGGGCUCUAAGUGUAAUUUUAAUACUAAGCGGAAAACAUUAUUCCACUAAAUUACCAAACUAAUGCCACGUUUGCACAUUUAGUUCGACAUUUUAGUUUCAUUUUUCAAUUCUUCGUCUAUGUUUAACUAAUUUUUGGUUUCCAACCCAGUUAAUUAUAAUAUAACUAAAAUGCCUUGGUAAGUAAGCCGUCAAUUACUCAAUAAAUAAUAACAACAAGAUAUAAAGUAAUGGAAGCUUUUUAUAAAUCAAACGUGUUAUAUGUGAAUAAAAAAAAAUAUUAAAGCAAUUUAUUUUUUGUUACUCUGGUCGUCUAUGAACAUCAUCCAUCCUUAAGAACCUGUUUGUGCUUUAUGUAUAAUUUGCAUAGGUAAAUAUUUAUGCAUAGGAAUAUUUCCAAUGCACCAAUUGAACAACUAUAUAAAAAUAUUUAUCACCAUUAACAACUACAUGUCCUAUCCUACUAUUAAAUGUCUGUCCAUCAUAAUUGCAUUACACAUAAUUUGCUAUCCCUAUGACAUUCAUAUUGGUUUACAACCGUCCGAAUGAAUCACUUUAAACUGUUGGAAAAUUUCCAGAAACACUUUAUUUAAACUGCUACCAUGGAAACAUGACUCCAAUUAUCCUUCUUGUUCUCCUAAGAGUUGCUUGUAAUUUUAUUUGGCUGAACACAAAUAAAAAAAAAUUGUCAUCCUUUCAAUUUAAGUCUUGUUUCUAUGUUGUGCAAAACAUAGUCAUCUCAUUCCAAUAUAAAUCAAAGUACCUUGGCGAAAAGCAGCGAUAUCCUACUCAAGUGAGCAUAAAUUAAAUUUUAGUAAAUCUUAUGAAAAUAAAAGUUACUGAUCAGACACACUGUUAGCAUAUAUGGACAGUAGUAAUUCAUCAAACACGUUCUAAUAUCUUCAAACAAAUGGCAUAGGCAACGCCCCACAUACCAUUCAUCAAACACUAAGGAAAUGAAGAUGAAACAUAUUCGUUUACUACAUAUGGCAUAUACAUGCUCAUAUGCCAAAAUUCAUACUUUCUAAUUCUAUAUUAACCCAAUUUGUUCUAACAUUUUUCUCAUCGUCAUUUGAGAGUAAUUUAUUUUAAUAUGUCAUCUCCUCAAAUAUUGCCUGCUCAGCCUCAUUUUUCCAGCACUUUGAGGUUGUGUUUGUCCAGUUUCUGAAUUCAAUUCUCCAUCUCCAGCAUUUUUUGUCCCUUUUGCCGAAUUUUCUUCGUUCUCUAUCUAGAGAAGGUAACGGAAACCAACCCAUAAUCAACAAAAGGACCACCGACCAAAAGCUAAAAUAAUUUUGAAGUGGAUACCAAGUAAAGACGGACUGAACUAUAGGCCACAAAGCAAGAGCAGUUAUGAGCAUGGUCUUAAAAUCCACAGCUCUCAUAUGAAACCAAAGUACAAUUUCCUGUGAAAUUCAAUUUUUUGUGUCUAAAAUUGAAUGCAUUUGAAACUUUUUUUUUAAUCACACACUAAAUUGCUAAGGUUAUAAAAUCACGCUUGAAAUGCAACUGAAUGUAGACUACAAAUUUGUUUGUCUUUUGAAGUGUAAUCCAUUGUAACCAAAUCUUUUUCAAUUCAUUUUGCACAGUUCAAUUCAUAAUAAAAGAAAAUAUAUGUUGAAAACUGAGCUCAAUGAGGGUGAACUAACCUUUGACCAUGUAACCUUUGUUGAACAAAAAGAAGUUUGUCAAAUAAAUGAUAUUGCAAACUUCCAGAAUUCUUAAAGAAUGACAAAAUUAUACAUGAGGUCGCUUUAUCAUAAGACUUCCCCAUGCAUGUCUCAUAUGAGCAGAAAUAACUAAAGGGAAGUUAUUUCAAACAUGACGUAGUCUACAGUGCAAAAGUUCUUUACACCACAAUAAAGUUGCAUAAUUUGCAACAAUUUGAACUAUUUAUUCCCAAAGCCUCUACCACUAAGGAAAUUGCAACCAACAUAUAGAAUGAACAACUUGACUACUUUAAUGUUAUUAUGAAAGUAAGAAUUCACCAUCCAAGAAAUCAUAACAACGGGAUUUUGACUGUCAAGCACUCUCACACUGAAAAUCGGAUUUACUAUAGGAAAUAACCUAUUAUAGAUUUAAUGGUCCUUCAAAUAAUAGAUUGGAAAAGUUAGAAAAACAAUUCAAAGUAAACAUUCAAAUUUGUUGUUCAAAACACAACUUCAUUACAAGGAUGCAAUUUGUAGCCAUAACAUUCUAAAAACUUAGGUUAUAUACAUUCAAUAAGCAUUACUUCAGACAAAUUUACGUUGAUGGAAAUAACAGAAACAAUAAAAUUAGAAAAUUAUUUUUGGGCCCAUUUCAAUAUUUACCAUUCCUUAUUGCCAUAAUGAACAUAAUGGUUCUCAUAAACAUCUAUAAACCUCAUCGAUUGACCAAAGUAACAGCAAGAUACAACAAACCAUUAAGCACAAAGCAGAACUUAAAAAUCCUGUAAAACAACAUGCAUAAAAACAAGCUCAAAUGGAUUCGAGCAAGAAAACCAACCUUAGAUGAUUCUCAACAAAACUGUUCAGCUUAUAGUUAACACUAACUACUAAUUAAGACAACUCCUCACAAUACUAACAACUGUAACGAAAACCAAAUUUAUAUCAUUCUAUCUGCAUGCUUAACUCUUCCUCUAUACCCAAUAUGUACAACAUUAUUCAAAGCUAUGUUUGUUUUAUGAGAAAAUAUAAAGGACCUCAUAAAAUUGUUUUAAUUUAAAAAUUUUAUUCACCUUAAAACAUUUAUAAAGCUACCAUUACAUAAACCUAAAAACACAAAUCCGAGAAGUAGUUAAAUAACAUUUAUUCAGAAAGUACCUAAAAACCUACCAUUAAUCAGUUGUGAUUAUGAAGAGAAGAUUGAUUGGGGGAUAGAGGUAAUGGAAUAGCCAUUAGGAAGCUUUUUUUUUUCACAGGGACUAGCAUUUCUCCAUAAAGGCCUAACUUACUUGGGACAAAUUUGACAAUGAUUCUUUAGCACUGAAAGGUAUGUCAUACAUGGAAACAAGUGGUAAACGAGAUUGGAAGUGCCCUAGGAAGGCCAGGCAAAUAAGAAGGAAAUAAUUGGAAAUGACCAAUGUUUGAAAUGUCAUAACAUAGGUUUGAGUUAGCUUCGGUUGGUUAUUUGCAGCUAGUAUCCGUAUGUUACCAGAACACUAUGCAAUUGUUCACCAUGCUACUUCUAAUAUGUUCUCCCACUAUUUGCCACAUUUUCCCCCCUUUUUACAACUACCAACAUUUCUCUACUUAAGACAGAGUAAAAAAGUACCACUUCAGAUAUCUCUGUUAUUCUUGCCAUAAAUUGUUAUGGUGUGGAAAUCAUUAUUUACACUAAUUUCUAUAGGUUGGCUAGAUAUAUGGCUCUCAGAUUGGGGAUGUUUUGACUGGUCUGAAGAUGCAUGCUAGAGGAUAGAGAUUUGUAUAUUGUAUGCCAGUUCGUGCUGCCUUUAGAGGAUCAACACCUAUUAAUUUUUCAAAUCGUAUAACCUAGGUGUUUUUUUGGGCCAUUAGCUUUAUUGAAAUUCUUAUCAGUCGACAUUGUCCAAUGUGGUUUGGAUAUGGUGGAAGGCUUAAGUUGUUGGAGAGAGUUGCUUAUAUAAAUGUCGUCAUAUAUCUCAAUUUUUCUGUUCCCCUGCUGAUUUACUGUGCUUUACCUACCAUUUGACAUUGAAACUCAACAGCAACACCUUAGUUUCUUGCGUAUCUCUUUGCGGAACUUGCAUAGGCCAAACCAUGCCUCACUAUGCUCUCCUCCUAUUAUUAAUUUGCAGAUUACUUAUGAGGCAAGCAUUUGCUUCACCUUAAUUUCUGUAUUACUAAGGCAUGACCAAUACUUCACAAACUGUCACUUUUUUUUCAUCCUAAAUUUGUAGUCAACAUUCAUCUUUUACAUGCUUACUGCUAUCAUUUUAUCAUGUCUCAAAUCAAAUUCAUAAAAAAAUAACAAUAACAACAUACAUUCAAUUAUAUCAUGCAAAGACAAAGGACAAAACAAUAACAACACACACACAAUGAAAUCGGUAUUCAAAAUUAGUAAAGCAAUAACAAUGACAAACGACCAAGCAAAUAAUAUGUUUAGUUGCUAGUAGUAACUCUCAUAUAUACCAUUAAAAUUGAAAGAAAAUUUCCAUCGACUAGUAGUAAUACAGAUGAACCAAUUUCCCCAAAAAUCUUAUCACAACAAAAUUCCUGGAAAGCAAAUAAUAAUAAUAAUAAUAAUAAUAAUAAUAAUCUUUUUUCUCUAAAUACGAACAUAUCUUUAACCAAAAAAAAAAAUCCUAUAUUUCAUUAUACUAAAAAUGAAGCUAAAUAUAAGAAACCUCAAAGUAAAACACUUGAAACCUUAAGAUGUUCACACCAUCCAAACAAACUUGUAAAUGAAAACUCACCUGUGAUUGAUUAAUCGGAAAACACGCACAAGAGGGAAAACUCCAGUUCCGUUUCGAGAAACCUUAACAAAAUUCCAACUUUGAUGAUGCAAAAACAAUAUAUGGCUCCCGUUUGGUUUAUUUCAAGGUAUUAGGAAGAUGGACAUCAGUUUCGGCUACUGAUAACAUUAAAAGACAAAUAGGUUCGACUAACCGGGAUGUUAAGAGACAAACAGAGAAAUUUGAGAAUCUAGGAAGAUGGGUAUCAGUUCGGUUUGUUGGACGUGAAGGUUUUGGCCGAUUUAGAUUUCAAAUGACCUUCUGAAAAGGCAAGUUUUUUAGAUUCCAGCUUAGGGAAAAUCUCAAUUUUGAUUGCUGACAAACUAAAAUGCAGAUUUAGGGCUACGAAAGUUUUUGAGAAAAAAGUUAGAUGUCGAUCGACUUAAGGUUUUUUUUUGCUAAAAUGAGAGAGAGAGAGAGAAGAGGACAGCCAAAGUUGGGUUGGGUGGUUUUUUCUGCAAUUAUCAAUUAUCACAAUUUUUUUUUUUAAAUUUAAGUAUGACGUGAAGGCUAUUUGGCUGUUGAUGUAGAAGACAUUGAGGGUAAUUUGGGCAGAUAAAAUUGACUUAGCAAAGGAUGCACAAAUCUAAUAUUAUUUUGUCCAUUAAUAAUUACUUUCCAUAUUUCAUAAACUUGGGGUUUAAAUAUCAUAUAUUUUAUAAAUAAGGGCCCUAAAACACAAGUUUCCCUUUUUCUUUCCUCUUUCCUUCUUCCACUUCCUUUUCUUUUCUUUGCCGAUUAAAAUUUUCAAACUUCAAAUUAAAGAAAAAAAAUAAAAACAAAAACCAAGGUAGAAAAAAUCGAAAACAGGAAAAAUAAAAAUAAAGAGUAAUUUUUUUUUAUAAAAAAUUAAUAAAAUAGAAAUUAAUUAAAAUUCAUAAAAAAUAUUGAAAAUCUCUAAAAAAAUAAUUCAACAAAAUAAAAUUUGUAACGUACAAUGAUAAUAUGUAAACUUAAAAACACAUUUAACACUAAAAUACUAUAUAUGUAUUGAAAAUAAUUAAAAUUUAAUUUACUAGAAUUAUAUUUUAAUAUUUAUUUUAUAUGCAAAUAAAUAUAACAUAUAUCCAUUAUUAUUUAUAAGGGUAGCAUUGCCCUAAUGGCAAAGACCUUUUUUCUCUUUAUUUUUCAAAAAAAUAAAAAUAAAAAGAAAACAUUCCAUGCAUGAAUUUGUAAGAAUUUAAAAAUAUUUAAAUUUUUUAGAAGUAUGGGAAAAUUUUAAUAGGACACAUGGGGGCCUCAAAGGACAUAUGACAGACCCAAUGUUUGAAAUAUCAGUAAACAUGGAUACGUGGGUACUUAAAUUUUAUGAAUAUUUCAGAAAUAUUGGUCAAAUUGAUCGAACAAAAAUGGUUUAUGGCUUAAAAUUCAUGAAAAUGCUUUAAAAAGUUUCAAAAAAUGAUAAAAAAAAAAAUACACACAUCAAAUUUAUUUUAUAAAUGUAAUUGACAUAAAUAUUAUUAAAGAUAAUAUUUAUCAAUUUUUUUUAAAAAUGAUUUAAAUUCCUUUAAUAUAUUUAUAUUCAUUUAUUUUAAAAACUAAAAACAACUUUUAUUAAAACAUAUUUUAUUAAAUUUUAAAUAAAAAAUUAAAUUGAUUUACAUCAAAUAAUUUAUUUGAGAUUUAGUUUCUAAAAUUUUAUUACAAAUUUGUAGUGACAAUUUUUUCUAUUAACAUUAAUUUAUUUAAAUAAUUAAAAUUAUUAAAAAAUUAUAUUAAUAAUUUACCUUAUCAAAUUCAUUUAAAUUUAUAAAAUAUUAGAACUUCAUUAAUUUCUUUUAUAUUUCAACAAUUUUUGAAUAAAAUUAUAAUUUUAAUAUGUUAAAAUGAACAUAUUUAAAAUUAAAUAAAAUUUAAAAUAUUUAAAAUUGAAGUGAUAGUGAUUUUUUAAAAUAUGAUUAAUGAGAUAAAUAUAAAAAGUAGUUAAAAAUAAAAUCAAGAAAAUAUAAAUUUAAAACAAAAGAUAAAUUAGAAAUGAAUAAUUUAAAAACAAAAAUAAAUAAAUAAAUAUAUUUUAAAAAAUUGGCUUUUUUUGGAAAAAGUCGCUAAAAGUAAACUAUUUUUUUCAAAACAAAAAGAUAAAUAUUUAGUAAGAAAUGAAUAAUUAAAAAAUUUUAAAAAGGAUAAAUAUUUUUUUUAAAUGGGUAAUUUUUUAAAAAAAAAUUGCCUAUUUUUUAAAAAAAUUGCCUAUUUUUUUGUGCGCAAUCCUCCCCACAUGCGACUUUCGAUUUUUUCGCCAAAAAAUAGGCCAACACUAAAAUAUUGGCGAUAUUUCGCUGAUUUUUCUAAAAUGUCAACCGUUUAUGCAAAUUAGUUUCCAUGACACUAGACGAUGAAAGAAUUUCAUCUUGGUAAAGACGAUAUUACCAUGACAUGGAGUUUGCAUGAUAUUGAUCGGAAUUAUGAACAUGUCAUGCAUAAGUCUCUUAAAUCCUACCCACUACCUCUUCAUGGAUGAAAAAGUUGAAGUUCAUCCAUGCAUAUAUUUGAAAUCUUCUUUACAUCUGAUUUGGAAUACCAUAUACGAAACUCCUUGGAGCAUUGGGGAGGGGGAGGUGAUAUUGGAUCCGUAGUCCCCGGAUUAGUUCCAAAUUAAGUCUAAUAGGGUAACACCCAAAGGUGGGGAAAGAGAAGAGGGGAAGGGGAACCAAGGGUGGUGUGUUUGGGAUUUGAAUGGGCAUAAAAAAAAUUAAAUUUGCAUGUUAUAACUAACUUUUCCCUAUGAGUAAUUAGAGAUUAUCAAAUUUUCUAAAGUCCACUUAAAUUCACCUUGGCCCACUUAAGUUUACUUAGGCCCAUUCAGAUUCACAGAGGCCAGUUUAGUUUCACCAAGACCCAUUUAGGUUCACCUUGGGAACACUUAGAUUUACCUAGGCCCACUUAGGCACACCUUGGCCCACUUACAAAUGCUUGGCCCUUGUAGGCACACCCAAGCACAUCAAGGAUCACCAUAAGUCACAUUUGCAUGGCUUACAUAGUUCAUAGAAUUUGCAUUUUUAACAUUUACAUGUGCUUGAUUUCUUAUUUAUUUACCUAUUUUUUUAUUUUAUUUAGUUAUUUAUUGAUUAUUAUUUAUUUAGUUAUCUGUUUAUUUUUAUUUAUUUAUUUUCAAAAAAUUACAUGUAAUUGAUUAUCUUAUCUUUUUUUUUUUUUUUUAUCAUUAUCAUUAUUAUUAUGAUUAUGAUUAUGAUUAUUAUUAAAUGUUUUUAGUAUAAAAUUUUUAGUGGUAUGUACAUAAAUAAAUUUUGAUAAAUUAUUUUUUAAAGUAUUUUUAAUAUAAACUUUUUUUAAUGCCAACUUGGUAAGUUAAUUUUUUUUAAAGUUUGUUAAUAUUUUUUAAAUUGUAAUGUACAUAAAAUUUAAACACCACUUUCCAUUACAAAAGCAAAGCCACUUUCUAAUACUAAAUUGAAAAAAUAAAAUAAAAUUCUUCCAUGAUAAAUAUCAAAGUUGUUUCCAUAUAAAAGGAAAACACGUUGCCAUAUUGAUAGGGGGAGUCCAUUAUUCACGGGUUGCACUUAUUUUUAUAGGAAUAUCACGAUGCUUGGGAAGAAGAAAAGAAGCAUUCGCACCAUUUUCCAAGCAAGGUAGAAAUCUUCUCCAUGCAACCACACACAUAAGGACGGAAUCAACGCAACCGCCAUCCAAGAGAUGAGAGAGUUUUGACCCAAAAUGCAACAUUUAAAAAAAAAAAUUCCAUUAAGUAAUGUCUAAUCUAGUGCGUUUGUGCCACGUAGAUUGUCACAUCAUAAAACCGUAGUUAAUGACUACGGUUUUAUUUUUGAAAAAUGGUCAAAAUCGUAGUCACCAACCACAAUUUUGAACUUUAAGUUUAAAAUUAUAGUUGGUGACUACGAUUUUGACUACUUUAAAAAUAGUCAAAGUCGUAGUCAGCAACUACGACUUUAACUUUAAUUUCUUGCACAUAUAUAUAUAUAAAACUAUGUUGUUUGAUUUAAAAUAUUUAAAUUUAAUUUUUUAAAUAAAAAUAUUAUAUUAUUUUGAUUUUAUAUUGACUAAAAAUAUGUGAGUGGUUUAAUAAAAAUAUUUAACUUUAUUGAUCUCAUUAUUUAAAUAAUAGUAAUAUAUGAAAUUAAAUAAUUGAUGUCUUUAAUUUGAUAUAAAAAUAUUUUUGUUUAAUUUUAUUAAAAUAAUUGGCACUAUACUCAAUAUAAAUAUAAUUAGUUAUAAAUAUACUAUUUUAUACCCUCAUAAUGAAGAAUAUAAUAUUAUUUUGUAACUUUGUGCAAAAAUUAAAGUCAAUUAUAGAUUUGUACAAAAUAUAAAAUGACUUCAAGUGGGUAAAUGAUUGGAAAAUUACUUAAAUACAACAAAAGUAUUUUUUUUUUCCAUUUUUUUCCUUUCAAAAUGGAAUGGAAAGGCUUAAAAUUUUAAACUUAAAUUGCCAACCUAAUAGAAUUUGUUUUUCCACUUCUUAAAAUAUAGAAUUCUAGAAAGAAAAUACCUUUAUUUUUCCAAUCAAUUCACUAUUUAGUUUAACUGUUUUGGUAAAUAGAUGAAAAUGCUUUUGGAAUAUUUUUGUAAAUUCAUUGAGAAUAAGAACAAUGUUCCUUAUUAGGUACUAACGAGAGUUUUGGGCAAAAAUGAUUUCUUUAAAACAAAAAAAAUCAUAAAUUAAUUUUAUUCUCAAAAUAAUUUUCAAUGUGAUUUGUGUCUUAUUCAUGUGAGUAUUCACAUCACAAAAUCGUAAUUGGUAAUCACAGUUUUUAUUUUUUAUUUUUAAAAAUAGUCAAAAUAGUAGUUGGUGAUCAUAACUUUAAAUUUAAACCAAAAACCAAUUUUUUAAGUUCAAAUUUCAAAUCAUACGAAUGUUCAAUUUUUUAAGAAUUAUUUUGAUUGGAGAUUUAGAUUGUAAAUUUUUUUUAAUGCAUUAUUUUUUCUAUAUCAAUAUAGUGUUGUUGUUGUAACUAAUUAGUUAUAAAUAUAAUUAGUUUAAAUUUAAACCUAAAACCAAUUUUUUAGAUUAUCAGACUGCUAUAUGUAAGUGGUAUAUAAUAUCAUAUAUAUAUAUAUAUAUAUAUAUAUAUAGAUAUAUAAGUUCAAUUUAAGUUUAAAAUUUAUCAUAUUUUCAUUUAAAUAUAUAAUAAUUUGUUCAUAAUAAAAAAGUUAACAAUAUAAUGCAAAUGAAAAUAAACGAAAAACUAAAAAACAGUCCUCAAUGAGUGCCACAUGAUGGGGCAUUCCUCUUUCUCUACGGACGCCUAUGAUACAGAGACAUCAUUGUUGAAUCUAUCUGUGCAAUCUGCCAUGUCUCAAUAUGUUUAGGUUGAGAUGGAGCUGAUGGAGGCAAGACUCGACGUCUACGUGGACCACGACGUCACCUAGGUGAACAUACAUUUAACUAUGUAACAUGUGUAAGGAUAUGAUGCACAGUAGUCUCUAUGAGAAGAGGUGUAGGUGAUGGUAAGGUGGUAGGUGGUAGGACAAUCUCAAGUACAGUGAUAUCUGAUAUAGUAGCAUCUAGGAGAGGUGAUAUAGGAGAUGGAAGAAUGACAUCUGAUGUAGUGGUAGUUGGUGCAAUAACAUUUGAUAUAAUGGGCUCGAGGAAAUGAUAUAUAAGUGAUGAUGGUGAGGUGACAUGUGGUGUAGUGGUCUCCUCGAGAGAAGGUAGAGGUGAUGGUAGAUUAGUAGAUAGUAAGGUAGUCUCUAGUGUAGUGACAUCAGGUAUAGUGGCUUCUAUGGGAGGAAAUAUAGGUGAUGGUAGAAUGGUAUCUAAUAUAACAUGCUCUAAGGGAGAAGGUCUAGGUGAAGGUGAUGGUAAGGGUGAAAGGGGAAGUGUAGAAGCCUCAAGUGCAAAUAGGGUAGAUGAUGUGGAUGGUGCUAACAUGGUCUCGGGUGGAUGCAUAGAUCGUCAAGGCUAUCGACCAGCUUGCCCACCAUCUCGCCUACUACCUCUCCCUCGGCCUCAAAUAGGUUGCAUCCUAAUUGUAGUGGCCGACACAGGUGGUCUCAUGGAUGGGUAUGAUGAUGUAGAUGACUGACAGACUGAAUGUAUGCGAUGUUCCUCUCUAAUAACAUGCAAAAUAUCAAUAGGAAUCCAAUGAAUGUCGCUUAAUGCACCUGAAGUAGGCCCAACAGAUCCACUAGCAAUCUCAACCAUACCAGUGAUCUAAAAAAAAAAAAAAUUAAACAGACGAAGAUGAUUUUUUAUUAAUUAUAAUUUAAUAAACCAUUUCUAAAUUAAAAAAUCUUACCAACAACUGAGUAGCUGUUAUUGUACUAUGAUACCUCAUCUGAUCUCUAUAGAGAGGGGGUGUGAUCAAACGUCAUGUAAUACUUCGGUACCACUCUAUAUAUGGAUCAUGAAACGGCAUAACACCCACCAUAGGUGGUGUCAUCGCAAUAUGCUCCGCACGACUAGCCCAUAGGUAAUAUGCUGUGCAUAGAAUGCCCCCUAAUCAUACUUAUGUCGUCCUUGCCUUGCCACAACAUGGAGGUCUUGCUCUAUGGAACAAGAUGGAGGUAUUCCUUAUUGGAGGACAAAUUGUCGCAACACUCGCUCCAGUCAAUGCCACUCGACAAUGUCAAAGCAGAUAAGAGGUGACAUCAUCUACUAAAUCUGCUGGUCUGCUAGAGAUAUCGCUAGAAGAUGGAAAACUAAGUCUCCCAUGCAAGGCUCCCAUAAAACUUGUUAAAAUCAACAUUUGAUAUUAAUAAUGUUAAUGUUUAUAUGAUUAACAAUAGCACAUUACAUCUUAUAUUUACCUGAUCAUGAGUUUGUGCAUUGGUCUUGAUAAAAUGUCAACACACUUGAUGGGUUUUGAGCCCAUGAUAAAGGUAAUCUCCACCUACAUCUUAACGAAUCAACUGGUAAACCCUCGUCUAACAAUGCGUCAUCUUGUAAUCUCUGGUCUUUAUCCAAUAAUCCAUGGUGUACCCCAAUAAGACCCUCAACUGGUAAAUCAUCGGCUGCAUCAUGAUCUAAAUGCUAGGCUGCUAGAGGGGCUGGUGGUCGACCAAAAUCAGGUCGACCCAUGUGGAGUCUCUUCCAAGACCAUAACUGGAAAAAAAUGUAACAUUAAAAUUUUACUUAAAUUAUAAACUUGAAGCAACUAGAAAUUUUAAUCUAAUCUAAUAGUGUGACAUAUCUAGCAAUAUUGGUGGCACCAUCCAAACUCACUCGACACAACUCUCUAUAUAGAUGUGCUAAUACUCCACUACCCCAACUAUACAUAGAUGUUUGAGUCAAGUCUCUAAGCAAUGGGAGAUAAUACAUAUGGAUGUGGGUACCCUUCUUGUUUGUAAAUAGCGCUAAACCUAUGAGUGCUAAUAUGAAAGCUCGUGCAUACCGCUCUAAUGUGGCAUCAUCUGAAUCAAUUGGUAGAUGAGAGAACUGGUGACAAAAGUUGGGUUUCAAAACCUUAAUCAUUGUACUCGUUUUGUAAUAUUCAUUCUAUCAGUCAUAGAUUUUUGUCUAAUUUAGUUGAGGUGGUCACCCUAUUGUUUGAUGUGUAACCGCAUCUUUAGUUUUAGAGAACAUGGGUUGUCUCAAUGCUAGAUCCAGAGUCUCAUCAUACAAUAUGAACUUCACUUUGGCUAGAAGGCAGUUUGAUAAAACCUGGAAACUAAUUUGGGACCUUAAAAUAGACGGGACAAAAAAAUUAUGGAAACCAUUUUAUAGUCACUACAGAGUUUUUCUUUGCUUGUUGGAGCAUCUAAAAAUUUUAAUCCCUUUAGGUCUUAUACGUGGAGGGAAUCUUUUUAUAGGUGGUUUUAUCAUGAAAGAUGAUGUUCUACUCUGCAUAUGAAGGAAAUUUUUCCAUACUCUCCUUUCCACCACUCAUGGGGGUUGCUGUCUCUAAUGCUUAAGGGGCAUUGCUUUAGAAUGAUCUCCAAUAUUCAAGAAUGUAAGAUACUCUCAUGAGUUUGAUCAACAACUUAUGUUUGGACAAAACCUGAAAAGAUUGUUGUUCAGGCAGAUGACAAAUGGGGUCUGCUUAUGAAGUUGUGAUGAUAUGAGGAGCACAAGAACUAAAGUCGGUUUCAUAUUUCGUCAACAUUUUUUAAUAAUUUGAAGAGCUUUUCUGGAUUGAAUUAGUGGCUAGGAUUACCCUGCCAGGUGAAUAUGUUAUAAUUAAUGCAACGACUAGGCAAAUUCAAGUGCAAAAUAAGCCUACUAACAUGUCUUAAAGCAAUUAGGACAUCUCAAUUUCCAAACACUUCCACCUCUUGAUUCACACCAAAUUUUUUUCCGAGAAUCAAUGGUGAAGAAAAAUUUAUCAUGACAGGUAUAUAAAUAAGAAACCAAUGUUGUAUAUUCCAGCAGAGAAUAUGAAAUGAAAUCAAAUAGGCUCAAUUGCUUGUUUAUGAGUCGAAAAAGAAGCCUGAUCGUCUACUUCUUAUCAGUAGGGCCAAACAAAAGGUUUGCUUGUUUAUGGGUAAAGACUUAAUUAGCAUUUUUCGACAAGUAAAUGUUGUCCUUGACCUGAGCAUCACAAAAUAAUUCGGUUUGGUUAUUAACUAGAAAUGAGUUAUGGGUUGAAGAGUCAAGAAGUGAUGCAAGAAGAAACCAAAUCUCAAGUAGUGAAAUAAUUCUCCUAUUUCACUAAUGAAAAAGAUCAAAAUACUCAGGGUCACUAAUGAAAUGCAUCAGCUCUAUUUUAUUAUAGAGGAAUGGGUUCAUGGAGUGACUCACAUUGUGAUAACCCGACUCUUGGUAGCUUGGCAUGUAAGGGUAUCAACAAAAUUUAUACCUAAGGUCCUUACACUAAAGUAGCAAAGCUACUAUAGCAUAGUGGCUCUAGGAUCGAACACUGGGAAGGGUUUUUACUUUAACUGGUGAAGUUCGGAGGAUGGAGUGAACUUUUCUUAAUAAAAAUUAGGUUAAGAUGAAAACAUAGAAAGAUAAAGGUGUUGUAAACUAAACUAACAUGAAAAUAGGUUAAAAGAUGGAAAAAGAAGUUUCUCAAAGCUUUGGAUAGCCAUGCUUAACUCACUGUGUAAAAAUGGAGAUUUUGGGACUUUUCACCUCGAGUUGGGGAAGCAACUAAGGUGAUGCUUACUUCCCGAACCGGUAUGAGUUUAACAACUGAGUUUUAGUCCUUGAAAACUUACAAAAAGGGUAGCUAAACCUCAUAAAUACUAUUUUAUUGAUAUAGGUCAUCUCCUCGACUUGCAAUACAAUGGCUCGUAGGAGAUAACUAAUGAACGUCAGUGGAUCUAACAAUAAGAAUCCACUGAGACCAAAAGAUUAUCAAGUAUUGGCCAUUCAAAGCAAGUCAGAGGGAUUAAAAGCUUUACUUUGAAUGAAAACAUUUAUGACGCUCAGCUACUUACAUUUAUGGCUUGGAAAUCUCCAUCCUGACACGGGAGCUUCACAUGGCAUCCAUUACUUCAAGAAACUAAAAGGUUUUAGCCUCUCAUCCUUGGGGAUUUCAUCCUCCAAGGAUGUUUGGCUACUAAGAAAAUGAGAAAGAAAAGAGAAAAGAAGCGUAUGAACAAAAGUGCUCUUCUAACUUAUAAAGUUACAGGUUACAAGAUUAGAUGAUCUGAGGCUCUUCACCUCUAUUUAAAGACAAUAACAAGCUAAAUUACAAGAGCUAUUACAAAAGCAACCUAUUCAUUGGUUGAUUACAAGGGUAAAAUAGGUAUUUACAAAGCUAAAAAUCAAGCAAAAUAUCCUAGAGAACUGGCAGUGGAAUAACAUCAACAACGUCUCAAAACAGGGGAUUCAAAGGAAUUUCGCAAUGUGCCUAAAUCCACUUGCGAAAUUUCGCAAGGGGGUUCUUCAUGGUGCGAAGUGGCCAAAUUUCGCACCAUGAAGAAAAUCUCCUUGCGAAAUUGGUCAUUUGACAUGAUGCAGUUGUCUUCCGAAGGCCAUAUCUUCCUCAUUUCAGCUCCAAAUCAUACACGGUUUGAAGCGUUGGAUUCUUGACUUCCUAAGAUUUCAAAUGGUAUAUAGCAUGCAAAAAAUGGACUUCAGGAAGUGCUUCAAAAGUGUGAAAGAAGACUGCAGCUGUUUUCUUCACUCUGUUUUCCUCUUCUCCAUUGCUUGUGCUCGUGUUUCCACUUGAAAUUCAAGCCUGUAAUCGUCCAAAAUCCUUGCUUAACUCGCCCAAAUAGCUCCUCCAUCAAUUGGCAUGCUUGAAUCGAUUCAUAAGCUGAUAAAAACAUGUAAACUUGCCAAAAAAUGGUUAAAACCAAUUACUAAGGACCUUAAUGAAUUAAUUGGGUUAAAUGAAUAUGAUUACUACUCAAAGGUGCUUAAAACCAUUAUAAUUAGGUCUACAAAAUAGCACUUUUUGGUAGUAAUCACAUUGUAAAGGAACUUUUGAUAUCAUUUUUUGUAGUUUUACCUCACCCAAAGGACAUAUCAAACAUGUAUGCUUUAGCAUUACUUUCCUCUAUUUUCUGGGCAACCAAACAUUCCCAGAAUUUGGAGAAUGAUGUAGAAACUAAAAAUAACCCCACACCUUCAAUCUCCCAGCUUAAGAUAAAACCCUAUUCAUUGGCCCUUGAAAACUGGAAUAUUCUUAUUUUUUCUAUUCCUAUAACAAAAAUCAGCGCUUGUCCCCUUCAUUUUUUGAGUUUUUAAUAGUGGUCCCCUCUAUUUUUGGUAUCUUUAACAAAAAAAAAUUCAUGGUAGCCCUCUAUUCCAUAUCCGUUUCUUUUACCAAAAAAUAAUAUUUUUCUUUCUACUAAGCUCACAAUCAAAAUAAAAUAAAAUAAAAACCAAACACAUCUUUACCAAGCUCAAGAUGAAAAUAAAAUCAGAAACCAAACAGAUUUACAAUAAAAUAAAAUUUACGUUAACUGAAAAACUCAUAAAUCUUACCUGACCAAUGACGAAACAAGAUGAAAAUUUCAAAAAUAUUGAAUUUGAGCCAAAGAUGAACCAAAGACAACCAAAUGUAAAGAGAGACAAUAGGAAAAACGAAACCCUAAAGGUAAAAAAACCUAACCAAAAAGGGAAAGGAAUUGAAAAUGAUAAAAGGGAUUCAAAACCGUAGUUGGUAACUACGGUUUUGACUUUUUUUAAAAAAAAAAAAAAUCAAAACUGUAAUUGGUGACUACAGUUUCUUGACCUGGACUCCUACGUGGCACAAACUCACUAGAUUGGGCAUUAUUUUGGAAAUCGGUUUACUUUUUGAAUUUUUUUUAAAUAUCCUAUUUUGGGUCAAAGCUUAAGACGAGAAGCAUGUCACGGGUUGCAAAGACUUUUGAAUGAAAAUCAUGCACUAACAUUGUGUAGAUCUUCGACAACCGAUAUCUUAGAGGAGUCAUAUGCAACCCACUUUGCGGGAUUUUUUAUUAUUAUUAUUCUAUGAGCAACAUGCCACUUUGGGAGCCCACACACAGCCAUAAAAGAGAGUGGGGCAACCACAAAAUCUCCACAAACAAUGGUAGAUAGAUAAGUGUAUGUUUUUAAAUUUAUUUUAAUUUCAUUUUGAUCCAUCUUUUUUAGUGUUGAGUUUUUAAUGAUUUUAGUUCUUUAAUUUAAUUAAUUCUAUAUAAUAAAUUUCUUGUUUUUAUUUUAUGUUUUUAGUUUGGAUGUGUUUGAGGAUUUAAUUAUUUAGUUUAAUUUAUCUAGUUAGACAAAGUUCACUUUUUUUUAAUUCCAAUUUGAUUUAGUUUUAAUUUAUCUUUUAUGUUUAGACGUGUUUACGGUUUUAAUUCGCUAAUUUAAUUGUUUCUAUUAGAAAAGUUCUUAUUUUUAAUUUCGAUUUAGUUCAAUUUUAAUCUAUCUUUUAUGUUUAAGAUGUAUUUGUAAUUUUUAUUCAUUAGUUUAAUUAACCCUAUUAGAAAAGUUCUUGUUUUUUUUUUUUUUUUAAUUUUGAUUUAAUUUAAUUUUAAUCUAUCUUUUAUGUUUAGGAAUAUUUGUGAUUUUAAUUCAUUAAUUUAAUUAAUCGUGUUAGAUAAAGUUCAUAUUUUAAUUCUGAAUUAAUUUAGUUUUGAUCUAUCUUAUAGUUUAAAUGUGUUAUUAUUUUUUAAUUCAUUAAUUUAAAUAACCCUUCUAGACAAAGUUUAUAUUUUCAAUUCCAAUUUAGUUUAGUUAUAAUUUGUUUAUUUAUUUAGUUUGGAUGUGUUUGUGAUCGUAAUUCAGUAGUUUAAUUAAUUGUAUUAAAUAAAGUUCAUGUUUUUAAUUACGAUUUAAUUUGUUUUUUACUUUGGAUGUGUUUGUGAUUUUAAUACAAUAGUUUAAUUAAUCCCGAUAGAUAAAGUUUAAUUCUGAUUUAAUAUAGUCCCAAUUUAUUUUUUAGUCAAGAAGUGUUUGUGUGUUUAGUUGAUCUUAUGUUAAUUCUUGAUUGUUAUUCUCAAUUUAUAUGUUUCUUGAAUCCUAAUUGCUAAUAUUUUAUGAAUAUUUCAUUAGCUUAUUUGAUCUAAGCAUUAAUAGUUUGUUGCUUUGGUAGUUUUUUUUUUUUUUUUUUUCAAAUUCAAUCUUCGGAGGCCAUGAGAAAAUAAUGAUGAUUGGUCCCUAUGUCACCACUUUAGUUUAUGUGGUUGUCAAAAAUUUUACUUUGUGAUUUUGUUUUGUUUUAUUUUGCUUGGUAUUUUGUUUCUUAUAUUUUGUUGUUUUCAAAUUAAUUUCUUUCGUUUUAAAAGAAAAUACUUUUCCCCAAAGAUCCCUUUGAAAAUCUAUUUUAAAAAUUCAUCUAGAAUCCUUAGGAUCAAAAUCCCUCUUUUUUUUUUUUUCAAAAAUAUUUAACUAUAUCUCAUUCAGUUUGCACCCUUUUAUUUUCGAUAAAAAUUUGAUUUUAAGUCAAACGUGAAUCCAAGCUUGUAGUCCCAAAUAGAUGGAAAUUCAUAGGCUAAAUUGGGGAAUUGGUGGAACCCUUACAUAGAAUCAUUUUUCAAAAGCCUUUUAUUGUUAACUUGUUCAAUUUACUAUGUCUCUAAAAAGAAAAUUUUAUUUGAUCUAUUUAUGAUAUUUAUAAAAUUUUCCUAAUGAUCAUAUGAUAGUGUAGGCAUCUUGAACAUGAAUUUAGAACUUUGUUUGAAUUAAAAAGCAAUUUUAAAAUGGAAGAUAUGAAUGAGUCUUUCAAGUGGUUCUAUUUUCACCCAGCUCUAGACACCCGAAAUAUUUUUGCGAAAAUAAAUUAUUAGGUGACUCUAUAAAUUUGAUUUGAUAUUUUUCCUAAAUUUUGACACCUACAAUAUUAAAAUAUAUGUUUUCUGGAGGGAUAUAUGUUUUUUUUUUUUUUUUCAAGUUGCAUCUAAUAUACAUGGCUGAUUCUGGACAACUAAUAAGUUUGAGUAUUUUAAAAAUAGUUUUGAGUACUCCAUGACCCUAAAUUUAUUUUUUUUACAUAAUUUAGACACUUCAAAUAGCAUGUAUGAUUUUUUGUAUGAUUUUAAGAGACCUUUGAAUAUUUUUUUUAAAUUCGGUAUAUGCAUGUCAUUGUUUUUUACCCAGUUUUAGACCUUCUAGAACUUUUAGGUGUUUUUGUUUAAAUUUUUUAUUUGAAUGAUUGAUUGGCCAUGUGGAUGAUAGACUAGACAUGUAGAAAAUGUUCCCUGGAUUUAUUUUUUAUUUUUUAUUUUAUUUUUUGCAAUUUAAUUCGUAUUCUAAAUAUUUUUUAGCAUUUGUUUUGUGAAAACUUCUAUUCUAACAACAUGCUGGAAAUUGUACAUUGUUUAACUUAUAUUUUAACCUAGUAUUGUUUGACAUAACUUGACUUGGUUUUGGCUUUUAUUCUCUAAUUUAGACAUAAUUAGGAUGUUGUUUAAUUUUUUUCCAUGACAAAAUAAUAUUUUUAGAUUUUUUUUAGGAUUUUUAAAGUGAAUGCAACUGUUCUGUCCCUUAUUGUAUGUUUUUGUCUUAGUCACUAAUUUUGAUACUUAUAACUAUUUUGAGUAUUAGUUUAAAUUUAACAAUGAGUUUGUAUGCAUGUCCUAUAUGAUAGUUGUUGUUUCUUUAGACUCAUACCAUUUCAUUUGAGUUGUAUAUAUACCAUGUAUAUCAGGGUGCAUUGUUAUAGUUAUUUGUUAUUACUUGUGAGCUAACCCUCUCUAGCUACAUGCAAGCGCAUUGUAAGUUAUGUGUGCUAUCUAGGUACAUCCCUUACACCCCUUCUCUUUUCAAUUCUAUAAAUAUGCAAACUUUGUUUGUAAAUACUCUCAUGUUUGAUAUUGUCUUGAUUGCUCUAAUUUAUUGCUUGAUUAUUUGAAUGUUUGGAAUGCAUGGGGUGUGUUGUAUUAUAUUGUCAAACUAACUUUGAUGUCUUAUGAUAGCGCUUAAAAAGUAGUCCAAGUACACAAACUAUCCUUUCUUUAUGAUUGUGAUUUGAAUCCUCAUUUGGCAUGCUAGAAUUAGCAGAAUUUUAAAAUCACUUUAGCUAGUAUCCAUAAUCAAUUGAUUAAUCGUCAUACUUCCCUCAAGUUAGAUAGUAGAGACAUCUUUAGGGCUUAGAGGAGUGUUAUCUCUUUGAGGUACCUUCCCAAUAGGUAAGCCGAUCCCCAAACCUAGACUCAGGCUUUUCAAAGACAUUUUUCCAAAACUACGGAGUCAUAUUUUUUAGGGUUUUUCUUUCUUGUUUUAUUUUCCAUUUUAAAAUAAAAUAAAAUAAGUGGCAACUCAAACUUUUCCAAAAAAUAAUUUUUCACUUAAAAAAAAAAGCGAGUCUAAUCGAUGAAUGGAGUCGCCAAUUUGUGGACCCGUAUUUUUCACAUGCAUCCUCACUCAUUGAUGAGACUCACUUUUUUAAGUGAAAAACUAUUUUUUGGAAAAAUUGGAAUCGCCACUUAUUUUAUUUUAUUUUAAAAGGGAAAAUAAAAUAAGAAAGAAAAAACCUAUAAAAAAAAAAGUGACUCCAUAGUUUUUGAAAAGCAUGUCUUCGAAAAACUGGAGUCUAGGUCUGGGGAUCAGGUUACCUAUUGGGAAGGUACCUCAAAGAGAUAAAACCCCUCUAAGCCCUAAAGAGGUCUCUACUUGCUAACUUGAGAGAAGUAUGACAAUUAAUCAGUUGAUUAUAGAUACCUAGAUUAAGCUAAAGUGAUUUAGAAUUCUACUAAUUCUAGCAUGCCAAACAAGGAUUCAAAUCACAAUCAUAAAGAAAGGAUAAUAUGUGUACUUGAACUGCUUCUUAAGCGCUAUCAUAAGACAUCAAAGUUACUUUGACAAUAUAAUACAACAUACCUCAUGCAUUUAAUCAAUUCAUAUAAUUAAGCAAUAAAUUAGAGCAAUCAAGACAAUAUCAAACAUGAAAGUAUUCACAAACAAAGUUUGCAUAUUUAUAGAAUUGAAAAGAGAAGAGGUGUAAGGGAUGUACUUGGAUAGGACGCAUAACUUACAAUAUGCUUGUAUGUAGCUAGAGAGGGUUAGCUCAUAAGUAAUAACAAAUAACUAUGACAAUAAACCCUAAUAUACAUGGAAUAUAUACAACUCAAAUGAAAUGGUAUGAGUCUAAAGAAACAACAACUAUCAUACAGGACAUGCAUACAAACUCAUUAUUAAAUUUAAACUAAUACUCAAGAUAGUUAUAAGUAUCAAAAUUAGUGACUAAGACAAAAACAUACAGUAAGGGGCAAAACAGUUGCAUUCACUUGAAAAAUCCUAAAAAAAUAUCUAAAAAACAUUAUUUUAUCAUGGAAAAAAUCAAACAACAUCAUCAUUAUGUCUAAAUUAGAGAAUAAAAGUCAAAACCAAGUCAAGAUAUGCCAAACAAUACUAAGUUAAAAUCUAGAAUGAGAAUUAAAAUGCAAAAAAUUCUAGAGAGCAUCGACUACAUCUCUAGUCUAUCAUACACAUCACCAAACAAUCAUUCAAAUAACAAAUUUAAACAAAAACGUCCAAAAGUUUCACUCAAAACAGUAACUAGUGUAAACUGAAUUUUUAAAAAAUAACUAGAGAUCUCUUAAAAUAAUACAAAAAAUAUAGAACAUUUUUUAAAGUUUCUAGAUCCACAAAAAACUAAAUCUAGGGUCAAUUUUUAGUCAAAAUUAUUUUUAAAACACUCAAAUUAUUCAGAUUUUUAGAAUCCAUCAUGUACAGUAGGUUCAAUUUUGAAGAAUCAUACCUCCCUCAAGAAAGCAUGUUUUUUAAUAUUUUAUAUGUCAAAAUUCAAUUUCAAGAAGUUAAGAAUCUGGGAAAAAUAUUCAUUUAAAUUAAAAGAAUAAAAAAUAAUUUAAAUUUUCAAAAUGCUCUUGAGUGCAUAGAAGUAGGCCUAAACGGAACAUGCUAAAAGAGAUUAUCAUAACUGGACUUUGAAAAAAGAUUUUUGACUUAGAUAACAUUCUAGAAUCAAUUUCAAGAAGCAAAGAAAAUUAUAAAAUUUUUUGAAAUUUUUUUAAAGCAUUUUAAAAUGAUCAAAACAAAUUUUAAACCUAAAGAAUCAAUAGUCAAGAGGAAACUGGCAACAAGGAUGAGUUUUGAAAAAAAAAAAAAACUCUUUCAUGUAGGGGUUCCAUCAAAUCCCCACUCAAUAUCCAUAAGUUUUACUUGUGUAUUCCCAUUAGUUUGGGAGUACAAGUUCAAACCUAUGUGAUCAAAACAAAUUUUAAAAAAACAACAAAGGAGAAUGCAACUUAGACGAAAUGAGUUGUAUAAUUUUAGAAGAAAACGAGUUCUUUGCCUAAGUCAAGAACCAUUUUUUUUUCAAAGCCUCUUGAUGAUUUAAAUACUUUUGAAAAUGAUUUUAAGGGAAGCAAAAAGGACCAAGUGACUUGUUAAAUCACAAUCAAUAUACACAAAAUGAGGAUUUUUUAUUUUCUAACUGAAAAGGAUUUGAAAAAAAUAAGAAAAAGUGAACUUGGACCCCUCUUUUGACUACCUUUCAUUUGGGAUCUAGGAGCUAAACUUAUGAUGGAAAAAUUCAUUUUUGAAAAGAAUGAAUUAAUUUUACCCAAAUUAUCAUUUUGAAAAAAAAAAAACACUUUUCUAAAAAAAAAGUUCAAUUAAAAAAAAAAAAAAAGAUCAACCAAGGGCAAAAUUAUCAACUCGAAGACAUUACAAGGAUUUGAACUAAAAUUCUAAACAAUCAAAUGCGAUCUAUCAAGCUAAAAGGAAUCAACUAGGCCUCAAAAUGAUUUUAGCAAAAACCAAAAAUAAAGAAACUAAAGAAUUAUCAUUAUAGCAAAUAAGAAUACCAAAUGAACAUCAUGAUCAACUAACAUACAUACUCACCAAAGAACUUUUCAAAAAAUGAUUUACACUGAAUGUUAUCUAAGUAGGAUCCAAAGGGAUUGUUAAGACAUCCGAACAACAAUUCUUCAUCACAUGAAAGCCAUUAAACUAACGAACUAAAAUAAUAAAAUCAUUUAGACUAACUAAAAUGAAUCAACAUAGACUUAAAAAUAAAAUAUUAUCACAUAGAGUCAAUUAAAUCAAUGAACUAAAAUAGCAAGAAUGUUUGAACUAAUUAAAACGAAUAAGAACAAAUUUAAAUGAAAAAUACAUCACAUGGAAACUAUUAAACUAACAAACUAAAAUAAUAAAAUCAUCUCAACUAACAAAAAUAAACUAAACUGGAUCAAAUCAAAUUUAAAAAUAAAAGUUUAUCACAUUGAAUCAUUUAAUCUAACAAACUAAAAAUUAAAUAAACAUCUAAACUAAAUAAAUAAAAAAUAAAAACUUUAUCUUGUGGAAACAAUAUUACCAAUGAACUAAAAAAUAAAAGUGCCCAAACCAACCAAAUGAACCAAAAUUACCUGAAAACAAUUUUUUUUUCCUUUUUUAAAAAAAGACUUUUUAUUGCAUGGAAACAAUUUUAUUAAUGGACUAGAAAAUUAAUAAAAACAUCUAAAGCACAGGAUAAAUUAAACUAAAAACAAAACAAGUUUAAGAAAGUGUAUUUACCUAUCUUUGUCAAAAAUUGGUUGUAUGGAGUGCCAAUGGUGAGGAUGUGUGCCAUUCUUUUAAUUUUUUAAUAAGCAACCUCUGUGUGGACUGAUUCACCUUAUAGUGUUGUUGCCCCCAAUCUCAAGGUCAGCAUGUGGUGAUGUUUUUAGAUUCAAAAACAAAAUCCCUUAUGGUGUGGCUGUGAAGAACUAAGGGUGCAGGUCGCGUGAUCCCCCAGUAUGGUGCACAGGUUGGUUUUUUUUUUUUUUUCCUUUGGAUUGCAGGCUAUAGCUUCAUAAAUGCAUGGCACUUCUCCUCUGUGGCAUGAUGGUGCUUCCCCUUAAUGAAUGAAAACUCUUCAUGACCUGUGCAUGGAUUCCUACCUUUUAGAUGAUGGUGGAAAGUUUUUCCAUGGGUAGCUACCUCUAGAUUUUUUGUAGGUUGUGUGUACGAUUGUAAAGGGAUCUCUUGGUGCGUCGGUUAAAGAUCCAAUGCAAGCAUGUGUGGUGUUGAAAGGUGGCAGUCUUCAAGUUCUGAAUGGUGCAGUUGUCUUUUGAAUUUGGGAUAGUGUGUGGUGCAAGUGGGUGUAACCCAUGAAGAAACCUGCACGUGGAAUUCUUUGGUGUGCACAACGUUUUUAAAAAAAUUAUGGGGGUUCUCUUAGAAAGUGGAUUGUGUGUGUUAAAAAAUUCUUCAAUGGAUGCAAUUGUGUUCCAGAUGACCUUUCAUAUCACUCUCCUCUCAAGGGCACGUGCUAUGUCUUUCUUUUAAAAUCCUUUUUUGCUCUCCAAAACCACCAACCCAUGUUUUUCUCUCCCAUAGAAAUAUGUCUUUAGCUACCCCUUAAUCUUCAAAACCAUGCACCUCAUUUUCUAUGGCAAGUGGCAACCAUGUAUGCCUGGAAGAAUCUUCCUCUCUCAAAAUUCCAUAUCUUAUCUACCAAAAAAUGAUCUUUCAAAAUCCAAAACUCCUACUUUGGUGUCUUCACCUUCCCUUAGAAUAUUUCUAUGUGUCGUGGACUAAGAGUCUUCCCAAAAGAAAAUACAAAACUAAUUCAUGCAUAUCACCCAAGGAGUCCCACCUUUUUAAAAAACUUCUUAAUCACCAUAUUUAACUCUCCAAAUGUGAUCUUCAAUAACGCCCAAAAAAGUUUCUUUUUUUCUCAAAGUCUAACAAGAAUCAACUUUUCCUUCUCUAUUGGUAAAUUUCUCUUUUAAAAAAUCAAAUUAUUAAAUCAAAUAAAUGAAUAAAAAUUUUAGAGAAUGAUAAAAUAAUAAAUAAAUAAAUAGCAAGAUAAUAAAUAAACAAAAAUGAGUGAUUGAUAAUAAUAAAAAUAUAAAUAAAUAAAUAAAUAAUGAGUCACACAAACCAUGUAAGCCAUGCAACCAUGCAAGUCAUAUAAGUCACACUAAGAAUGCCUAAUGGGUCAAGUGUGCCUAAGUGGGCCUAAGUGAACCUAAAUGGGCCUAAGGUGGUGUCUAACAGGUCAAGUUUGCCUAGAUGGGUCUAGGUGAAUCUAAGUGGGUCAAGGUGAACCUAAGUGGGCCUAGUUGUGCCUAAAAUGGGCUUAGGUGGGCCUAAAACAUGCCCAAGUGACCUAAGGUGAUCAAGACAAUGUCUAAGUGACCUAAAGUGAUCAAGACAGUGCCUAAGUGACCUAAAGUGAUCAGGACAAUGUGCCUAAGUGACCUAUGGUGAGCCUAAAUGUGCCCUAGGUGAAUCUAGGUGAAGUGUAAUGUGCCCAAUGACCUAGGGUGAGCCUAAUGGACCUAAGGUGAGUGUCUGUAAUCUGGAAGGUACCUAGGUGACCUUGGAUGAGUGUGUGUAAGCUAGAAGGUGCCUAAGAAGUGUUUAAGUGUACCUAAGUGAUUUAGGAUGCAUCUAAGUGACCUAAAAAGUGUACCUAAACAGACCUAAGUAUGUUAUCCUAAAGGUGUACCUAAAUAAGCUAUCCUAAAAAAUGAAAGAAAAACCUAAGUCUAAAUCAGGGCUGCCAAAGGUCACAAUGGGGGGCCAGAUAAAUCCCUCAACCAAAGUCUCCAAGGUGGCUAAAAAAAGUAAGCUUGUGUGUGUAGUAAUGGGCCAGUAAAGAACUGUUAUAGAGUACUGAAAAAAUACCUAAGGCGUGUGCUAAGGGGACAAAAUGGAGGGUCUAUAGCAUUGGACAAUGGUCAAGCAUAUAUUCUAGUAUCUUCGUAAAACAAAGGAUUAUAUAUUGGUGUAUUAUGGUGCUGAGUUGAUACCCCUUACAAACACAGGUUUAGAUUUUUAGUCCAAUACAAACUCUUGUAAGUCUAUCUAUGGGUUUGUGUUCACUUUAGGUCAUGAGGUUGUUAAUUGGAGAAGUAUGAACAAUCUUUUAUUACUAACUCUACUAUAGAAGUUGAGUAUGUUGUUGCUCUUAAAGCAGCAUAGGAAGUCAUUUAGCUUAAGAAGUUCCUCAUGGGACUUGGAACAAUACCCUUGGUUGUACCACCCUUGAUAUUAUUUUGUGGUAACAGUAGAGUUAUGACACCAUCUAAAGAAUCAAGAAACCAUCGAAAAGGCAAAUACAUAGAGAUGAAGUAUUACUUAAUACUAAAGACAAUAAUGAGAUGAGAUGUCGUUGUGGAAAAGAUAACUUAUGUAGAAAACUUGGCAGAUCUCUUCACCAAGACUUUAUCUACUAAAGUCUUUUGUGGAUAUAGGAAUAACAUAGGUGUCAAAUGUAUUCCUAAUAGACUUUAGGGCUAGUGAGAGUUUAUUAGGAUAGAGUUCUAGAAAGCAUGACACGAUAUAACAAAUUUUAUUAUCAUUAAUAAAUUUAUUUAUUAUGAUUUUGAUCUCUUUAUCCAUCCUUAUUUUCAUUGACUAUCUUUUGAGCAUUUACACCUCUAUCACUUGCAUUGUACAUAAAUUGGGUGCAUUAAGAGUUGCUAAUAAGACCAAAUCAUGGGUUCCUUGUAUUUUGAUGAGUAGUUCAAAGUCAGUUCAUAUACUUGGGCAAUUCUUUAGAGACUAUAGCGUAAUACCUCCUAAUUGGAAGGAUGACUUAUCUUGGUCAUUUAGAUGGUUUCCAAUGGAGAGUGCACUAGUGUGUACAAUUAUAGAUUAGAUAGGACCUACAUUGAAUCAUGACAUUAACUAUCGAGUAGUCAUGAUUUACUAAGCUAUUAUACUGCAUAGACUCUCAACCUUGAGAGAAUAUUCAGUUUGUAUUGAAAUCAAUAGGAGGCUUUGACUUAUGGGUGACACUCUAAGGUGGUCAUAUAUUCCUUAUGUACUAGGUCACUAUUGAUGAAGGUUGGUGGAACCAUGUAUUCUCAAUAAAGGCACCAUAAUAUCUCAUGGAAUUGAGACAACAUGUUCCCUUAGGUGAUCCUAAGGACACAUAAUCAAGAAAGCUAUAACCAUAGUAAUUCCUUAAGUGGAAUUUGACAUGUAUUCUUUGUGAGUUAGAGUAUGUCAGUUGAUCAUGUAAUAGGAAAAUCUGUAACUUAAAGAUUGGAGAAAUAAUCUUAAGAGAAUGAUAACACAUACCUCCUCAUAUUAUGGACACUAGUUCAAUGGAAGUUUGUCUUGUUGUAAUAUUAUAAGAUAUUGAAGUGCAGUUAAUUAUCUGCAGUAGGAUGUUGAGUCAAUUUCAAAAUUGGACUUUGAGGGAGCUAGUAUUUUCUUGUGCAUCUAAAUAGUGUUUGUUCAACCUUUAGAUUCAUGGUAACAUAGUUUUUUAGGGUAAUUUUAAGGUUUUAAUUUAUGUGUGCAUAAAGGUAUUUUGGUAAAAAUGUAAGGUUGCACUCUAUCAUAUAAAUUGUCCUUCUUAACUACGCUAAUUAAUUAAUUAGACUAUAGUCUAAGUUGGACUCAAGUCACUUAAGGCCACAAGGAAACCUAUAUAAACCCUCUUAAGAGUUUAGAGUUUCACUUUUUGCAUCCUUAUCCGAAGAAAAAAAAAUGAACCUCUCUCUAGCGAAAACAACCUUUCUUUUGUUCCAAAGAUCCAUGAAAUGAGUGAUCAAGCAGAAAAUCUUUGGGUAUACAAGAUUUUCAAUUCUUAUGGUUUAUUUCAUCGAAUUAAAAUCGAUUUAAGAAUAUCUAUAUUGUAGGUAUGAUGUUUUUAUCUAUAGAUCUUUAUUAUUUAUGAUUUUUAUUGCCAUUUUUCUACUAUAAUUAGAUCGAGAGAAGUCUAGUAAUAGUUGGCAUGCACUCUAUAUGAUCCAAGGCUAAGGAAUGGAGUAAUUCGAGUUUCCUUAUAAACUAUGUGAGAAAAUAAAGGCUAAACUUAACAGGAAAAACACCUAAGAGGGGGAAGGAGGUGAAUUGGGGUUUAAAAAAUUCUUUUUCAAACAUAAUAAAUUUAAGCAAAAGAAGCACAAAUACAAAGAGAUAAAGCUAGAAAAAGCAAACUUAGAUUUUAUAGUGGUUUGAUACUUCCUUGGCUACAUUCACUCUCCUCAAGCUCAUAACCGAGUAAGGGUUCCACUAUACUUGAAGUUUGAACAAAGCUUCUAAUCACUUUUACACUUGGAUUCCAGCUCCAAUGGACUCUUACAAAAUCCCUUCAAGUCUCUACUCACUUGAAACUUUUAACACUCAAAUAAUAAGCUAAAACCCCUCAACCUAAAUCAACAAGAGUUUAAAUACAACUUAAAAGCUAGGAAAAAUCACAAAGGUAUAGUAAGGAAUAUGCAAAUGGAGGUUUAAUGCACCAAAGAGAAAAUGAAAGCUUUUGAGGCAAAAACAAGUAGGUAAACAAAUAAAUGUAGGUGCUCUCUUGCUUAUAAAUGAAGUGGAGCUCUCAAUUUAUAGUUUUCUAGCCUCGGGAACCAAAAUGUUAAAAAAUAACCUCGACCGAUCGAGCUGGGGGUCGAUUGGUUCACUAGCCAUUGGCCAUUAAAUUCAUGGUAGGUGACCAUUAAGCCUCCACCAGCCCUUGACCGGACCUCGAUUGGGAAAGUGCAAUCGAUCAACUAGUACCCUAGUCGGUUGAGCCGAUUGGCUACUGUCUUGACCAAUUCACCUUUUUUGGUCCGAAAACAUAUAUUUUUCUAUUUUUUUCUCUUCUAACACUUAAUCAAGGUCUUUAGGUAAAUUAAUAUUCAAAUUUUGAAACGAUUUUCCUAAGGUUCAUUUGAUAAAACUCGGGUUUUGAUGGAAAUGUAACUUUAAUGCAUAAACCGCAUUUUUAAAGAUACUUGAAAAUAUAUGAAAAUACUAAGUACACUCAUGCAUUCAUCUUAUAUAUGUUUUCUAUGAUUAAAGGUUUUCCAAAUGUCUUAAUCAUUCAUUGGAUCCUUUGAUGAAUUUCCAAACUAACACCUGAAAUUCUUUAUAAUUCAAAGCAAUUAGCCACUUAACUAUAAUUUGUUAUCAUCAAAAUGUGAUUAGGAGAACCCUUGGGCUAACACUAUCCUUUAUAUUGGAUUAUAUCCCUUCUCCCCUAAAAAGGUAAAUUUUAGGAUUUUGUAACUCCUGAAGAGUGCAUGUACCCAAUCAAAUCAAUUAAGAUAUGGCUUUUUGUGGAGACUAGGUCCAUACACCUACACAAUUAUGACACUCUAUUCCUUGUCAAUCACUACUAUUGGUAUUAGAGGAAUAUUUACUAGAAGUCUAACUAGGACUCCCUAUUGAACUUAGCCCCCGAGUCUAGGUGGUUGAUUUUCUACACCACCUACUCAAGCUCAAUUAGAGGAUUUCUCUUUAUUAUUUAACUCAAUGGCCUAACUUCAACUCCUUUGCCUCUUUAUAAUACUAAUUAUUGGGUCAAUGGUGGUAUGAUUGGCAGUAAUUAAACCAACUAGUUGAUCAUGACUGCCAUGGUUUGAGGUUGUUCCAUUGUUGAAGUGGUUAUUAUAUAUAUGGGUCUAACUAUGACAUUAAUCAUUCUCUUAAAGCUUCUUUCCAUUAUUAUCAGUAGUUGGUUUAUUUCAUCAACUAAGGUUGCAAGUGAUAACAAAAAAUCCUAGGUACGUUCUUCUACUUAUGUCAUUUUUUAUGACCCAAUCUUUUUAUUUUAUGUCUAAAGGAAUUAAACCUUAGCCUUGGUGAUGAUGGUGGGUCAACCACUAGCUCUACCCUCUUGGUAAUAUAUCAAUCUCCUUGAUCCUAUAAUCUUGUCUAAAUUGCUUUUAAUUCUCUCACAUACUCGAUUAUUUGUUGGCUCUACAGACUUAGUUAAGGUUCCAUCAAACAUUGGUGUUAUGAAAAAAUCUCAGAUCUCCCAUUUUUUACCAAGGAGUAACACUAGGUGUACUUGAAUGUGUUGAUUUGUCACCUGAGCAUGCCAAAUCAAAAUAAUGCUCAAUGAAAUUGGUCCAAUCUUAUUAGAGCAACUAGUUAUUGUCCUCGAAUAUUUUAAUUCUUCUAAGUAGAGUAUAGUGUGUGUGUGAGAAUUCUCUUGUAUUUUUUUUUCCUUGGAUGAUUGUGUGUGCAUGUCGAGGCCUUUCACAUGCACUAGAUCCUUUGUUAUGUCUGAUGUCAAGGCUUUUAAAACAUCAAAUUUGUACCAACACCAAAAUAAUAAAACAAGAACAAUUAUUCAUAAGAAAAAUAACUAGGUGAGAGAAUUAACUAAUUUACUAAGAUUCUCCCAAGUUUAGCUUACUAUAUAUUAGACUUAUAGAGAGUAGUAAUAUAAUAGGAUACUUUUUAUAAAAUUAAUUGAGAAAAAUUAAACUAAAAACCUUUCUCAACAUUGAUGAUGUCAAAUUGCACUUGUCGAUCCCUUUGAAAGGGAAUGUUUCUAAGAGGUAACAUGUUGGGUGCUAUUUUUAUAGCACUUUGACUACAAUGUUUCAACUAUAUCACUUCAUAGCAGUCCUUAGAAUAAGCAUUUAUGGCAUUAAUCAAUCCACACUUUAUGGUUAGAGGAUAAAUGGCAUUGAUGUUAUUCUACUAGUUAUUGUCUAUUGACGCAUGCAUCAAAUAUUAACACAAUUAGGAAUGGUAAAGUUUGAUACGAUUUGUCAAUACGACACAAUCCCAACAUGUUUUUCGUGGGUUUGGGUUAAGCACAAAUUUGGAUCAAAUUCGGGUCAACUAGUAUAACCUAUUUAAUAAAUAGGUAAUUUUUGGGUUACCUGCGUGACACGAAUUUAAUCUUAAUUGACUCAUUUAAUAAUCUCACUAUUAACCUAAUUAUAUUUUUAAACCAUGUAACCCAUAUUUAACUCAUUUUAAAUUUAUUUUAGAUAAAUAGCUCAACUGAGUUAUAAACAUGUUUGGUUGAGACAUUAAUCAUAUACAUAUAUACAAGAUCUAACUCAACCUGAUUAUUGAAUAGGAGGACAUAUUAUUAAAUGAGUUUAAAUAAGUUAAAUGGGUUACAUGACAUGUUACAUGUUUAAUAAUUAGGUAGUAUUUAGGUUUAUAUUUUUAACAUGAUUAUUAUUCAUGUCGGGUUUGGGUUGAGCUAUGUAGUAGAAUACCUAGACUUUGGCACGACACAAACAUGAUCCACCUGUAAGUAAUUCUUUAAUUAUGCACAUCAAUAACCCCACUUUUGCACAAAUCAUAAUAGUCAAAGAUUUUAAAACAAUAUGAUUUUCACAGUUCCAUUAUUGAGAAAAGACAAACCUUUAAUCCAUACAAAAUUUUAGAAGAGACUAAGGACCAAAAAAUAACCGUAGUAGAAACCAUGUUUCUCUUCCUUACCCCCUCUACCCUUAGGUUUUCUCUUAUGCGUGUUAUUGAUGGAAUAAACCCUUAUUUUAUAGAGUGAAAAGAAGACCAAUUUUCUUAUGAAAUUAAAAGUGUACUUCCCAUCAAAGUGCCUUUAAUUUAGGAAAUAACUUAUCAAAAACCGAUCAAUAGGAUUUUAGUUUUAUUAUUUAUUAAACCAUAAUAUUUAAUUUAAUAUUUAAAUAAAUAUCAUAUAAUAAUACACAGGACCACAUAAAAUUCUUACCCACCAACAUGAAUUGUUGGGGCACAAUGAUGGUCUACUGAACUGAUGUGACAUGACCCAUGCUAGAAGAAAUUUCCUUGCACAAGUCCCUAACACAUGAUGCUAAAACAAAUGGUGAAUAUUAAUCAGGUCCUUUCCCCAUUAUCGAUUCAGGAAUAGAUUAUAAGUCUCUCUUGUGCAUUGAUCUAAACUUAGGAAAUAUGAGCAUGUAUGGGAGCAACAUGGAUGCAAUAGUGACUAACCUACUAUUACCUUAUCCUACUAAAAGGAUGGUAGGCUAUCACAACUAACAAAAAGUAUUAUUUUGUUGAGCUAAAGUGGGUGAAUCCAAGAGGCCAUUUACCCAUUUAUACUCGCGUAAUCAUAAUCCCUUAUUUUCUUCAUGUAAACUAAAAUGUUAUUAAUUCUUUUGAUAAAAUUUAAUACUUAUUACUUAAUAAUUUAGGUCGAUCUUAAGUUAAAUUAUAUUUAAAUUAUCGACUUAAAACUUAUUAUAUAAUUUUUACUUUAAGUAUUAAGGUUGUUUGAUAAAAUUAACUUAAAAUUUAUUUUAAAUCAUCAAAUUGACAUAUUUAUUUUCAUAAAUUAUAAUUUGGACAAACGAAGUCAAGUAACAAUAGAGGUCGUAUAGUAAUAAAAGAGAUGGUGAAGGAAAUUAGGACAAAUAACGGUAAAAAAUAAAAUAAAAAUAUGGAUUUAAAAAUAAAUUAAUUAUUUUUACUUAUUACUUAAAGUUAUUUUUAACUUUAAGUCAAGUCAUUAAAUUAUUUUACCAAAUAUACAUAAUUUAGUUAAUGACUUAAAUUAAGUUAUUAAGUCACCUUAAGUUAUUAAAUCACUUUAAGUUAUUAAGUUGGUUUAGCAAACACCUAUUAACAAUAAUUUUAGAAAGUGUUUUGAAAGACAAAAAAAAUUCAAGUUUUAAAAAUAUUAGACGCGUUUUUUGGAAUCACUAUAAGAGUGUGUUUGGUAGCGAUUUUAGGAAGUGUUUCUAACCUUUCUAAUACUUGAAAGAUAAAAAAAUUCAAAUGUUAGAAAGUCUAGAAACACUCCCUAAAACCACUACCAAAUGCACUCUAAACCAACCUUGAUUCACUUCAAAUAAAUCACCAAAGACUAGAUAUCCACUUUUCUUAUCAUUACCCUAGUUUUUAAUCAAUUAAUUGUCAUAAUCAUCAACUAUUCAAUUUUCUUAUUCCUCCUACAUCAUCCAUGAGUGACGUGGCCCCAUUAAAUAAUGAGACUAUUAUCCCAUUAAAUUGUGGUAGGCUAAUGUCAUUCUCCUCCUCAAAAUUUUACUCAACCUUCCUUUGUUCGCUUGUCACAUCAUUAGUCUACUUCAUUUAGGAUUCUACCAUACUCUGCCAUCUUAUUGCUACAUCCACAUAAGGAGUUUUGGGCCAAAAUGGGCUUCUUCCCAAACUUAAUAUUAAAAUCGGGCCUCUUCCAAAACUAUUGUUCAAAGUAGCCCCUAUCUGUCUACAUAAGCACAAAAACCAUUUUUUAUUCUAUUUUUGUUUACUUUCCCAGCUUCCCAUCCCAUUCUCUGUUCAAUUUUUCUCUUCAAGCCCUAGCCCUACCAAUGAGCCACUAUGAGAGAGACAUUGUAAGGGCUACAAUGCAUCAAAGUUGAGGUUGGUCCCAAUCUUCUUUUUGGCUUGUUUUAUGUAAAGUUUUUAGCACUUGCCAUC